rnacentral:lncRNA from 1 species
CCUAAACAAAACCAGGCAAUGAUUGUCUGAAAAACCAAAAGUCUUAAGUAAUUCACAUUUCUUCUUAAAUGUUUGUUCACUCAAGCAACUCAAGGUAUGAAUACCGUGCACUAACAUCCUCGAAUCAGUCGAAAUCCCCAUAUCUACAACCCUCGUAACGAGAUCCCUUAAUGCCGAUUCUCGCAUCCUAAAAAUCCUAGGUUGUCUCAUUAACAACUUUGAGAGCUGAGAUCCAACAAUCCCACAGCUUUCAAAAUACUCAAUGUUUCUCGACAAGUUUGAUAUGCCAUCUCUAGCAAUAAAACCAUUGCAUCUAUUGAAGACCUUAAACAAGUCUUCAUUAUUAUUCCCUAAAAUUUUAUUGACAAAUUGGAUAAAAGGAAUCAACUUUUUAUGUAAACUACAAGUUAAAAGCGUAGAAUUCCUAGAAAAGAACUUACCCAGAUGGGGUUCCACAAGACCCAGAUCUUGAAAAAGCUUGAUUGUUGGCCUAAGCUUCUUUUCUACAUCAGCAAACAGAAUUUGGGGCGCCACAUGAACAGCAGAGGCUAUUUGGGCAUUAGAAAAGCCAAGACUUUGGAAAAAAUUGGCAACCGAAUGAGCCUUUUGGAGGGAUUUCCCAUGAGAGUAACGAUUAGAGAUUGAAACAGCUUGGGUUUCAGUGAAAUCCAAGUUUUUUACAAGGUAAUUGAAAAGGGGAGGAUUCGAAACAGAGGUGGAAGAAGAAUAUGAGAGAAUAAAAAUAAAUGAUUUGGGUUUUAACGAAAAAUUGAGAAAAUAGGAAGUUGAGAAAAUGGAAGAUGAUUUGAGGGUAUGCAUGGAAGUUUUUGAGGAAUUCCCCGCAGGGGGUUUUAGGGUUUAAAAUUCAAUUUUCAUCAUGCAGAAUUGCAGAUUCAAUUCCAAAUACGUUCUCGAUCAAGUAACGACGACGUUAAGAGUGGUAGGCCACAUAAGCAGCGACGCCGUUUCAGGAAAAACAAACAUUUUAAUGGUGGGCUUUUAUUUAUUGGUCUAAUUUAUCAUUUUGUUUCUUAUAGAUGACGCAAUUUAUGAUAAUUUGUAUUUCUUUCCAUUUGCAAUCCUUAUAAUUUAUCGCUAAAAUUGGUACAUGAAAUUUAUAAAUUAUUUUGAUUUUAAUCAUUAUUAACAUUAAUAAACUAUAAAUUAUAUAUAUAUGAGCAUACAUAGAUAAAUCCAAGAAUUUUUCUUUUCUGCAUAGGGCCAAACUUGCUAUAUAAUAUUUUUCCUUAAAAUUUUUUAUAUAUUAAUAAUAAUAUCGCUUCGUUUAUAAAAUUGCAGCAAAAAUACUAAGUUGAAUUAAAUCAAGACAAUCUUUUAUCAAAGCCUUUUUUUUUCUAACUUUAUGAUUAGUCCAAAUGUAUUCUAAAAUUUAAAAAUCUAAUAUUAUAUCAAUACAUCAUAUCAUAUGAUUGUAAAUUUAAAAAAAACUAUGAUACUUUGUUUUAAAUUGGAUAUCCAACAAAAGGUAAUUAAUCUAGAUCUUAAUUAUUCAAUCAUGUUAAUUAGAUAUGAUAAAUCCAUAAAGCUUGCGUUCAAACGAGAAAAGUUAAAGUACUAGAGAAGGCAACAAAUGUAUCCAGAAAAUAUACUCUUGUAGAGAUUACAUAGCCAUUUUCUCAUGGUUUGAGGGAGGACAAAUUCUGCUGAUUGUAACCGACAUGCUUGGCACCUUCAUGGGGUGGCCUGCUAGCAAAAACAAGGUCAUAUGUCUUGAGGAAUAGCUCGGGAGCUUCAGGGGAUGAGAAAACAAAUACAGGCAUCAGGCCAAAGCCUAAUGGAAUUAUGGGGCCAUGCUUGUGGGCUGACUGUUGAAGAUCUUGGUGAGAUUUGUUCCCCAUCAUGAAAAGGUUUCCAAAAAUAGGAAGCCCUCUCGGACCAGGAGGUAAUCUCUUAUUCUUCUAAUUCUCCCUUAAUUUCCCCUUUUCUUUCUAAUUUCUUCUAUCUAUAUCUGAUUUUACUUCUGACUUCUAUACUCUAUCUAUUUUACCACGUUCUCUAUCAAUGUUGUUCUAAUCUCUUGGUAAUUCAUUAAUGUAAUUUCGUCCACUCUUACAACAUGGGGAAUCUUUUGAGCAUCAGCUUUCAAUAGGCAAAAGGAAACUUCUUUGGCAACCAAAAUAAAGAACCUUCCUGCAUAAGCUUGAUAAGAAAUAUCAACAUUCCAAAUUGCAAGCAAUAUAACAUUGAAUAAAGCAAUUCAGAAUCAGAAGCAAGGCAGUUGAUUGCUUCUGAUGCAGUAAUGGGGCCACCUGAUACAACACACUUGCACAUUCAUCAUUAAAUCGCAACCCAGUCUCUCCUUGCACCAUCUGACUUUGGGUCAACCUUUUGAAGAUAUUCUGCUAUUACCUGAGGCCCAACAAAAAGAGAGAUAGGAUCAGAAUUUUCAACCUUCCUUAGUGGUUGUCAUGUCCAAAACUGUACCUUUGAAGAUCAUCUCAUACACAAGAAGUGUCUUAGUACUAAACGGUAGUGAUAGCAUAAAUCAUGUUUGCCGAGCAAAUUUAAGAGUAAAGUGAAUGUAUCCAACGCCACAGAAGCUAAGAAACCAUAGGCAUGAUGACAUCAUGAUAAGAAGAUAACAUUAUUCAGCUACGCUCUGAACAAACGGAAAAGAUAAUUUCAAAAUAAAUAGUAAAACUCACCCUCAGGUUUUUAAGAUCAAUAUCAUAGAGAUCCUUUAAACCAGGCCUUUGUACUUUGAUAACAACUUCUUGGCCCUUCAAUUUUGCCCGAUGGACUUGGCCUGCAAAAGAAAAAUAAAUAAAUCAGUGAAUUCCAUUUAAUCAACUAACACACUAUUAUCAUAUGCAUGUUCUCACAUUCCUUUAUUGUUUAAACAUGUUGAAGGCCAUUUGUUUCUUCUGUUUUUGAACUGACGCUUCUAUAUAUUUCAAACUCAUUGAUAUUAAUAUUUAUAAUAUGGGCAUGGCUAAAUUUAAGAAAAAAAAAUAAAAGCAAAGAAAGCAAAAUGACCAAGUUAGUUUACCUUGUACCACAUGGAAAGAAUAUAUUAAUUUUUACAACAUAUAAUGUAACAGAAUAAAAGUUUGUGAUGACAAGAAAGUUAACUCCAAUUUGUUUAUGGUUAAAGAGAGUGGUUUUGUGAAAAUUUACCUUAAAUAGGCACUUAAUAUGCUAUGCGUGUGUGUAAAAUAAAAAGUGGAUGAUUAAUACAAAAAUAAAAGAAAUAAACUAAGAGACAAACAUGUCCUUUUCCAAAUAUGAAGAACAGUUAUAUGGAUCAAUAUUGUGUUAUUGACAGCAAUUUAAGACACAUCCUUAGCAAACUUAGGUCACUUUUUAUAAGUUCAAAUGACGCCAAUAUUAGGGGAAAAUAAGUUAAAGUAAAGCUUUUAAUAUCGGUAAAUGGUAAUACCAAUCAAUGUUUCUCUCAUUUCUUUUAAUGCUUUCUUUUGAUCAUGUGUUAAACGUAACAUGUUCAUACAAGUGUAUGAAGUUAUUUUUCUUCAUGUAUCUAAUUACAUAGGCAUUAGAUGCCACUUUAAUGUGUCUUUAAACCAACAGAGUAGUAACAGUUCUUGGCAUAUUAUCACAUGACAGCAUUAGAUCAUUAAUUUUUAGGCAUAGCUAGACUUGAACUAAUCUUGAAGCAUUCCCUAUUUCAAAGUUAUUUUUAGUCAAACUAUUAACAAGUCCAAUAAAUUGGAAAGAGUUGGGAAAUUAUUUUUAAGGACAUAAGUGAAGUGAAAGAAAACAGAAAAAAAAAAAGAGGAAAAAGAAUUUGUUAUGAAUAAUUGAAUAUACCACUUAGCACCAGAUAGAACAAAAUUCUGUAAAGCCUUCACGCAAAAAUUGAAAUAUAUGCAUAUGCGUUGUGUGUGUGUGUGUGUGUGUGUUGCAUGUCUAUACAAUUUGAGAUUUGACAAUGGUCACACUAACGACAUCAUAAUCCACCUUUUACCACUUGACCUUAUGCAAUGGCAAAAAACUUCCACAUCAAAGAAUCAUAGAUAACAUUAAGAUUAGCAAGACUAGCAGCAGCAAUGGGUUCAAAGUCAAACCAGUCGAAGAUACCAUCUACAGGGCCUCCAAGCUCUUCAUCAACAAUAGAUACUGCAGUCUCUGAUGGAAAAGGUGGAACUUGAUCCUGCACAUGAAUAGCAAUUAGAUUCUUACCUAUAGAAUUUUAAAUUUAGAAACCAUCUGGCCAGCAAAACGCUCUCUUUUUGGGAAAGGAGGUGGGGGCUAGAAGUAAUAGAAAAUUAUGAAAUGAUUUUGUACAGAACCGCUCUAUUUUAGAUUUCUUUUAAUGCCCUUCAUCUUACCUACCUUGAAUAAAUUCUUCUCCAAGUAGAAGCUAACAUCCACAAUAAAAGAAUUUCACCCAAAAAGUAUAAAAUUUUAAAGUAAAGGAACUUCAACCUGUAGCUCUGACAACUGAUCAACAUAUUCUUGAGCAAGAAUGUCAACCCUUGUGGAGAACAGUUGGCCAACUUUGAUGAAAGUAGGACCCAAUCUCAAGAUACUUUCCUUUAACCACUUUGCCAGGGUCUUCCGCCUUAGAACUUUCUUUUCCUCAGUCAUUCCUCCUGCAUGAAUGCAACCUUAAAACUGGAUAUAUAACACCAACAACUAGAAACCAUAACAACAUUAUAAGAACUAAAGAGAAGGCAAUUAGAAACAACACACUAUAACUAAAAUGACUGUCCAAAAGCAAAUUUAAAAACUAGUCCUGCUUCUUUGCAGUGCAUGAAAACUAAAUCAGUUGAACAAGGCAUAGAUUAGACCAUUUUGCUUUAACAGUAAAAAACAAAAGGCAAGUCAUAUAGCCCUUAAAUCUCUUUCAGAAGAAAACCUUUCUUUAGCAAAACUUUAUACACAAAGUAAUUUCCAUACAUGAUAAAUCAUAAUUGACAUAUCCAUCAUCUUAAACACUUCUAGCUCAUCAAUUUGAACAACUUUUGCAUAUUCAAAAUUUUUUCUAUUAGAUAUAGAUUGUAAUAGUUGGCUUGGCCCACUACUUAAUUUGGUUUGUGUUCCCUAAAAAGCAUUGCCAGGUUUUGCCAGCUAUCACAAUUUAAACAUCAAAGGAUUUAUCUCAAGGACAUAGGCCCAACCUUAAGCCACCCCUUAAACUUCCAUAUUCCACCAUUGGUGCAACUUCCAUAUUCCAUCAACCAUCUAAAAAGACAAAAGGCAAAAUAACAAAGGAUCUCAAGAAAAGUUAAUACCCUGAUAAUGUUACUGAAUACUGGAUCAUGUCAACAAUUCAAAACCAAUUCCUUUCGCAAAUUAGCAAUUCUAUUUAUAUAUGCAACACAGGAAUAUUAAUUUUAUUCAAUAAAAGGUAAAACAAUGAAUUUGUCAUGAUGCAUUCUUUCACAAAUUCCAUAAAAUAUAGCUCAGGAGCUUCAGGGGAUGAGAUAACAAUUACAGGCAUCAGGCCAAAGCGUAAGGGAAUUAUGAGGCCAUACUUCCGGGCCAACUGUUGAAGAUCUCGGUGAGGUUUGUUCCCCAUGAUGAAAGGGUUUCCAAAAAUAGGAAGCCCUCUCGGACCAGGAGGUAAUCUCUUAUUCUUCUAAUUCUCCCUUAAUUUUCCCUUUUCUUUCUAAUUUCUUCUAUCUAUAUCUGAUUUUACUUCUGACUUCUAUACUCUAACUAUUUUACCACCUUCUCCAGCAAUAUUCUUUUCAUCUCUUGGUAAUUCAUUAAUGUAAUUUCAUUCAGUCUUACAACAUGGGGAAUCUUUUGAGCAUCAGCUUUCAAUAAAGAACCUUCCUGCAUAAGCUUGAUAAGAAAUAUCAGCAAUCCAAAUUGAAAUUAAUAUUUAUAAUAUGGGUACGGCUAAAUUUAAGAAAAAAAAUGCAAAGAAAGCAAAAUGACCAAGUUAGUCUACCUUGUACCACAUGGAAAGAAUAUAUUAAUUUUUACAACAUAUAAUGCAACAAAAUAAAAGUUUGUGAUGACAAGAAAGUUAACUCCAAUUUGUUUAUAGUUAAAGAGAGUGGCUUUGUGAAAAUUUACCUUAGAUAGAGACUUAAUAUGUUAAGCGCACGUGUAAAAUAAAAAGUGGAUGAUUAAUACAAAAAUAAAAUAAAUAAACUAACAGACAAACAUGUCCUUUUCCAAAUAUGAAAGAACAGUUAUACGGAUCAACAUUGUGUUAUUGACAGCAAUUUAAGACACAUCCUUAGUAAACUUAGGUCACUUUUUAUAAGUUCAAAUGACCUUAAUAUUAGGGGAAAAUAAGUUAAAGUUAAGCUUUUAAUAUUGGUAAAUGGUAAUACCAAUCAAUGUUUCUCUCAUUUCAUUUAAUGCUUUCUUUUAAUCAUGUGUUGAACAUAACAUGCUCAUAAAAGUGUAUGAAGUUACUUUUCUUCAUGUAUCUAAUUACAUAGGCAUUCUUUAAUGUGUUUUUAAAGCAAUAGAGUAUCACAUGACAGCAUUAGUUCAUUAACUUUUAGGCAUAGCUAGACUUGAACUAAUCUUGGAGCAUUUCCUAUUUCCAAGUUAUUUUAGUCAAACUAUUAACAAGUCCAAUAAAUUGGAAAGAGUUGGGAAAUUAUUUUUAAGGAAAUAAGUGAAACGAAAGAAAACAGAAAAAAAAAAAAGGAGGAACAAGAAUUUGUUAUCAAUAAUUGAAUAUACCACUUAGCACCAGAUAGAAAAAAACUCCGCAAAGCCUUCAUGCAAAAAUUGGAAAUAUAUGCACGUGUUGUGUUUGUGUGUGUGUGUUAUGUGUAUACAAUUUUGUGAUUUGACAAUGGUCACACUAACCACAUCAUAGUCCACCUUUUACCACUUUACCUUAUGCAAUGGCAAAAAACUUCCACAUCAAAGAAUCAUAGAGAACAUUAAGGUUACCAAGACUAGCACCAGCAAUGAGUUCAAAGUCAAACCGGUCAAAGAUACCAUCUACAGGGCCUCCAAGCUCUUCUUCAACAAUAGAUACUCCAGUCUCUGAUGGAAAAGGUGGAACUUGAUCCUGCACAUGAAUAGCAAUUAAAUUCUUACCCAUAGAAUUUUAAAUUUAGAAACCAUCUGGCCAGCAAAACUCUUUCUCUUUUUGGGGAGGGAAGUGGAGGCUAUAAGUAAUAAAAAAUUAUGAAAUGAUUUUGUACAGAACUACUCUAUUUUAGAUUUCUUUUAAUGCCCUUCAUCUGACCUAUCUUGAAUAAAUUCUUCUCCAAGUAGAAGUUAACAUGCACAAUAAAAUAAUUUCAAAGUAAAGGAACUUCAACCUGUAGCUCUGACAACUGAUCAACAUAUUCUUGAGCAAGAAUGUCAACCCUGGCGGAGAACUGUUGGCCAACUUUGAUGAAAGUAGGACCCAAUCUCAAGAUACGUUCCUUUAACCACUUUGCCAGGGUCUUCCGCCUUAGAACUUUCUUUUCCUCAGUCAUUCCUCCUGCUUGUAUGCAACCUUAAAACUGGAUAUAUAACACCAACAACUAGAAACCAUAACAACAUUAUAAGAACUAAAGAAAAGGCAAUUAGAAACAACACACUAUAACUAAAAUGACUGUCCAAAAGCAAAUUUAAAAACUAGUCCUGCCUCUUUGCAAAGCAUGAAAACUAGAUCAGUUGAACAAAGCAUAGAUUAGACCAUUUUGCUUUAACAGUAAAAAACAAUAGGCAAGCCAUAUAGCCCUUAAUCUCUUUCAGAAGAAAACCUUUCUUUAGCAAAACUUUAUACACAAAGUAAUUUCCAUACAUGAUAAAUCAUAUUUGACUUAUCCAUCAUCUUAAACACUUCUAGCUCAUCAAUUUGAACAACUUUUGCAUAUUCAAAAUUUUCUUAUUAGAUAUAGAUUGUAAUAGUCGGCAGGGAUUUAAAUAACGGUCGCGGUCACGUUUUCGGUCGCAUAGCAUUUGUCACGUUUUCGGAUAUAACGGAGAUAAUUGCGGUCACUGCGGUUAUCACGGUCGUGAAAUUUUUUUUUUUGCACAAUUUAUUAUAAAAUGUAAUAAUUAUAAUUAUAAUUAUAAAAACUCUUAUUCAAUGAUUUUAAAAAUAGUUUAUGACACUCUAUGUUUUUAUUUUCUAAAAAAAUUAUUCACAAUUUUAUUUAGAUUAUAAAAAGCAUUCAUAUUUGGUUUAUCCAUAAAAUUUUUCUUGGCCAAGUUCAUAUUCAAUAUUAAUUCUAGACAAAUCAAAUAUUAACAAAACAUAAUAUGUUAAAUACCAAGCAUUUAAUUUAAUAAAAUUACAAACUUAAAAAUAUAAUAAUUUCAAAUUCCAUCAACUACAAUUAUUGAUACAUAUUUCAAAUUUACCACAUGGUAGAAUGACGAGGAGGAUCAGAUUCUCUAUCUUCACUUUGAGAGCCAAGUUGACUCCAUCUCCAUCCCUGAGACCUUUGUUCUUGAUACAUUUGAGGUGGAGGAUAUAUUUGAGGAUGAUACAUUUGUGGUGGAGGGUACAUUUGUGGUAACUGAUACAUUUGAGGUGGAGGAUAUAUUUGAGGAGGUGGAGGAUACAUUUGAUGUGGAUAAUAACCAUAUGGAGGUGGAUAACCAUGAGGAGGUUGAAAAUUAUGUUGUUCUAGUGGAUAAUAAUGUCUUUGAGUACUAGCAGAUGAUUCACUAUACUCAAAGUUACUAGAAUUUGGUCUUUCACCUGAAGAUGAAAAACCUCUAAAAAUUUCAUAGUGGUGCUUCUUUGCUUUUCCUUUUGAUCGAGCUGUACGUGCACUUUGACCCUCACUAGAUUCAGCAAAUGGAUUUCCUCCGUAUUCUGCCAUAUUAAUAAAAAGUCCACCAGUAACAGCAAGCCCAAAUUCUCCUCCAAGUGGGCUGUAAGGUCGAUUUGCAUCCAUAUUAUCACCAAAAUUUGCACCAUCACCAUCAUCAUCUGGACUUAAACCACCACCAUCAUCACUCUGACUUGGUAUUGGACUUGAACUUGAAUGAGACACAUUCCUUUCUUGAGAUUGACGUGAUCGUUCAACAUUCAUUUCAUUAUUAGAAUUAUCUGCAGGCAACCAAUCAGAGUUUUGACCAUCUAAUAGAGGAUUUUCUUUCUCUUGCAGCCAUUCUGUUAGUAGAUCAUCAUCUUCAAAAAUAUGGUCAAGGCUAAUAGGAUUAAAACUAUUAUUUAUUUCAUCAAUGCUCAUUCUUUUUUGAUGUCUCAUCCUCAACCUCAUGUUAUAAUAGGUAUAUAUAAGUUUCUGGAGUCUUGCAAACUUUAAUCUGUUUCUUGCUUUGGUGUGAAUAUAGCUAAAUGUGCUCCAAUUACAUUCACAAUUUGAUGCAAAUGUUGUUUGCCUAAGCACUUUGAUUGCUAGUUUUUGCAAUUCAGGAACACAAGUGCCAUAUAUCAUCCACCACUCAGCUGUAUAAAAUUAUUUAAAUUAAAUUUCAAUGGGCUAUACAAUUAAAUAAUAUAAAUAAAUUAUAAUUAUUUAACUUACUAUUUACCUGGAUUCAUUUGCUUCCAAGCUCUUUGUGCUUGUGGACUACCAAAUGUUUCAUGCUUGUCUCGAAAUAAUAACAACUACAUCGAUUGAAAAUACAAUAAUAAAUGAAUAAAUAAAAAACAAUUUAAUUUUUAAUACAUAAAACAAAUGUUAAAGUUAUAAAAUGGUAUUAAAUACUAACCUGAUUAAUCAUUCUAAUUUGAGAUCUAUCGAAGGUUCUAAUAUUUCAAUAACUGCUUUUAUACCUUCUAAUGUUUUCUUAAAUACAUUUACAGAAUGUUCCACUCCAAAUUGAAAUUGUGGAUUUAAAUAGUAACCUAAACAUAAUUUAUAACAAUAUUAUAUUAAAGUAAUAAAAAAUAAAUAUAUAAGCAAUUUAAGUAUAAAAAAUAAACAUAUUUUUUAAAUACCAUCUAUAUUCUUUGUUUACUUACCAGCUGAAUGCAAGUCAGAGUGCAUGAAACUCCAUCUAUUGUCAAUAAUCUUUUCAUAUUCAGCAGAAUAACGACAAGUUUGUUGAAUUGCUUGUUUAGCUCUAUCCACAGCCUCGUAAAUAAAGCCCAUUGUUGGUUUUUCAUCACCAUCCACAAGGCGCAACACUUUUACCAAAGGCUCAUAAACUUUUAUUAUAUCACCUAUUUUUUCCAAAAAUCUUUUCCAAAAUGAUUUUUUUGACUUCAUAAGCAGGUCCUGAUUUUUGUUGUCCCCAUUUUGAAUCUUUAAAUUCCUAUAUAUUCAUCAAUAAAUUUUUAGAGUAAUAUAUUUUAAAUUAAUAUUUUAAAACAAUAAUAUUAUAAAAAGAUGCUAGAUUUAAAUAAUUGUACUAAUUACUAAGUAUUAACCUUUGAAUUGAACAUCUCUCUCAAACUUUGCUUUUGCCUCAUUAUUUCUUCUAAUUGUAUGAAAUGAGUGGCAAAUCGGGUAAGAGCAGGACGAAGUAUUUGCUUCCCUUGUGUAUAUUUCUUCAUCAAAUAAACAGUCCAAAUGUGAUUGUAUAUAAAACAAGUCACUUUCUUUGCAUCAUCCAAAGCCUUUGUCACAUUUUUUUCCUCCCAAUAUCUUCAAGGCACAAGUCCAAACAAUGAGCUGAACAUGUUAUCCAAUACAAAUGUUUUCUCUUCUCCAUUAGUCUUUUUCCUGCGGCCUUAAGUGCUGCCUCGUUAUCAGUGACUAUUUGAACAAUAUAUUUUUCUUCAAUUUUUUCCACAACUUCAUCUAAUAAUCUGUAGUAAAAGUUUGUAUCUCUACUACGAACACUUGAGACAUCUACAAAUUUCCAAAAAAUAGUCCCUUUACUACAGUAAACAAGAAAAUUAAUGAUAUGCAUUUGAUUCAAACUAUUGGUCCAACCAUCACACAUCAAAGUGACACCCAAUUCAUUCCAAUAAGCUUUUAAUCCAUUAACCCAUUCAUGAACUUGUUAAUACUCAGACUCUAAAUACACAUCUGAGACCUCAUAAGGUGUUGGAAGUCUUACAUGUUGGCCAACUUCUGCUGCCAUAGAAAUCAAAUUAUGCAACCAUGGGGAAUUUGCUAAUUGAAAAGGAAGUCGAUCAUAUAUCAAAAAUUUUGAUACUGAUUCGCCAAUUUUUCUUCUUAAUGUCUAUAGAAAUGAAUCACUUACUUUUGGUUGUCUUGAACUUUUACUUCUAACCAAUUCAGGAACAGCUCCCCUUAAUGAAAAUUCAGACUCAUUUGGAGUUCUUGUUCUUUCUUCAAAAUAUUCAGCAACUGAACCAUGAAAGCUUCGUCCUUCUUCAUAUAUGUUACUCCAACCACUAGUUCUUUGUCUGAAUUCUUGUCUUCUAUGCCACUCAUGUUGUGAUUGGAUACUAUCUCGCACGGCUUAUCUAGUAGCAAUGUCUUCAUCAAUAAAUCCUUCAUAAUCAUCUUCCCCUCUUAACUGUGAUAAAAAUUUAUUUUUUCUUCUUUUGUUGUCAGCCUUUUUUGAUUUGCUUUCUUGAAGGAGUUUCAUCAUACUUUCUCUUACUAUACAUAUUAAUAAUAUAGUUUAAAAAAAAGAGAAAAUUAGUUGCACAUGCUUAUGUAAUUUUAUAAUUUUAUUAAGAAAUUAACAAUAAUAUUUUCAAAGAAAUUAAAAAAACAUAACAUACCAAUAACGUUGGGGCAUGGUGCAACAUUGCCAAUUUUAUGAGCAAUGUGUUCUUUGAAACGUGUUAUUCCUCCUUUUACAACUUUACUACAAAGUUUACAUGAAAUAUUUCUUCUUGUAUUUGGCACAGGUGUUCCAAAAUGCCAACCUAUAUCAUCACUUGGCGCGCCCUCUACUCCUUUAUUCGAAAACUCUUCACGUGGUGGCAUACUUACUAUUUUGUAUAAAAACAAAAUAAACUUAUAUUUAAAAAUAUUAAUAUUACUUAUUACAUCAUUAAAAAUUGAUUUUACGCUAAAUUUUUUAAUUUUAGUUUUUAAUCUUAAGAAUAUUAUUAAAUAACUUAAUAUUUUAGAUGCACUAAUUGAUAUUAAUUUUUUUAUCAAAAAAUAACUUCAAAUAAUUAUAUAAUAAAUACAAUUUUCAAUAAUUACACAAAAAUAAUAAGAAUUAAUCUAAUAUCAAAAGAAUUGACAACAAUAUAAAUAUCAAAACAACAAAAAAAAUUAUUAAAUUUCAUAUACAAAAUUAUAAAUUAAUAUCUAACACAAUCAAAAUAUAAUAUUUAAUUUUAAUUAAUUUUUGUCUAACUUAUAUAAAAAAUUUGUCAAUAAUUUUUAUCUACAAUCUCUAUGUAUAUCAUAUUAAAUUAUUAAUCUUUUAUUUUUUUUAAUUAUAAAUCUUCAAUCCCUCUAAUUAGAUUUUAUCUAAAAAAAAUUUCAAAAAUUAAAAGUUUUCAAACUUAAAUUUUAAUAAAAUUUUCAAACCUAUAUUUUUUAUUUUUUAGUUUUUAAUCUUAAUAAGAGUAAUAGAUCAUAAAAUGCUAAAUUUGUUAAGUAACUUAAUUUUUUUGAUACAAUAAUUGAUAUAAAAUUUUUUUUCACGAACAACUUUUAAUAAUUAUAUAAUAAACACAAUCUUCAAUAAUUACACAAAAAUAAUAAGAAUUAAUAUAAUAUCAAAAGAAUUGACAAUAAUAUAAAUAUCAAAACAACAAAAAAAUUAAAAUUCAUAUACAAAAUUAUAAAUUAAUAUAUAACACAAUCAAAAUAUAAUAUUUAAUUUUAAUUAUUUUUCAUCUAACUUAUACAAAAACUUUUAUCAAAAUUUUCAUUUAAAAUAUCUAUAUAUUAUAUUAAUUAUAAAUUUUCAAAACCACUAAUUAAAUUUUAUCUAAAAAAUUUUCAAAAAUUAAUUAUAAAAUUAAAUAAAAAAAUUCAAUCCCACCCUCCAUACACCCUACCACACCCAAUCCCUCCCCAUCUUCCUCCCAACGCCCCACCACACCCAAUCCACACCCAAUCCCUCCCCACCUUCCCCCCAACGCCCCACCACACGCAAUCCUUUCCACCCCAUCUAAUCUCUCCACGUGCCUAAUAUAUCAAAUUGUUUAAUUCUUUCUAACAACCCGAGCCGAGACCUUUCUAGAAACAUUUCAUUCUUCUGUUCAUCUUUUUCUUCGUCUUACAUUUUACUUUCUCUGGCUUUCCAAAAAAAUAUUUUUUUUCAUCUCUCGUUUUCUCUCACAUCCCUUUAUCACUAUCACCUACUGACUUACCUAGUAUCUACAGAUAUCUCGUUCGUUUUUCAAACUUUCACAAGACACAAACAGAUCGAUCAUUUUACAAAAAUUUUACAAAAAAAAAAUAAUUUAACUUUCUUUUCUUACCUUGUCUGAUCUUGAAUGUUGAUUGAAAACUUGAGGUUGAUUUGAAUUUGAAUGCUGAAAAUGCCGUUUGAAUGGUUGAAACUUGAAACUCUAUUUUUUAGCUCGUUUGAAAAUUUCUUUUGAUGAUAAAGAUCUGAGAUUGUGAAGUUGUGAGCUUUAUUUUUUGAUUUGGCUUUUACUUUUACUUUUGCAGGUUUGUUGUUUUAUUAUGCAGGCAUAAAAUUUUAUUUUUUUGUUAGAACUAUUAGAUCCGUGAGUAGAAAAACGGAAUAGCGACAAUAACGGUCCGUUAUUGCCGCUAUUGCCCGUUACGCCGUUAUUUUACGGUCGUUACUCUCCGUUUUUGCUGUGAAUAAAUUUCUCAACCGUUUUCUAUCUAUUAACGAUGGCGGAAGGCAGCGCUACCGUAAUUUUACGGCCGUUAUUCCGCUAUCAACCCGUUUUUUGAAUCUCUGAUAGUGGGCUUGGCCCACUGCUUAACUUGGUUUGUGCUUCCUAAAAAGCAUUGCCAGGUUUCACCAGCUAUCACAAUUUAAACAUCAAAGGAUUUAUCUCAAGGACAUAGGCCCAACCUUAAGCCACCCCUUAAACUUCGAUAUUCCACCAUUUGGUGCAACUUCCAUAUUCCAUCAACCAUCUAAAAAGACAAAAGGCAAAAUAACAAAUGAUCUCAAGAAAAUUUAAUACCCUGAUAAUGUUACUGAAUGCUGGAUCAUGUCAGUAAUUCAAAACCAAUUCUUUUCGCAAAUUAGCAAUUCUAUUUAUAUAUGCAACAUAGGAAUAUUAAUUCUAUUCAAUAAAAUCCUUUUAUCUAGUAAAACUAUAAUUAGAGUUUAUAAAAGGUAAAACAAUGAAUUUGUCAUGAUGCAUUCUUUAACAAAUUCCACAGAAUAUCACUUAGCAUCAUAUGUCAUGGAUAAAAUUUGGGAUUUUCCAAUUUUUAUAAUCUAAACAAUUGGAAAAAUGAAAAUAUGGGGCAGUCGUAGACAGUCAUGCAGAUGGACUUCAUUACUUAACAGCUGUAAAACCAUGAAGCAGAUGACCUCUAACCUAACCAAAACCAAUUGACAUUCAGGCAUACACUAUCUACUUUUAUUUUUAUUUCCUUUUGUUUCAUCAUGUGGAAGAAUGAAAUGCUUUACAGUAAGACAAAUUAUAUUUGUCAAGAAGACCAGAGUGGAAACAAUACGUCUUUAACUACAAAAGAAAAAAAAAAACACAAAUCUAGCAGUCAGUGACCUCUAUAAGAGAAUUUCUGAUUGUUCAACCAUGCCUUAUGUUUAAAAGUUAGAACAAAUCCCCAUUUCCAAGGUCCUUUGUAUUGUUGAGUAGGUUUUGAAUCUACUCCAAUGCCCCGCAGAGCAACAGAAACCUGAGAGAUUUAUUGCCACAAGAUGAUGGUUAACACAAAAUUAAAGGGGAACACACAAACACACCCAGACACAUCCACAGCUUAUACUUAAUUAGAAAGCACACCAAAAAAGAGAUGGUUGUGACACUAAAAAAGAUUGAUGCAGUCAGCUUAGCGUAUACUCUAUAAGUCAAGUAAAAAUCAAAUGCAUCAAAGAAAACGGUGAGAAUAUACAUCAAGGAAAAACACCUUGUUACUAGCUUAAAUAUGCUCCACCAUUUUUGGUUCUCGCCUGACCAACUUGCGAUCUAAUAUCAUCUUCGAGAUUGAGAGGUUUAAGAAUUAAGAGAGGGAAGCCACUCCUUGCAUAGCCCAACCAUUGGACAAAAUAUGAACAAUUUAAUCAACUUCUCUAUUAAAUUUGCAAACUCAGAUUUUUUUUUUAGUAAAUAGUAACCAUACAUAGUCCUCUUGACUGUCAAAUAAGUAAUAAGUUGAAAAGGAAAAAAAAAUUGGUAUAUGCUACUGCCAUGGUGUAAGUAAAUCAUAGGAUUCUACAAGCUUUACCAUUACCUCGGCAUUGCAUCAAGGCUCAGCACUAGGUACACUUCUUUUUGCAUUAGAUACGGACAAGCUUAUGGUACAUAUCCAAGUUAAAGUGCCAUGAUGUAUGUUAUUUGCAAAUGAUAUAGUCUUAGUUGUUGAAACUAAUGAUCUUAAAGCGAAAUUAAAAUUAUGGAGGCAUAUAUUGAAGUCUCAAAACUUUAAAUUGAGCAGAUCCAAAACUGAAUAUAUGAAAUAUAAGUUUAAUAAUUAUGGACAGCGAGUGCUAGUGUGAUUAAGUUGGAUAGUGGGUAAUAUCAAAGAGUAGUCAUUUUUUAUAUUUGGGAUCAAUUAUUCAAAUUGAUGCUGAGAUAAAAAAGGAUAUAAAUCAUAUGAUUCAAGCAGGAGGGUGAGAUGGUGAAGUGCAUUGGGUGUGUUAUAUGAUCACAACAUAACUUUAAAGUUAAAAGCGAAAUUGUAUAAAACAACUGUAAGGCUUGUGUUGCUAUAUGGAUCUGAAUGUUGAGUCGUUAAGAAAUAAUAUAAGAAGAAAAUGAGCAUAGCUGAGAUGAAGAUGCUUAAAUAGAUGUGUGGUAAGACUAGAAGAGACAAAAUAAAAAAUGAAAAGAUUCCAAAAAAAUUAAGGAUAGUCUGAAUUGAGCAAAAGAUGGGAAAGGGCCGUUUGAGAUGAUUUGGAUAUGUAAAACGUAGGCCUAUUUGUUCACCAGUUAAGAGAAAUGAGCUUUUAGAUUUAGGUGAAACCAAAACUUCCACACGCAGAUCACGAAAGAAAUGAAUGCAAAUAAUAAUAAAUAAUAUAAGUGUUAGGAAAGUAGAUGAAAAGUUUGUUGCUGAUAGAAAUAAAUGGCACAAAAAAUUCAAAACUACAACCUAACAUGAUUCUUUUUUUGGCCUGUCAUACAACUAACCCAAAGUUGUGCUAUAAGGCUUAGUUUGUUGUUGUUAGUAUAUACUUUUGCAUCAGUCAUGCAGAUCUACAACCAAUAAAUUAAAGGAAUGCUACAAACUCUGAACUAGUAGUACAUUUGCUUAAAAGCAAGCAAAACCUUCACAUCCAAAUUUAUUUUAUUAGAGUGCAGAAAAAAGAAAUUUCAUAUAUGUUAAAUUUGGGUUAAAUAUAAUACACAUCCAACCUAAAAUCAAUUAAGAAUAAGUGGAGUGACCUUGUUAUAUUUAUGUGCCCAGAUUAACCCCAAUUUAAUAGAUUUGGGAUUUCUUUUAUUCCAUUCUAAUAAAAUUCAAAUUCCAUAAGCCCUAUAUCUUACUAUUAUAUAAUAGCAGAAGCAACAUGUAUUUCAAAAAAUUAUGGCACCACUUAGCUAUUAAUUUUUUUAAUUGUUUUUUGCUCCGAAAAACAAAAUGGAAAGAUGAUGUUUGAAUACAAAAUUAAAUAUGCAUAUAAUUUGGAAAAUUAAUCAUACAAAAUAUCACAUUUUGUAAAGAAUAAAUGCAUAAUCUACUUUUAUAUUUUGAACUAUUAUGUUAAAAUUGUUGUAUUUUAGUCACUUCAGUCAUUUGUUGCCUCUGAAUUAAUAUGGUUUCCUUUCUAUCAUUCGCUUUGCUUUGCAGUUUGCAGAAAUUUUUAAGAAUCAAAAAGCAAGGAACAACGGAAAAAAAAAAAAAGAACAACAAAACAAAAAAUGAAUUUUUUAAUUCAAUUCCAAGUUCCCAACUGAGUAAAACCAAGUACCUCGACCUGUUCUUCAGUGCUGCGCUUGAACCAAGCCUCCUCUUUCCCAAUCUCUUCUACCCUCUUCUUCCUCGUCUCCUCCGAGACUACUCCGUCUUCUUCCACUACCAAAACCUUCGCCGCCGCAGCACCAUUCCCAUUGCCGUUCACGUACUUCACCAAGCUCCCAUUGCUCUCGCUCUCCACCACUCCUACCCCACCAUUGAUACAUCCCUCAACUGAUCCAUUAUUAUACUGGUACUUGCACUACCAUUACCAUUCAAUACAAACCUACCGUUAACUUCCUUGAUAAAUUCUUGCUCCCUUUCCUCGUAGGCAACUCCUUCCUCUUUAAGAACUCGAACACGAGAACGCAAAACGACGCCGUUCCAGAAAUGGAUAUUCCCAGAGAAAGAGACUCUAAAGAGAGAAGAACAUCUAGAGAGAUAAAAGCGGUACUUUUAAGUUGUUCUUGGAGUGAGAAAGUGAAGCUCUUGUAAUGGUAGAGAUGAAGCCAUUAAUGUAACAGAAUUAUCUUUUUCUUUCAACAAAAAAUUUGAAUCAAACCCUAACUAACACCCAAAAUUUUCAUUAUUUUCCUUUUCUUUUUUGGUUAUUUUUAGAACUGUUAAGGUUUUGUUGUUGGAGAGUGAAGACAAACGGACAAGUUUUAAAAAAAUUAAAUGAGGAGAGAAUGGAGAAAUAAAAAGUGAAAAAUGCGCGGAAAGAAAUAUAUGUAAUUUAAAAAAAAAAAAAAAAGGGUGGAGAUUAAGGAAAACACGUGGCAAGACGAUUGAGAGAGUGGGGAUUUUGAGAAUUGUGAUUGAAGAAGACUGUUGCAGGAGAUGUCUUGGCCAGAAAGUCUCUUUGACUAUACGAAAUUCAAUUGUACUCUUUUUAGCUUACGUGUCAGUUAAUUUUUGUUUUAAUUAAAGUUGCCCUUAAAAAAAAAUCCUGGACACGUGCGUUGGAUUAGAGUUAAAAGUUCAUUUGAGUAUGCGUUUGAUUUUAGUAAAAUGAAAAAUAAAAAAAAAUAGAAUUAUGAUUAAAAAUUUAUUAUAAUGAUAAUUAAAAAAUUUUAUAAAAAAAUUUAUUUAAAUAAAACUUAUCAAAAUUAAUAUUUAAAUUUAAUUGAUAAUAUAAUAAAUUCAAUUCACCAUACUAAAAAUAUGAUGAUAUCUAACAUCUAAUUAUAAUAUAUUUAGAUGAACGAUAAAAUUAAAUUUGAUAAAAUUGAAAACAAUGAUGAAAAUGAAAUUAGAAACUAUAACAGUAAGAUUGAGUGUUAUAAUAGUGAAAUUAAAAUCGAUGGUAAAAUAUAUGUUUGGAUGUAAAUGCAACGAUAACGAUGAAAUAACAUAUACUGAGAAGAAAAAAUAAUAAUUAAAGAGAUUAAAUAAAAACUUGUAUAAUAAAAUUUUUAAUAAAUUUUUUACUUUUAUGAAUUAAUUUUUAUAAUAAAUAAUAAAUUUAUUAAAAAUUAAUAAUAAUGUUUUACAAUUUAAAAAUUUUUAGCUUUUUAUUUUAUUAAUGAAUUUAUUAAUUAUAUAAAUGAUUUAUUAAAUAAUUAUAAUGAUAUUAUUUGAAAAUAUUUAAAUAUAAAAACUAAAAUAACCAAUAAAACAAACAAAUAAUAAAAAAGAUAAAAACAAAGCAUACAAGUGAUACGGACAUUUUCAUCUCUGCACAGAAAUUUUAAAGGUCAAAAAAAAAAAAAAAAAAAAAAAAGGAAGAGGGAGCACGGGUAAUAAAGGAAAGAAUGCUGCGAUGAGAGUGAAAUGUUUUCACUGAACCCUGAAGGUCCAGUCAGUUUUUAAACCUCCAGCGCAAUUGAAAAGCAUGAAACGCACUGAAUUGUGCUUUUCAAACACUUCAUCAGUCCAGUGAAAUGCUUCAACUGGAUUUCAAUGGAGCUUCAGUUGAAUCCAAAUGAAGGCUUAGUCAGGUCAGCCUGUCUGUUGAUGUUGAGGAGCCCUAAACUAACCCAAAAAAGAAAAACCUAACCCCGGUCCGGUGUACAAGGCAUUGGUCACAUGGUCAAGUUUCCAGAUUUUACAAGGAUUUUCUUUUUUUUCAUCAAUCAAAACCAACAAAUGCAAAUUUAUGAGUCCAAACCAAUGUAUCAUCAACUCAAUCGCUCAUUUAUUGUCAAGUUGGUAUGAAUGUUGGUAAUAAUUAUUUUUGAGUUAAUAUCAUAAAUAGACUCUAAUUAUUGUAAUUUUUAAUGUGAUAUCUAAAUUAAAGAUUUUAAAUAGUUACUUAAAUUUCAUUUUUAUUUAUUAAGUUAUUCCAAUUUUGAAAAUCAUUAGAAUAAGACGUUAAUGUGACAGUAAACAUUGAUGUGAAUUACAUGUGAUUACCAUAUGAGAAUAAUGCGGAUACCACAUGUCAUAUUUUAAAAAAAUAAAAAUACAAAAUCUUUUAAAUAAAAUAAUUUUAAAAUAAAAAAAAACUUUUUAUUUUUCAGUUUUCCUUUUUAAAAAUUAGAAGAUACAAUCACAUCACUAUUACAUAAUAAUCAUGUCUCAUCUACAUCAUUGUUAACUACACUAAUGUUUAUUCUAACGAUCUUAGGAAUUAAAAUAAUUUAAUAAAUUUAGAUACCAAUUUUAAAUUUUUUUUUGAUUANNNNNNNNNNNNNNNNNNNNNNNNNNNNNNNNNNNNNNNNNNNNNNNNNNNNNNNNNNNNNNNNNNNNNNNNNNNNNNNNNNNNNNNNNNNNNNNNNNNNNNNNNNNNNNNNNNNNNNNNNNNNNNNNNNNNNNNNNNNNNNNNNNNNNNNNNNNNNNNNNNNNNNNNNNNNNNNNNNNNNNNNNNNNNNNNNNNNNNNNNNNNNNNNNNNNNNNNNNNNNNNNNNNNNNNNNNNNNNNNNNNNNNNNNNNNNNNNNNNNNNNNNNNNNNNNNNNNNNNNNNNNNNNNNNNNNNNNNNNNNNNNNNNNNNNNNNNNNNNNNNNNNNNNNNNNNNNNNNNNNNNNNNNNNNNNNNNNNNNNNNNNNNNNNNNNNNNNNNNNNNNNNNNNNNNNNNNNNNNNNNNNNNNNNNNNNNNNNNNNNNNNNNNNNNNNNNNNNNNNNNNNNNNNNNNNNNNNNNNNNNNNNNNNNNNNNNNNNNNNNNNNNNNNNNNNNNNNNNNNNNNNNNNNNNNNNNNNNNNNNNNNNNNNNNNNNNNNNNNNNNNNNNNNNNNNNNNNNNNNNNNNNNNNNNNNNNNNNNNNNNNNNNNNNNNNNNNNNNNNNNNNNNNNNNNNNNNNNNNNNNNNNNNNNNNNNNNNNNNNNNNNNNNNNNNNNNNNNNNNNNNNNNNNNNNNNNNNNNNNNNNNNNNNNNNNNNNNNNNNNNNNNNNNNNNNNNNNNNNNNNNNNNNNNNNNNNNNNNNNNNNNNNNNNNNNNNNNNNNNNNNNNNNNNNNNNNNNNNNNNNNNNNNNNNNNNNNNNNNNNNNNNNNNNNNNNNNNNNNNNNNNNNNNNNNNNNNNNNNNNNNNNNNNNNNNNNNNNNNNNNNNNNNNNNNNNNNNNNNNNNNNNNNNNNNNNNNNNNNNNNNNNNNNNNNNNNNNNNNNNNNNNNNNNNNNNNNNNNNNNNNNNNNNNNNNNNNNNNNNNNNNNNNNNNNNNNNNNNNNNNNNNNNNNNNNNNNNNNNNAAUGAACCACCUCUAUGUCAAGAAUUUUUUUGAAACUUUUUUUAAUUUUUAUUUUAGACAAACAAAUGAUAAAAAUAAUUCUACCCAUUUUUUUACUACAAUACUAUUUUUUUAAUUUAGAGAAAAGAUCUUAAAAAAAAUUCUUUUUGAGAAAAGAAGGAAAACUUAUCCUUUUGUUUUUUUUAGGAAAGAAAAGGAAAAAAACAUUUUUUACAACUUUUUUUAAAUGGCAAAACAUUUUAAAAAAAACCCAUGAAAAAUAUAAAAAUUUAGGACAUACAUACACUAAUUUAAAUUAAACAAAAAAAUAAAAGGUUUUUUUUUUUGUGAAAUUUUUGUUUAAAUUUUGGUAGUAAUAUAUAACCAUUUUAUUAUUGUAAAAAAUAAAUAUGUUUCUUCACACGUAAUAAUUCGAGUAUUUUCUAUAAAAAGGUUUAACAUAGCUCUACCCUCGACUAGGCUUUUAAGGGUCAUUGUAUGCUAGGUUAAAAUUUAUACAACUAAAGGUUUCUAAAUUAUUUCUUACAUUAUCGUCCAUUAUAAACUAGUAAGCACCAUUAAUCUUCACCCAUGACAGGCCAAAAACUGAAAAGUUUCAAUUUGAAUGAAAGUAUUUUACUUGUUCAUUACGAAGGUUAUCACCUCACGAGAGUAUAGGUACUUUACUUUCCUUCUAUAAGGUAGAGCCCUGGGUAUAGGAGCUUAUGCAUGCAGUGCAAUAUGCUGUUGUGUGUGCAAAUGCCCCCUAAUUUGCUAAGGAUAAUAUAUACAGAGAAAUAAAAUAAAAAAAUAGUACAAUUAAAUUGCAAUGCUAAUGAUUCUUUUAAUUGAUUAUUAUUAUUUUUAUUAUUUGAUUUUUUAUUUAAAAGGAAACAAAAUCAAUAUCAAGGAAAUUAGAGUUAAACAUCGAUUAAGACUAUUUACAUCAAAAUUGAGAAUAACAUGCAAUUAAUUUUGUCCUGACUCUAAAAAAAAUGCAUCUCUAUUGAAGUUGCCAAGCUGUCGUAAUGAUUUUGGGAAUGGCUUAGAUGAAUUUAAAAAUAAAUAGUCACCACUAAUCUUUUUGGCUAUGUGCGAUUGAUCACCUAUUAAAACUUAUCUUUUUAACAAAAUCUUAAAAAUAAAUUUAAAAUUUAUUAAAAAGAUAAUUUUAUGGUCUGCAAAAUAGUUUGAGCUCAAGAGUCGAUUACAUGUGAGAAAAGAUUAGCACAUUCACAGCAUCUGUUUAAAAUGAUACCAAUUAAUUAUAUGUUAUCCUUUAAUUCUAACAAAAAUGGUUUUAAUUUUGGAAUUUAAAAGUCAUUUCCUUUAUUUCCUUUAUUUAUCACAAUUUGGCUUUUUUUGUUAUUAUCUUUUAUUAAUAUUCAAUUUUUAUUUAGAAAAAUAAAUUAAAACCUUGUUAUUGAAAAAAUUCUGAAGAUGCUCUUUGGUAACAUUUGAAAAAAAUUUUCUCAUCCAAAGAUUCCUUAACUAUCGCUACACGGAAUACCUUUAAAUCUCAUCCUAAAAGGCUUACAUUUAUUCUUCAAAAAUUAAAUGACAUGCAUGCAAUACAAAUGAUUAAAUAUUAGCUUGCAUGUUUUAUUUAUCCAUUUUUAAAAAAAAGUUAUUUAUUAAUUAUUUAUUAUAUUUUUUAGAUUUUUUAAAAAGAAAAGAAAAAUUUUUAUUGUAUUGAAAAUUUUUUAUAAAUACUCUAACACGUUGGUUGUAUUUUAAAAAAACUUCUCACCUAAAAAUUUCUUCGAUAUUACUACUCGAAUUACCUUACAAUCUUAUCAUAGGAGGAUUUUCAUUUUUAUUCUAGAUUUUUUUACACUUAUUAUUUACUUUAAAGAUUUAAAAAUUAAGUAUGCAUAAAUAAACAAAUAAAUAACUUAACGAAAAUAUAUAAAAAAUUAAAUUUAAAAAAGUAAGAAAAUACCUAAAAGGAUGGUCAAAGCCAGUUUUGUAGCAAUUCACUAUUGGUUUGGACGAUUCAGCCAGUUCACAAAUAGUCUGCAAAUGAUUCAGGCAAGUCCAGGCAAUCCAAACAUGGUUUAAAAAUGGUUCAAAUGGUUCACAUUGAUUUAAGAGUGGUCUGACUAGACCGGUACAAAGCUACUGAAAGGAAUGGAAACUAGUCGGACAGGCAGACCCUGGGUUGGGUUGGGUCCACGUUCAGGUCACUAAUGGCUUUUUUUUCUAUAUAAGCCAAUGUUUUUUUUUACUUCAUUUUAAGAUUUUUUAAAAAAAUCCUUCGAGUUCUUAGAAAAGAACUAAAUGGUCGACAACCAAACUACCCAGAGUUUGGUGCUGACCCGUCUUGCCAUCUGCCAUUAAUCACCAGUCAUCGACGCCAGUUAGCUUAAAAAAAAACACCUAAAAUUCCUUUUGAUGUCUUUUACUUAUUUCUUACCUUAGCUUAGCCUAAAACAACCCCAAAAGCUCUAGAUCUAGGCUGAAAGCCCUUGGUCUUAAAACCCAAAAAGCCUUGUUCUGCCACUUCAAAUGCCUUUUUCUUCUAGUAUAUUCCCCACUUAACUUCAACCUAUCUCUCUCUAAAGAUUCGAGCCUAAAGCCCCUUCAAAUUGAAAAUUUCUUUUUUUUUUGUAUUUUUUUAUGUUGUUUCCAAGCGUUGUGGUUCCUCCCCUUAAGAAAAAAUGUGAAUUUUUUCUUUUUAUGUCUAUGUGAUUUAUGAUUUUUAGUAGUUAGGUCAAAAUUUUUUUAGUUUUUUUCAAUUUUUUUGAAUAAUUUUUUAUUGACUUUUUGUAUGGGUAUGUUUUGAUCAGGGAGAUUUAGUUUUUAUGAAGGGUCAUGCAAUGUGGGUUUUUGCUUGCUGGUGGACAGCUUUAGCUUGAAGGCAAUGUGUUUUUUUGGGGUGGCUAAUGGUGGUUGGUUGGCUUAUGGGGAUAGUGGUCACAACAGGGUUUCAUGGGUAAAGUGUGGUUGUUUUAUUAGAAAGAGGUAAAGGUCCUGUUCUAGUAAAGGCUAAUGGUGUCAUAGCAGUGGGUUUAGGGGCUAGUUUUUUUUAGUAGUGGUGAGCUAAGCUCACAGUGGUAGUGGAAGAUAGAUGGUGAUGGUAUUUGUGGGUUGAUGGAAGUAGGGAUUUUUCCUUUGGCCAAGUGUUCUCGAUUUAAAAUUGGCCCCAUUUCUGAUGAUUUAUGGCUAGGUUUUUAUUAUGCUGUUAGAUCAUUAGAAGGACUAGGGGAAAGCAUAAAUUAUUAGGCAUUAAGGUGGAUUGGUGGCAACUGGAAUUUAGCUACCAAAGGUGUCGGUUGAGGCUGGGAAACAUAGGUUAAUGUGGUGCUAGGGUGGAGCUGGUGACUAGAUAGAAUAAAUGGGCUCAUCAAGGGUAGAGAAGGUGCAGGGUAAGGCUUUAGGGUGGCUCAACCUAAUGGCACCAAGUAAGGCACCAAGCUGUAGUUUCUUUUUUUUUUUUUUUUAGAUUAAUUUUUAAUUGAAAAUAAAAGGUUUUGAAUCGGGCUUUUUUAACUUGUGUAAUGGGCCUUUAAGCUUAAAUGGCCUACUCUAAGUUUUCAGGCCCGAAUGAUCCACGUACUAGGCCCAUAUGAUUAAAUUCAAUAAUGACUUAAACAACUUAAAAUGAACACAAAUAAAACAUACAAUUACGAUUAACCCAAACAAAAUUAGGUGUCUAUAGAGGCAUUAUAGUAAUUUUCAUGAGAAUUAUUUUAAUAUAUGUUAUUUAAGGUUUAAUAAGUAAUUUAAUAGGAUAUUAUAAUAAAUUUCAAAAAAUUUUCACAUGUCAAAUUUUAGCCAAUUAUAUUAGGAAGGUAUUUUGUAAUUAUUAUAGUAGGAUAUUAUAGUAAUUUUAACUAAUUAUAAAAAAAGAAAUAUUUUUGUAAUUAUAGUAAAAAAGCACAAUAGUAAAUUUGGAUACGUAUUGAUAUUAUAUCAAAUAAACAAAAGGUUAUUAUAAUAAUUAUCAAGGAGAUUGUUUUAACAUAUGUUAUUAAUUUUAAAACAAAACGUCAUAUGUCAACUUCCUAUUAAGCAUUCACAUGGGAAUUUCCUUGAUUAUGAUAGGUGAGAUAUUAUAGUAAUUUUAAUCAAUUAUAAGAUAAAGGUAUUUCUGUAAUUAUGGUAAAAAGGUAUUAUAAUAAUUUUGACCAAUAAUAAAAAAGGUAUUUUCGUAGUUUAAUAAUAAGAUAAGGGGUAUUUUUAUAAUUCAAUAAUAAGUGAAGAUGUAUUUCCAUAAUUAUAAUAUAUGGUAUUAUAGUAAAUAGUUAUAAAAGAAUGAAUAUUUUCAUAAUUAUUAAAUAAAAGCAUCAUAGUUAAUUUAUGAGAAAGAAUAUUUUUGUAAUUAUGAUAUAAAAGUAUUAUAAUAAAUAAUUAUAAAAGAAAGGAUAUUUUCAUAAUUAUCAUAUGAAGGUAAAAUAGUCAAUUUAGACAUAUCAAUUUCUUAUCAAAUAAUAGGAAGGAUAAUUUGUUAAUUUUCUUAAGAUUUCUUUUAUAUAUGUAUGUUUGUAUAUAUGUGUGUAUAGCUGUCAAUUAGUUUAAAUUAACAGGUUGAAAGAAGCAAUCAUUCUCUCUAUUGUGACUGUUAAAGGUAAUGUUAGGUCUAAAGGGUAUUUUGGUUAUUUUUUCUAAUUAGAGAUUGUCAGUAGAUAACUAGGGGCAUUUUUUAUUUUUGGGUUGAUUUGACAUGUGAAUCUAACUUACAAUGCAAUGCCACAUCAACUCGGCCACGUCAUCGCUCACCUCUUAAACCCUUCACAUUUUGCCUUUAAAUAAGACUCCCUACGUACUAUCCAAGCAUAUGACUUUUCUUUUAUUUUUGCUUUAUUUUCCUCUCAUUCCAACCUUUCUUAUUCUGACUUCUAACUUAAGCGUCGGAGUGCAAACAUAAAAAAUACUAUUUACUUUUGCUUUUAGCCGUUUACUUUUUUAUAAUUUUAGGGUUUUGUCCUUCAACUCAAAAUUCAACACAAAUAUUUGGUGUGUCAGGUAGAAGCAAAAAUGCAUCUUUUAGUUAAGCAAAACAAUAUGUUGCCUAAAAGAAAGCCUUUGAGGAAUGAAAGCCAACUGUCCCAACUAGGAUCGAAACCUCAUAACAGCCAACCUAUGGAUUGACUUGCGUGGGUACAAGCAAGGCCAACUAUGAAAUAAUUUGAGGCCUUGAUCGAACAUAUCCAAGCCUUAAAAUAGAUGCUCCAAAGCAUAACACUAUCCCAAACCUCAAAAGUACUUAAUCUGGUCACCCUUGGUAAACAACCAAGCUAUGAGAAAGUUGAAGCUUUUUAAGCCUCUAAGGAGGAGAAACAUAUCAUUCCAACUACCCAUCACCACCACCCUAAUCAUAACUCUACCCAUGCCACCACCCAAAAAUCCAAACAACCUUUAACUCCAAUGAAACAAAGAUCUGGAAGCCAGGAUGCAAGCUAUGGAGAAGGAAUAGAAAGAAAAAGCAAUAGCUUUUGAAAACAUGCAAAAAUCUUGGAAACCUCACCUUUUACUAAAGAAAUCGAUUGAACCAUGCUUCAAAAUGCCAACUUUGGAAACCUAUUAUGGUACUUUUGAUCCUUUUGAUCAUUUAGAGCUUUAUCAAACUAAUAUGAUGAUACAAGGUAUAGAUAAAACUAUCAUGUGCAAAAGUCUAGCCACGACCUUUAAAAGAUUAGCUUAGUCCUGGUCUUGGUAUUAUAGUAUGAAAUCGAGGUCCAUUAUCACCUUUAAGGAGCUCAACCAUUUUUUUUUUGCCAAGAUUUGUAAGCAGCUGAAGAACUAAGAAAACCAUUCUAAGCUUGAUAUUGAUCCAUCAAGGUAGAAAUGAGUAUAUAAAAUACUAUGUUACAUGUUUUAAUGUGAAAGCUUUACAAGUGAAAGAUCUAUAGUAGACAACUGUACUGGCUGCCAUCACUAACGGACUCAACGAUAGAGAAGACUACCUAAAGCUCACACAAUCCCUCAAACUACCAAAGACAUUGCUGACGUGCUAUUUGUCAUGGAAAAAUACAUAAAUGCUAAAAUUACAAUAAAAAAUUGAGUAGAGAAAGACACAUCUCUCAUUCGUGGUGGACGAGAUGAGAGAAGCUCAUCUCCUUUCCUCAAUUGGAGAAAAGGCAAGGAAGUUUAUAAUCGUCAUUGAGAGAAAGACAAAAAUGGUACAUUAGGGCCUAAAGCUCGAGCCGAUAAUGAAGCUACAUUGUACUAAAUAUUUUCAAAGAGAGGAUUUUGAUGUAAAUUAAAAAGGACCUUGAGCUUAGAUGGCCCAAGUUGUUGAGGCAAAACACCCAUUGUGAUCAUAACAAAAUAUGUGAGUUUUAUAGAGAUUUCAGCCACAACACUGAAGAUUAGUUAACCUGAAGAAUGAAAUAGAAAGUCUUAUCAAAAGAGGUCGGCUAGGAAAGUUCAUGGUUUGAUGAAAAAAAAGUCAAGAUAGGCCAGACUACAGAAUAAGGAAUCAUAGAAAAGAGCUAGUGAGGAAUAAAAAAGAUAGACUAGAUGGAAAUUGAGGUAGUGAAAAUCAGAGAAACGAGCAAGAAGAAAAAGGUUGAGCUAUAGGCAAUAAGCCCAUUACAUGCAUAAUCACUAUGAUUAUUGGAGGAAGUUUUACUUUGGCUAAAAAAAAUUUAAUUAGGGAAUGAUCAUUGCCAUAAGGUCCUUAACCAAGAAAGAGAAGAGCUAGAAAAAUGAAUCGAUCUUUUUCACGUCAAAAGACGUGGAAGGAAUCAAAUUUUCACAUGAUGACGUUAUCAUAAUCAUGGCUGUUAUAUAUAAUCAUGCAGUAACAAAUAUUCUAUUUGGCAAUGGGAGCUUGACUGAUGUUUAUUAUUACAUAACAAUACUAAGAAUGAGAAUCAAAGAAGAGAUGUUAAAACCAUUUACUACCAUACUACUUGGCUUCAGAAAUGAACCGAUAUCAAUAAAAAGACUAAUCAAGCCACCUAUCACACUUGGUACCAAGCCGAAAAACAUCACAUAGGUCAUAAAGCUCAUAGUGAUAGACGUGCUUUCAACUUUCAAUAUGAUCUUAGGCUGACCUAGUUAGUCUAUUACAUGGCUAAUUGGCUCAACUUCUCAUUUAAAGAUCAAGUUUUUGACAUUGAAUGAAGUUAAAGAGGUAAGAGGAAACUAGUCCACGGCAUAAUAAUACUAUGUCAUAAUGAUAAAGGUAAGACUAGGAAACAGACUAACAGUUCAACCAAUGAGGAAAAGUUAAAAAAAACAAAGAUGACUGAUAUAAAGAUUAAGGAAGUGAAAAAAGCAAAAUGAAACAACCUUAGUUAAAAACAGCACGAAAUUGACAAAAAAAAUGUGUUUUUAAGCCGCUCUGAGCUCUUAAGCUCUAUACUUGUACAAGUCAUAAACUUUUGCAAUUUUUGAAUAGAAUUACAGAAGUUGAGCUCUUAAGCCUACAUAAACACUUGUCAAUAGAAUCGAGUUUUCAAGCUAGCCAUAAGAAAAUUUGAAAUACAAAUCUUCGUUUUGAUUCAGUUAUACUUUUUUAUUAUAUGCCAUCCUACUAACAACAAAAUACUAUCAAUUAGGAUUUGUCUUUUUUACAAGAAACAAUCUCGACCUAAUUAAACAAAAAGAAAUAAUUGACCAGAGACCUAAGGUUGAUGACAAAAAACCAGAACCAAUAGAGGACAUCGUCUCUAUACCAUUCUUGGAGAAUAAUCCUUAAAAAUGUAGGCUAAUUUAGGUCAAGCUUAACCAUAAGAAACAUCUAAUUUAACUAUUAAAAAAUAAUACCGACCUGUUUGCAUGGACAUCAUCAGAUAUGCUAAGGAUUGAUCUCAAGGAGAUGGUUCAUAGGUUACACAUUGACCCAAACAUGAAGCUAGUUUAGCAAAAGAAUAAGAUCUUUGCUCCAAAUAGGCAAAAUGGUUAUUUAAAUUAAUAUUUAAAUUCAACUGAUAAUAUAAUAAAUUCAACUCACCACAUUAAAAAUAUGACUAUAUCCAACCCUCACUUAUGGUUUAUUUGGAUGAGCGGUGAGAUUGACUUCGAUAAGAUUAAAAAUAAUGAAAAAAAUGAGAUUAGAUAUUGUAGCAGUAAGAAUGGAUACUAUAAUGAUGAGAUUAAAAUUUGUGAUGGAAUAUAUAUUUGGAUGCAAACGCAACGAUAGUGAUGAAGUGAAAUGUAGUAAGAAGAAAAAAUAAUCAUUAAAGACAUUAAAUAGAAACUUGUAUAAAAAAUUUUUAAUAUAUUUUUUACAUUUAUGAAUUAAUUUUUAUAAUAAAUAAUAAAUUUAUUAAAAAUUAAUAAUAAUGUUUUACAAUUAAAAAAUUUUUAGCUUUUUAUUUUAUUAAUUAAUUUAUUAAUUAUAUAAAAGAUUUAUUAAAUAAUUAUAAUGAUAUUAUUUGAAAAUAUUUAAAUAAAAAACUAGAAUAACCAAUAAAACAAAUAAAUAAUAAAAAAGAUAAAAACAAAGCAUACAAUUGAUAUGGAUAUUCUCAUCUCUGCACGUAAAUCUUAAGGGUAAAAAAGAAAAAAAAAAAAGAGCAUGGGUAAUAAAAGAAAGAAUGUCGCGAUGAGAGUGAAAUGUUUUCACUGAACCCUGAAGCUCCAAUUAGUUUUUAAACCUCCAAUGCAAUUGAAAAGCAUGAAACGCAUUGAAUUAUGCUUUUCAAACGCUUCAUCAAUCUAGUGAAAUGCUUUAAUGGAUUUCAAAAAAGCUUCAGUUGAAUCCAAAUGAAUGCUUAGUCAGGUCAGCCAGUCAGUUGAUGUUGAGCAACCCUAAACUAAGCCGAAAAAGAAAAACCUAACCCCAGUCUGGUGUACUAGGCAUUGGUCACAUGGUCAAGUUUCCAGAGUUUACAAGGAUUUUUUUUUUCAUCAAUCAAAACUAGCAAAUGCAAAUUUAUGAGUCCAAACCAAUGUAUGAUAUUAGCUCUCUAUUUAUAAACCUCUUAACUAUACACGAGUUAAUAAGUAGCUAUAGUUUAUUUUGACAGUUUUCAUGAAUAAUGACAAUAUUUUUAUUUGUUACUGUAGAUACUACAGCAGAUUGAUGUUUGUUUACUUGCUGUCUCAGACUUUGAACUAAGCUGUCUUGACUUGCCAGUGGUAUUGGUGUAAGUUUAUUUUGGUUUGGAAUAACUUAUCCUUUUUGAAUAUUAUCUAGAUUAAUUAACUUUUCAUCUUUAGGAUUAAAAGAUCGAGUAGAAACUGUUCUAGAUUUAUUCUACAUUUGUCAUCCUUUUGAUAUUGAAAUAGAAGAUGCUAAAGAAGAUCCAUGUCUUUCAUUUCUAAUAUUUUUUGUAAUAGUGCUAGUACUUCAGGUUUUACUACCAUUUCAAAGUCAUUGGCGGCAGCAUAGAAUCUUUUAACAAAAAUUCUUUGUCCAUCUGUUUGGGUAGAAAUUCUGAGAUACGAUGAAUGAAUAGUUUGAGUCAAAAGAAUUUUGGCAUAAUUAAUCAUGGAUAUUCUUGUUUGUAAGUGAUAUCUUGAUGAAUUUGAGUAUUUCUGUAUUACUUGGUUUAGUUGUUCAAAAUUUUCAAUUCCAUCCAUUGCUAGUUCCAAGGGAGGACCAGACAUAAGUUUCUCAACUUCCCAUAUCUGGUAAGGUUGGAAGAAUUUUUCUUAGUAUGUUCCAAGGAGAUUAUGGUAUGUUCCAAAGAGAUUAUGGAUAGAAAAAUGCAUAUAACAAAACAGUUUUUGAUUUAUUCCACAUCUAUCAUCCUUCUUGAUAUUGAAACAGAAGAUGUUGAGGACAAUCAAUGUCUUCCAUUUUUUAUUUUUUUGUAGUAGUGCCACUGCUUCAGGUUCUACUACCAUUUCAAAAUCAUUGACGGCAACAUAGAAUCUUUCGACAAAAAUUCUUCGUCCAUCUAUUUGGGCAAAAAUUUUGAGAUAUGAUGAACGACUAACUUGAGUCAAAAGAACUUUGGCAUAAUUCAUCAUGGAUAUUCCUGUUUGGAAGUGAUAUCUUGAUGAAUUUGAGUAUUUUCUAAAUUACUUGGUUUAGUAGUUCAGAAAUUUUCAAUUCCAUCCAUUAUUGGUUCCAAGGGAAGACCAGACAUAAGUUUCUCAACUUCUCAAAUCUAGUAAGGUUAGAAGAAUUUUUUAUUUCUUGAAUAGAAUAUGGUUUUCUUCAAAGAAAUCUACGUCUUGCUUUUUUAGCAGAUAUGAAGAACAAAGAUUUUUGAAAACCAAUUCAUCAAAAAGUUACUUUUUUUUAGCUUUUUUAACUAAGAAUUCAACUAAUUUAGUCAUCUUUUUUCUAAAAUUCGAUUUGUUUUGAGAGGGAUGGGGAUUUUCAAAUAUUGUUGAACAUAUUGUAUAUGUCAACAGGGAAGACCAGGAUUGUAGAAAUUUUUUAUUUUCUACAUUUGUCAUUUUUGUAUCUUUCCAACAAUUUUUUUAUGAUUGUACAAUUUUGAAUAAGAAAUAAGGGUCUAUUGGUUUGGAUCCUAAGAAAAUGGUGAAAGAUUUUUAAGGAUUUGUAGUACUGGGUUGUAUUUACAUCUUUUUUAUGGAAAGAUAAAAUAAGGCAUUUAAGGAAUCUAAUGCGGUAAAUCCUCUUGAGGGUUAAUAAAAGGUGUAUAUCCCAGGUUAAGAUAUGAUUUAGUAUUUGUAGAGGAAAAGGAAGAAGAGGAAACUUUUUUAGUUUGCCUUUUUUGUAUUGUUCUCUAUCCUUCUUGCUGCUGUAGAGGGUUUUUAACUCUAUCCCUCUGGCCUGUUAAGAUAAUCUACAAGAAAAUUUUUAUCACCAUUAAUAAAUUCAAUACUAAAAGUAUAUUGACAUAAAAAAUUAUACCACCUAAUCCAUCUUGGAUUAGUUUCUAUUUUUCUAUUUUUUAAGAAAUCUCGAACAUAUUGGUUAUCAGUUCUGAUUGUAAAAUGUUCAAGUGCAAGAUAAAUAUGAAAUUUAAAAAUAGUAUUUUUAAUGGCUAAUAAUUCUUUUUCAAAUAUAAUAUAUUUGAUUUCGUUCUGUUUGAACUUGCCAGAAUUAUAACCAUAAAUAAGUUUAUUUUUGAACUUUUGCUUUUAAAACACAUCCCUAGUGUUCAUUUAAAGCAUCUGUUUCCAAGAUUAGAUAAUCACCUUGUUUAGGUAAAUAUACUUUUGAAAUAGUAGCAAGUUCUAAUUUUAUUUGUUUGAUAAUACCAGAAUCUUGGUCUAUCCAAGAAAAUUCAAUAUCUUUUAUCAAUUUUUCUUGUAGAAUUUUCUCCUUUUUAGAGAAAUUUUUGAAGAAUUGUUUUCCAUAGUUAAAAGGACUAAGGAAUUGUUGCAAAUGUUUUAUAUUUUCUAGUUAUUCUGGAAAAUCUUUAAUUUUUGAAAUAAUAUGAUCUUGAAGAGUAAAACCAUAUGAUGAGAGAUUUAAUCCUAAAAAUCCUAUUUUAAUUUUUUCUAACUCAAUCUUUUUUGAACUGAGUAUAAUACCAUGUUUGACAAACUCUUAAACAAUAAUAUUAAGAUGUUUUUUAUGCUCAAUUAGAUUUUUAGAAAAAAACUAAAAUAUCAUCAAUAUAUACACAAUAAAAUUUUUUAUGUUUUGCAAAAAUUUUGUCCAUUCACCUCGAAAGAUUUGAGAGGCAUUACAUAAUUUGAAUGACAUAAUAGUCCAUUGGUAAUGGCUUGUUGGUGCACAAAAAGUAGUCAAUGAUUUUGACUUUUUGGUAAGCAUUAUUUGCCAAAAACUAAAAUUACAGUUAAAUUUACUAAAAUAUUUAGCAUCUUUUGCUAAAUUGAUUAAAACAUCUUUUUUGGGAUAAAAUAUCCAUCAAAAACAAAAUUUUGGUUAAGCCUUUUAUAGUUGAUUAUCAUAGGGCUUGACCACGUUUUUGUUUAGAAUGUUUUCUGACAAGAAAUGCAAUACUAAAAUGAGGGCUAUCUGUUUGUUCAAUUAAACCUUUCUUGAAAAGUUUUAAAAUUUGAAUUUCAAACUUAUCUAUAUCCUGUUUGAUAUAAAUCAUAGGUUUAACUCUAAUAAUUUUAGCUAAGUCAUUAAUUUUUAGUUCAAAAAAACGAGAACGUUUUUCUCAUAAUUUCAGUUGAUUUUCACUGAAAUUAUCUUGGAAAAUUUUAUAUAACUAACAUUUUCAUUUAUUUGUUUUAUCUUGGUCUGGUUGGCUUCAGGAUAAAAUUCUUUAUUAUCAACUCAAUACCUCACUUGUUGUCAAGUUGGUAUGAAUGUUAGUAAUACUUAUCUUUGAGUUAAUAUCAUAAAUAAACUCUAAUUAUUGUAUUUUUUAAUGUGAUAUCUAAAUUAAAAAAUUUUAAAUAGUUACUUAAAUUUCAUUUUUAUUUAUUAAGUUAUUCCAAUUUUAAAAAUCAUUAAAAUAAGUGUUAAUGUGGCAAUCAACAUUGAUGUGAAUUACAUGUGAUUACCAUAUGAGAAUAAUGCGGAUACCACAUGUCAUAUUUUAAAAAAUAAAAAUACAAAACUUUUAAAAUAAAAUAAUUUAAAAAUAAUAAAAAAAACUUUUUAUCUUUUAGUUUUUUUUUUUUUUUUAAUAUUACAAGAUACAAUCACAUCGCUAUCACGUAAUAAUCAUGUCUCAUCCACAUCACUGUUAACUACAUUAAUGUUUAUUCUAACGAUCUUAGGGAUUAAAAUAAUUUAAUAAAAUUAGAUACCAAUUUAACAUUGUUUUUAUUAAGUAGCACAUUAAAAAAAAAAAGGUGUAAUAGCUCACAGCUAUUUAGGGUAUCCUCUCUAAUUCUUUUAUGUCUAUUCCAUCUUUGUUAGUCUCAUACAUGAAAUCCAUACCACAUAUGCAUAAUUGAUGAAUCAUAAAUUAAACAUCACCACAUCAAGCCUUUCUUUUCCUCUGAAGUGUUUUUUUUUUUCUUCUUUUUGAAGACAGCGAAAGGAUGAACUUUAUUCAUGAUGAAGAAAAGCUGAACAAAUUUGUCUCAAAAUAGUCAAAACAAAAAAUGGCAUAAAAUAUAAACUCUAUACACUGUUAAGUGUAUAGAUCAAAUAUAAACUAAAUUAAAUGACACAUUAGUAUACCAGGACCAUCUCGAAUCAACAUGAAAGCCCAAAAGUGGCCUUUGACAAAGUAAAACCAAAUUAAAUAAAAACAGACUUGGCAUGUUUUUUCUUCUAGAAAAGAAGUGUGCAAAAGAUGAGCCUUGUAAGCUAUCAGCAGUUCCUCCACAUUACCUGGAAACCUUGACAUGAACUCCAAGAAUUCAUUCUCUGUAUAUUCCAAGAUGUAAAGAAAACUCCAAAACAUUUGCAACAACUCCUUCUAACUAGUAAUCUGCAAAACUCAAUCUUGAGGAAUCAAAUGAUCUCCCAAACUACUCAUCAAAAGAAUUGGCCUAGAAACAGACUUUUAUCAUGUGUUUUCUUCUUCUUCCGAAGAACAAGUGUGCAAAAGAUGAGCUUUGUAAGCCAUCAACAGUUCUUCCACAUCAUCUGGAAACCUUGAUAUGAACUCCAAGAAUUCAUUCUCUGUAUAUUCCAAGAUGUAAAGAAAACUCCGAUCCGUUUUCAACAACUUCUUGGACUUAACAAUCUGCAAAACUCGGUAUCUAGGAAUCACACGAUCUUUCAAACUACUCAUCAAAAGAAUUGGCCUAGAAGCCAAAACAUUCUUAUCAAACUUUGCCACAUUAAGAAAGAACUCAAUUCCUAACUUCAUUUUCUUCUCAGAGACCCUAAAAACACCUGGGUUCUUCCUAAACAUAACCAGGCAAUGACUGUCUGAAAAACCAAAAGUCUUAAGUAAUUCACAUUUCUUCUUAAAUGUUUGUUCACUCAAGCAACUCAAGGUAUGAAUAGCAUGCACUAACAUCCUCGAAUCAGUCGAAAUCCCCAUAUCUACAACCCUCGUAACGAGAUCCCUUAAUGCCGAUUCUCGCAUCCUAAAAAUCCUAGGUUGUCUCGUUAACAACUUUGAGAGCUGAGACCCAACAAUCCCACAGCUUUCCUAAUACUCAAUGUUUCUCGACAACUUUGAUAUGCCAUCUCUAGCAAUAAAACCAUUGCAUCUACUGAAGACCUUAAACAAGUCUUCAUUAUUAUUCCCUAAAAUUUUCUUGACAAAUUGGAUAGAAGGAAUCAACUUUUUAUCUAAACUACAAGUUAAAAGCGUAGAAUUCCUGGAAAAGAACUUACCCAGAUGGGGUUCCACAAGACCCAGAUCUUGAAAAAGUUUGAUUGUUGGCCUAAGCUUCUUUUCUACAUCAGCAAACAGAAUUUGGGGCUCCAAACGGACAGCAAAGGCUGUUUCGGCAUUGGAAAAGCCAAGACUUUGAAAAAAAUUGGCAACCGAUUGAGCCUUUUGGAGGGAUUUCACAUGAGAGUAACGGUUAGAGAUUGAAACAGCUUGGGUUUCAGUGAAAUCCAAGUUUUUUACAAGAUAAUUGAAAAGGGGCGGAUUCGAAACAGAGGUGGAAGAAGAAUAUGAGAGAAUAAAAAUAAAUGAUUUGGGUUUUAACGAAAAAUUGAGAAAAUAGGAAGUUGAGAAAAUGGAAGAUGAUUUGAGGGUUUGCAUUAAGGUUUUUGAGGAAUUCUGUGCAGCGGGUUUUAGGGUUUAAAAUUCAAUCUUCAUAAUGCAGAAUUGCAAAUUCAAUUCUAAGUACACUCUCGAUCAAGUAACGACGACGUUUAUGGUAGAAGGAUAAAAUAAGCAGCGACGCCGUUGCUGGAAAAACAAACUUCUUUAAGGUGGACUUUUUAUUCAUUGGUCUAAUAUAUGUUUUUGUUUUCUUAUAGAUAAUGCAAUUUAUGAUAAAAUGUAAUACCUUCCAUUUUAAUCAUUAUAAUUUAACGCUAAAAUUGGCAUAUGAAAUUUAUAAAUUAUUUAGAUUUUAACCAUUAUUAACAUUAAUAAUCUGUAAAUUAUACAUACAUGAGUAUACAAAGAUAAAUCAAAUAUAUUUUUUUCUCCAUAGGGUCAAACUUACUUUACAUAAAGGUAUAGAUAAUAAUAAUAUUGCUUCAUUUAUAAAUUUGCAGCAAAAAUAAUAAGCUGAAUUAAAUCAAAACAAUCUUCUAUUAAAGCUUUUUUUUCUUUAAUUUUAUGAUUUAUCCAAUCAAAUUUUAAAUUAAAAUUUUAAUAUUAUAUCAGUGCAUCUUAUGAUUGUAAGUCUAAAAAAAUGCUAGGAUACUUUGUUUUAAAUUGGAUAUCCAAAAGAAAAGGCAAUUAAUCUAGAUCUUAUUUAUUUAAUCAUGAUAAUUAGAUAUGAUAAAUCCAAAACUUGCGUUCUAACGAGAAAAGCUAAAGUACUAGAGAAGGCAACAAAUAUAUCCAGAAAAGAUACUCUAGUAGAAAUUACACAGCCAUUUUCUCAUGUUUUUAGGCGCCAGGUUGGUAUAGCCAGGAGAUGCUUAGCCCUACGACAUACUAGACCACAAUCCUCAGUCAUGUCCAAGUCAGUAGCCAACAUAUCAUCCGGGAGUUCCCAAUCGAAGCAAUGCACCAAUUGUGCCACCACAAGCCGAACAAUAGUGAGACCCAGUUGCAUUCCAGGGCAGCCUCUGCGGCCAGAACCAAAUGGGAUUAGCUGGAAGUUGCGUCCACGAAGAUCAAUGUCACUUCCAACAAAUCUCUCUGGAUAAAACUUCUCUGCAUCAGUCCAAACCUUUUGGUCCCUACCGAUGGCCCAUGCGUUUAUGAAGAUUCGUGAAUUCUUGGGUAUGUGAUAGCCAUUCACUAUGCAGUCUUCCAUAGAUGCAUGCGGGAGCAGCAAUGGUACCACGGGGUGAAGCCUAAAGCUUUCUUUCACAACCAUGUCUAAGUACUUCAAUUUCUCCAAGUCUGAUUCUUCGACCAUCCUGUCCAUGCCUACUACAUUUUCCAGUUCUUUUUGGACUUUCUUUGUCAACCGUGGAUGUCUGAUGAGUUCGGACAGUGUCCACUCAAUUGCAGUAGCUGAAGUAUCCAUUGAAGCUGCAAGGAUGUCCUGCAAAAUUGUCAUAAACAAACAUUUUUUAGACCAAAAGGCACAAUGGAGUGAAUGGACAAGUAAACGUGCACAAAAGAAGAGUACCAAUAUUAUUGCUUUGAUAUUGUCUCGCUCGACAUGGUACUGAUCAGUUUCUUCAGAUCCAAUGAAUCCCAGCAUGACAUCAACGAAGUCCAUGAUUCUGUUUUCAUCUUUGGAUUGAACAUGCUCAUCAAUUACCUUCUCAAAGAAGUCGUCAAAAACCUUGGCAAUAGUUUUCAGGCGUUUUGUUAGACCCUGAAGAUCAAGUCCUUUAAUUUGAGGAAUGUAAUCAGCUAAAUUAAAAGCAGCAAUUGUUUGCAUGCCCUCUCGAAUUAUAGCUUCGAAGCCUUUUUCGUUGAAAUCAUCAUUACUAUAUUUCUUUCCAAGCACCAUUCUACAAGAAAUAUCUGUAGUAAGAGAUGAGACCUUAGCACUAAGAUCAACUGCAACUCGAGCAGAAGCAGCCUCUUGAAUAUACUGAAUUAAAAGAAAAAGCUCUUCCUUUCUCAUGGAACUGAAAGAAUUUAUUUUGAGGUUACUAAGCAACUCUAGAGUGCAUAUCUUACGCAUGUUGCGCCAAUAGGAACCGUAUGGGGAGAAGGACAAAUUCUGCUGAUUGUAACCAACAUGCUUGGCAACUUCAUGAGGUGGCCUGCUAGCAAAAACAAGGUCAUAUGUCUUGAGGAAUAGCUCGGCAGCUUCAGGGGAUGAGACAACAAUUACAGGCAUCAGGCCAAAGCGUAAGUGCAUUAUGGGGCCAUACUUCUGGGCUAACUGUUGAAGAUCUUGGUGAGGUUUGUUCCCCACCAUGAAAAGGUUUCCAAAAAUAGGAAGCCCUCUCGGACCGGGAGGUAAUCUCUUAUUUUUGGCCCUUCUUUUCCAUCUCAAUGCGUGAAAGAAAAAGAUAAGUGUAGAAACUGCAAGAAUUGUCCAUGACCACUCCAUCACCGGCUGCUUCAACAAAGGUUAAAGCAGGGCAGAAGCCUGAGACACGGUCCUUACUUCUGCAACUGGGAUACUGAUACCAUGGGGUGGAGCUUAAAGACAGAAGGGAAAACAAACAGAAGCAAAGUUCAAUGACCACUUGCCUCUACUUAAUCUAAUAUUUAUCUUAUCUAGAACAGUCAUAGUACACAAAAAAAUUCGAAUUAAAUGUCGUAUAAUGAAUUAACAUUUUGCUUUUUAAAUAUACAACAAAUGAUGUCACAUUUCUAUAAUAAUUUUUUGGGACAAUCACAACAUCACAUUUGUUCAAUUCAGUUUCAUAUCUGAUCAUGUCUGAAGCUAGAGUUAGAAAAACAGGAAAAAAAACAACUUCAUUUUAAAUGUUGUAGAAAUGUUAAGUUAUUUUUGAGCAGUGAUAGACCCUUGAUGUCCGGAUUCUCUGAAUAGGUUUAAGCUGGCGCUGCAUAUAGGGGUGUAAAUGAUACAUUAGUACUCGCAAGCUACUCGAGUUCGAUUCGAAGAAAACUCGAAUUCGAUUCGAUUAUUAUCGAGUCGAGCUCGAGCUCGAGUAGCUCGACUUAUCGAUCGAGUCGAAUUCGAGUAUUCUUAUAUCCGACUCGAGUAGCUCGCGAGCCUAAUCAAUUUUUUCUAUUAUAUAUUUAUUUUUAUUAUUUUAUUUAUAAAAUUACUUUUUUACCCUUAGCUUAAAAAACCCUAAAAUUUUAUUUUCUUUCUUUCCCUCUUCUCCUUCAAUCUUUCUCCCCGUCUCUCUCACUCACCAACAGACACUUGCGGCGCCUUUUCUUCCCGAAUCCCACUCCAUUGUCUUCCAAGCUUGUUCCACCCUUUCGAAAGCCCUUUCUCCUCUCUCUAAAAAGCUUGAAUAGAACCCGAUCUUGAACAGAACCCGAUCCCUCAAUGUAGCCCUGCUCGUUCCACCCAUUCGACGUUUGCAGCAGCUUCAACAGAACCCGAUCUUAAACAAAACCUGAUCCCUCAACGAAGCCCUGCUCGUUCCACCCAUUCGAUGUUUGCAGUAGCACCCAUUCGACGUUUGCAGUAGCUUGAACAAAACCCGAUCUUGAACAGAACCCGAACCCUCAACGAAGCCCUGCUCGUUCCACCCAUUCGACGUUUGCAGUAGCUUGAACAGAACCCAAUCUUGAACAGAACCCGAUCCCUCAACGAAGCCCUGCUCGUUCCACCCAUUCGACGUUUACAGUAGCUUGAAUAGAACCCGAUCUUGAACAGAACCCGAUCCCUCAACGUAGCCUUGCUCGUUCCACCCAUUCAACGUUUGCAGAAGCUUGAACAGAACCCGAUCUUGAACAGAACCCGAUCCCUCAAUGUAGCCCUUUCUCCUCUCUCUAAAAGGUAAGCUCGUUCCACCCAUUCGACGUUUGCAGUAGCUUGAACAGAACCCGAUCCCUCAACAUAGCCCUUUCUCCAUGACAUACUUUUUGAGUGCCAUUUUUUUAUUAAAUGUUUUUAUGUUAGGCUUCCAAUUCAUGCUAAAAGGUGGUUUAAAUAAGAAUGCCUUAAUUAAAUACCCUUAUGAAUGCCUAAAUUAAAUACCCUUAUGAAUAUUGUGGGGAUGCAGAUCGAGAACAACAAUGAAAGGGGGCAAGGUGUUAUAGCUAUUUGUUAGUAUUGAUAUUCUCAAUUCUGAUUUGUUUGUCAAACACUAUCAUAUUAUACUUUUAUUUUUGUUGCAAACUUGUGAAAAGCAGUAUGUUCUUUGUGAAGUUGCAUUUAAAUACUGAAUUUUGUAAACCAAAAGUCUCUAUAUUAUUAGCAAGAAAGUAAUUGAAUUUGGGCCACUUCAAGACUUGCACAAUACGCUUUAUCAGUAGAAAAACUUUUGGAUGGUUCAUAUUAUUUAACAAAAAAAAAAAAGGUCAUUGGCUCUAUUGUUUUUAGUCAUAAUCAUAAUUUGAGCUUCCAUAUAGUUCAUCACUAAUUUAUUGGGGACUGUUUAAUGUGAAUACUUUUCUUCUUUAUGAAUAUUAGAUUUGUUAGAAUAUAACCUGACACUUAUUUCUAAUGAGAUUGAGUUAAUGUUAUAUAACUACUAAAUAGGCAUGUAUAAUUGUAAAAAUUAAUAAGAAAUAUUCAUUUUAAGAAAUUGAUUUUAGAAAUUGAAAUUAUUAUCGAAGUAGGUAAUCUUAAAUUUAUUAAAAUUCCUACAAUAUUAGUAUAUUUUCCUAAAGAAUAAAAUUUUAUACUCUUCCAAUAAUUUGUUCUCGCAACUUGUUUAGCAUGUUUCUGGCAAUAAAAUUUAUCGCACAUGUUUCUAACAACUUGUUUGCCUUAUUGUUUGAUCCUAAAAUUAUAUUAUUGUUUUGAUUUGUCUUUUUUUUUUUUUUUGCUAUAGGGAACUAAACAUGUCAUCAACCACACCGGAUAUCUCUUCUAUACCAGUUCAGCCGACAAUAAAUUCUUUUACUAGUCGAAUUGUGUCAGGUGAUGGUAAUGAUUCAAUGAAUGAAGCUUUAGAUGCCACUAAUGGUAACACAGAUAAAACACCAGUCAUUGAUGCCAAUGAUAGAGAAUGUGAUAAUGCUGACCCUGAAGAGUGUGAAAAAAGUAAUGAGAAAAAGAGGCAAAAGACAUCUGUUGUUUGGUCAGAGUUCAAAGAAGUCACUCUUUCUGAUGGUUCAAAAAAAAAGAGUGUGUCCAUUGCAAGAAGAAGCUAGCAAUAAAUACAAGUAAAAGUACAACUCAAUUUAAGAGGCAUUUAAUAACUUGUGUUAAGAGAAAAAUUUUUCAGAAUCAACAAUAAAUGAUCAACUUUCAGCCAGUAAACACAUAUGGUGAUGUACAAAUACUACCUGCUCUCACAGAUGGCAAGUUUGAUAUGGUAAAGAUGAGAGAAGCAGCUGCACAUUGGAUACUUAUGCACGAGCAUCCUUUUUCGAUUAUAGAAGAGGAAGGUUUUAACAUGAUGCAAAAACGUGGGAUGCCUGAAUGGGAAAAGGUAUCACGCAAUACUAUUAAAAAGGAUUGCAUGCAAGUUUAUGAAGCAGAAAAGAAGAAAUUAAAGGCAUUGUUGAAGACUGUCAGCAAGAUUAGUUUGACAACAGAUUUGUGGAAAUCAAGUAAUCAAAAGAUUGAGUACAUGGUUCUUACAGCACACUUUGUAGAUUCUAAUUAGAUAUUGCAAAAGCGUGUUAUUAGCUUUGUUCACAUACCUCCUCCUCGUCGUGACGUUGAGAUUGCUGAUUGUAUUUUUAAGUGUCUAAAGGAAUGGGAAAAUGAAAACAAGGUGUUUACACUUUCUGUGAACAAUGCUUCAAGCAAUGAUGUGGCGAUUAAAAUUCUUAAAGACACUUUUUCAAGAAAUAGGAUAUUGCUUUGUGGAGAAAAAUUAUUUCAUGUUCGGUGUUGUGCACAUAUCUUAAAUCUCAUGGUUCAAGAUGGCCUUUCUGAGAUUAAGAAUGUGAUUGGUGAUGUUCAUGAAAGUGUCAAUUUUAUUAAUCAAAAUGAGGCAAGACUUAACUCAUUUUCUGACAUAGUAUAGCAGUUACAGUUACCUUGAUGGGAAACUCAUUCUCGAUUGUAAAACACGUUGGAAUUCGACAUUCGAGAUGUUGUCGAUUGCAAUCAAAUUCAAAAAAGUGUUUUCGAGACUCAAAGAGCGAGAAUCUCAUUAUGAAUGUUGUCCAAGUCAUGAAGAUUGGAAAAAAGUGGAGAAAGUUUGUGAGAUUUUAGAAGUUUUUAAUUCAGCCACUAAAAUCAUCUCUGGAAGUGAUUAUCCAACUUCAAACCUGUUUCUGAAUGAAGUUUAUCGUGUGAAAAUGUUGUUGGAUAAAAGGAUGAAUGAUGAAAAUGAAUUUGUUCAAGCAAUGGUUCGUAAGAUGAAGAGUAAAUUUGAUAAGUAUUGGGGAGAAUGUAAUUUGUUGAUGUCUAUAGCAGCAAUCUUGGAUCCAAGGUGCAAAAUGAGGGUGAUUGAGUUUUGCUUUCCUCGAAUGUACCCUGAUAGAGAAGCAAGAAAAAAUAUUGCUAAAAAAAAUAUUGCUAAAGUUCGAGAUGCCCUUUAUGAGAUUUAUGAUGAAUAUGCUCGUGAGUAUCAAUUUGGCAAUGAGCAUAGUGCUGAAACUCAAGUGCAUGAUAAUGGUAUUAGAGGUAUGAAUAUAGAAGCUUCUUCUUCUGGUUGGUUUGAAUUUGCAAAUUAUGUAAAAUCAGUUGAAACUACUCAACCACAACAAUGUGAUUUAGAUGUCUACCUAGCUGAAGGCUGUUUUAUCUGUGAAGGAGAUUCCACUAAGUUUCAUGCUUUGGAAUGGUGGAAAACGAGCACUUUGAAGUAUCGUAUUUUAUCCAAGAUGGCUCGGGAUAUACUUGCUAUUCCUAUCACUACAGUGGCUUCAGAAGCUAUCUUUAGUGCAGGAGGUAGAGUUAUUGAUACUUAUCGUACUUCUUUAUCUCCUGACACAGUGCAAGCAUUACUUUAUGGAGGAGAUUGGUGUCGGAAUCUUCAUGGAGUGAAGAAGAAGAACAAAGUAGUUUUUUUUAUUAUUAUUUUGUUAUUAGGUGACUAUCAUUGCUUUAAUCUAACUUUUAACUAUUAUUUUCCUUUACUUUAUCUAUGUAGAAAGAGAAGAAAUCAAUUGAGAUUGCACUCAAAAUCCCCUAAAGUGAGGAUAUCUAAUGUCUUCUAUACACGUAUGAAAUAUUAUUAUUAAAUACUUUUAAUUUGUCACAACAUUACUAAAGAAAAAUAGGUAGUAACUAGUCUAGAUUGAGCUUUUUGCAUUUUAAUUUACGAACCAUAGGUUAACUAAUGAUAGAAACUCAUGUUAAGGUAAUUGACAAGAUACUGUUUAUAUUUUUUUGCAUUGAUUAUAAGACAACUGACAAGAUAAAAUCCAUGUUGAUGCUAAUGUUAAAAAUUUAAAGUUAUUGAUCAUUGUAAUAAUAUUACAAUCUUUUUCUUGCAUGGGUACUUUUAUCAUUAUUCUUAUUGUUAAUUAUAAUUUCUUUGUUUUAUAAUUAUUCUUUUGUGUAAGUUUAUUGAAAAGCAAUAUGAGCCCAAUGUUCAUUUUAAGACAUAAUAUUGUGAAGGCAGCAUAUGUAUUAUUGUUGGUUUGUUGUAACUUAUUUGUGAACUUAUUUGCGAACUUAUUUGCUUGGAUAUUUAAUAUCUUUCAAUUAGGAUUUUAAUUUCUAAGUUCAUUAUGUCUUAUAUUUGUGUGUUGUAUUUGAAUCAUUUAAUGAGACUUUUAUUUGCUUAAAUUUGGUUGUUGUGUAAGUUAUUAUUAUUAUUGUUGUUGUUGUUAUUGUUGUUGUUGUUAUCUUGAAAAUAUAAUAUUUAUUAGGUUUGAUAAAAAUUAGUUGUAAAAGAUCUCGAGCUCGAAUAAUCGAGUUUUUUUUCGAGUAUAAAAAUCGACAUUUUUUUUUAUAUAUUAAUCGAGCUUAAUCGAACGAGCUCGAAUAGCUCGAUUUCGAAUACGAAUCGAGUUCGAGCUAGAAAAAUGAAACUCGAUCGAGUUCGAGCCGAGUAUCGAGCAGCAAGUUUAAAGUCGAACUCGAGCUCGACUUUAUCAUCGUAUCGGCUCGACUCGACUCGACUCGAUUACACCUCUAACUGCAUAUAGGCUUGCAUUGAGUCUAGAAAAAUAAUGUUUUAAUAUUUUCUCCUUCAUCUUAUCGCUUUCAUCUAGUUGAAUUUGAUAUCGAGUUGCGGAUCACAAUUUUUUCUUCAGUCAAUUUUGUGUCUUCAAGCCAGCUGGUUCCAGCUCAGUGGUAUCCUGUAGCUGAGUUAUCAAUUUUCUCCCUUUGUCUCUUAUACUUGUUAGCAUCAUUGACCUUGAACACUUGAUAACAAAUUACUUAAUUCAUAAUCUCAGUAGAAUUCUCAGCACAUCUCCUUUUUGUGCAAUUAGCUAGCAGUAAUUAUUCAAAUACACAAUGGACAAAAUGAACCUAAGCGCAAUUAGUUGUCGAAGCGCGUCGUCUGGGUGCUCCCAAUCAAAGCAAUGAACAAAGUGUGCCACCACAAGCCGAGCCAUAGUGGGACCCAGUUGCUUUCCAGGGCAGCCUUUACAGCCAGAACCGAACGGGAUUAGUUGCAAGUUGUGUCCUCGGAUGUCAAUGUCACUUAAUAAAUAUCUAUGGAAAAAGCUUCUGGGCCAAGGACCCAUAGGAUGAAGAUUCGAAAUUAUUGGGCAUGUGAAAGCCAUUAACUAUGUAGUCUGCCAGAGCCCCACGAGGGACCAACAACGGUACCUUAAGUUUUCUCUCGCAACCAUAUCCAAGCAGUCCAAUUUCUCUACAUCAAAUUCUUCCACCAUUCUUUGCAGACCCACCACAUUUUCCAACUCUUUUUGGACUUUAUUCAUUACCUGUGGAAGCUUGAUGAGUUCGGAUAGUGUCCAUUCAAUUGCAGUUGCUGAAGUGCCAUUGCAGCCACCACCACAAGGAUGUCCUGCAAGGGAAUUGUCGGCAAGAAGUACGGUUUCUAGAUUCAAGGAUACCGUGAAAAUUAGAGAAGAAAAAUGUAGAUUUAAUGGUUUUAAAUUUCAAGUCCUAUUUUUUAUCUUUGGGAAAAUCAAAUAUUGUUUGUUGAGAUGUGGGAGAUCAGUACCAAGAUUAUGGCUUCAAUAUUGUCUCACUCGACACGGAACUCAGUUUCUUCUGACCCGUGAAUUUCGACAUAAUAUUAACAAAGUCCUCGGUUUCGUUAUCAUCUUUGAAUUGAACAUGCCCAUCAAUUAUCUUUACAAAGAAUUUAUCAAACACCAUGGAAAACACUUUCAUGGGCUUUGCUAGGUCUUGAAGAUCAAGUGCUUUAAUUUGAGGAAUAUAAUCAGCUAAAUUAAAAGCCGCUCCUAGUUGCAUUCCCUGAUCUCUAAUUACAGCUUUGAAGCCCUUCUCAUCAAAAUCAUCAUCCAAAUAUCUUUCUAAGCACCAUUUUACAAGUCAUGUCAGUAGAAGAGAUGGGAACUUAGCAUUAAGAGUGCACAUCUUUGAUCUUACGCAUGUUGCGCCAGACCCGUAUGAAAAAAGGGACAAGUUCUGCUGAUUAUAAGCUAUAUAUAUAUAUAUAUAUAUAUAUACUUGCUAGCUUCAAAAGAUGGCGUGAUAGCAAAAACAAGGUCGUAUGCAACAAUUAUAUGCACCAGGCCAAAGCGCAAGUGCAUGAUGGGCCAAUAAUUUUGAGCUAAGGGUUCAAGAUCUCGGUCAGGUUUGUCCUCUAACAUGAGAAGGUUUUCAAGAAUAGGAAGUCCUCUCGGACCAGGAAAUAGUUUCUUCUUGCCCCAUCUUUUUCGUGCCAAUGCUUUAAAGAAAAAGAUAAGUGUAGCAAUUGCAAGUGCUAUUUCAAUCCAAUACACCAUUGCUGGAAUUACUUUGCUGGGAUUCAAAUAAGGCUGAGAUACCCGGUGCUUCAUGUUAGGCCAAAUGGCCCCAAUCUAAUUACAUUAGCGAAAAGCGAAAUCAAAUAAUUAAUCAAAUAUAUAAGAGACAACAAUUUAACAUGGUUCGGUCUAAUUAACAUACAUCUACAUAUGAGAAACAAGAUCCACUAGUUGUAGAGAAUUACAAACAUAUAUCAAAACAUAUAAACCACUCAACAAUCAAUACCCAUAGACCCUCUCAAUCUCCUUUAGUUCUAUGGAGUAUUCUCAACCCAAACAAACACAUAUCCAUAUGCACACUUUCAAUACAACCAAGCACAUACCUAUAUGUACCUAUACAUCAUACUUAUGUGGACCCUCUCAGUCUCUUCUAGUCCACUCAUAAACAAAUAUACACACCCAUAAGACGUAAAUCCUCAGUAGUCUUAUGAGGUGUCUAUUCAUAAAACUCUACAACUCUUUUACAUCUUUUUUUCAUACAUAACAUUGUAGAAACUUCACCUAUUUAUAACUAUAUAAACUUGCCUAUUAAGAAUCCAUUUCCUCUUAGAAUUCUUUUUCUGCAAGUUAAACUUGCUAUUAAGAAUCUUCUGUCUCUUAGAAUUUUUUUUUUCAAGUCUUCUUGUCCAUCAAGCAAUAUCUAACAAAUCUCAAAUAAAUCUCUAACAAAUCUCUAACAAAUCUCUUAUAGGAUUUGAGUCAUUAUUUCUAACAAUCUCCACCUUGACUUAAAUUAUAUCAAUCAUUUAUUUUUAUGCUAGACAUACUUGGUUUCACCUGCAAUGGAAGUAUCACCAUCAUUUUCUUUUGUGUAUCUUCAUGCUUUAUGCAAAUCGAUCUUUAAAACAUGAACUUGAACUUCUUUUUUGAAUUGAGCUCAUCUAAGCUUGUCUCUUCCCAUGUCUCGAACCAUGCUCUGAUAUCACUUGUUAGGAAUCACCACAGUUUUGAUAUAACUUGUUAAGCCAAAUGGCACCAAUCUAAUUAUACCAGCGAAAGUGAAAUCAAAUAUUAAUAAAAAAUAUAAGAGACAAGAAUUUAACAUGAUUUGGUCUAACGAUCUACUUUCAUAGAUGAAAAAUAUGAUUCACUAGUUGUAAAGAAUUACAAACAUACAUCAAAACAUAUAAACCACUUAACAAUCAAUAUCCAUAGACCCUCUUAAUCUCCUAUAGUUUUAUGGAUUAUUCUCAACCCAAACAAACACAUAUCCAUAUGCACACUUUCAAUACAACCAAACACAUACCUAUAUGCACUCAUACAUCAUACCUAUAUGGACCCUCUCAGUCUGCUCUAGUUCACUCACAAACAAAUAUACACACCUAUAAGAUGUAAAUUUUUAGUAAUCUUAUGGGAUGUCUACCCAUAAACCUUAUAACUCUCUUAUAUCUUUUUCUCAUACCUCUCAUCUAGUUCAUUCACAAACAAAUAUAUACACCUAUAAGAUGUAAAUCUUCAGUAAUCUUAUGGGAUAUCUACCCAUAAAUCUUACAAUUCUCUUACAUCUUUUUUUCAUACCUAACCUUGUAGAGACUUCACCUAUUUAUAACUAUACAAACUUGCCUAUUAAGAAACUCUUUUCUUUUAAAAUUCUUCUUCUGCAAGUCAAACAUGCCUAUUAAGAAUCAUCUUUCUCUUAGAAUUCUUCUUUUGUAAUUCUUCUUGUCCAUCAAGCAAUAUCUAACAAAUCUCAAAUAAAUCUUUAACAAAUCCCAAAUAAAUCUCUUAUGGGAUUUGAGUCAUUAUUCCUAACAAUUUUUACCUUGACUCAAAGUUCAUUAAUCAUCUGUCUUCAUGCUAGACAUACUUGGUUUCACCUACAAUAAAAGUCUCACCAUUUUUCUCUUAUGUAUCUCUUAUGUAUCUUCAUGUUUUACGUAAAUCGAUCUUCAAAAUAUGAACUUGAACUCCUUUCUUGAAUUGAGCUCCUCUAAGUUUGUCUCUUUUCAUAUCUCGAACCAUGCUUUAAUAUCACUUGUUGAGAAUCAUCACAGCUCUGAUACCACUUGUUAGACCAAAUGGCCCCAAUCUAAUCACACUAACAGAAGUGAAAUCAUACAAUUAAUCAAACACAUAAGAGAUAAUAAUUUAAUGUGGUUCGGUCUAACUGCCUACGUCCAUGGAUGAGAAACAAGAUCCACUAGUUGUAAAAAAUUACAAACAUACAUCAAAACGUAUAAAUCACUCAACAAUCAAUACCCAUAGACCCUCUCAAUCUCCUCUAGUUCUGUGGAUUAUCCUCAACCCAAACAAACACAUACCCAUGUGCACACUUUUAAUACAACCAAACACAUAUCCAUAUACAUCCAUACAUCAUACCUAUAUGGAUUCUUUCAGUCUCCUCUAGUCCACUCACAAAUAAAUAUACAUACUCAUAAGACGUAAAUCCUUAGUAGUCUUAUGGGGUUUCUGCCCCUAAAACCCUACAACUCUUUUACAUCUUUUUCUCAUACCUAACUUUGUAAAAGCUUCACCUAUUUAUAACUAUACAAACUGGCCUAUUAAGAAUCUCUUUUCUCUUAGAAUUCUUUUUCUACAAGUCAAACUUGCUUAUUAAGAAUCUCUUUAUCUUAGAAUUCUUCUUUUGUAAGUCUUCUUAUCCAUCAAGUAAUAUCUAACAAAUCUUAAACAAAUUUUUAACAAAUCUAAAAUAAAUUUCUUAUGAGAUUCAAAUAAGGCUGAAAUACCUGGUGCUUCAAUGCGGUAGGUAUCUCCACCGAGAUAACAAGGUAAAAGCUUGAGACAAAGCCUUUACACCUACAGCUAGGGCAUUUUGAAAGCUAAAAACUUGGAGCUUGAAGAUAAAAAGAAAAUGAUAAUUAAAAGAAAAAGGUAACGAAAUUCAACGCCUUAAUAUACAUAAUACAUUGAUGCCCAAAACAUUUAGUGAAGAGUUAAAAGCUACAAAAUUAAUUCAUGUAAGAUCAAGCUAAAAGGCUUAACUCUCUAGGAAUACUUAGGUUGUGAACUUGAGUAAGAUAGACAUAGAUGGCCAAAUAGGUUUCGAUUUUAAAAAUAAUUAAGAAUAUAGUUUUAAUUUUUUAUUUUUUUAAUACAGUUUUAGUUUGUGCAAUUAUUUUAAUCGGUUAUCCUUGUACUGUAAUUAAAAGAUUAGUAGGAUGUUCAUUUUUGUUUUCAAGUACAAUGAAUUCAAACAGCUAGAGUCUCAAAUGUCAAUAUCAACUCAAUUUAAAUAUUUAAUCUUUUGAUAGAUCAACAAACUUUUCAACUUAAAAAAUAAAGAUUUUAGCAUCCAACACAUUUAAAUUUUAAAUAUUAAUAUUUGAAAUUUUUUUCUUUAUCUCAUACAACAACUUACUUUAUACUAAAAAUAUUUAUUGCCAAAAAAUUAAAUGCCAUGAAUAUAAAAACUCAUCAUCAUAAGCCACUUUAUUAGAUCUGAUCAAGAGUUAGGCUAUGCACUCAAAACUUAUAGAUUCAUUCAAAUUUUGAGAGAAUUUGGAUAAAAAAUUAAAACUUGUUAAAUGAACUUGAACUUAAUUUUUAGAUUUAUUUAAAUUUCGAUACGGAUCUUAAACAAAAGAUUUAAAGUCUGAACUUGAUUUGACCUAAUCCAAAUUCAUAUAUAUAGAAGGUUGCAUGUUCGAUUCACGUUGGGUUCAAAACCUUGAUCCCAAGCGGAUUUUUAAUUUUGCUACUUUUGCCGCUCCCACACGGGGCAGCUCAUGAUUUCCUUCCAUCCUAAUACUCUCUCCAUCCCAGCAUUUUAACACAGAAGCCCCUAUCUUCUACAAACAACGAACGGCGAAAAGAAAAGGAAAGAAAAAAAAUUUAGGAUUCCGAAUAUUGCUAAAGCUUUUUGUUUUACUAGUAAUAAAUUUCAGAUGUCAGGAAUUUACGGUAUAGCCAAUAGGAUUCCAGCUUAGGCUACAACCAUGAUUGUCCAAGGGUAAAAGACAUAAAUACAAGCCAGCCAGCGGGCGUUUCCCCCAUCCCUGGAAUGAAAUGUAAAAGGAGGGAGUGAAGGACCUAUAUCUGGAGAAUAAUGCAUUCCAAACAUCCGAUGUCCCAUCCAAAACCUGUAAAAUAUAAAUUUUAAGUUGAAAUAUUACAAUGAACUCUUCAGUCUAUAACAUCAAUAGAUGGAUGAUAGUUCAAAUAGGCUUCAAUGUUCUUCUUGUCUAAAUCUUGCAAGAAUACUGUGCUUAUUGUCCAGAUCUUGCAAGCAUACACAAAGAAUGGUGUGAGUAAAACCUGAAAGAAACCUAAUUUUAUUUGUCUACAAUUAGAUCGUGUUCGAAUAGAGGAUGGAAAAUUGUGGCUCAGACAAAAGAGAUAGAAAACGACCUAUAAAAUGAAAAUAUGCUGGAAUUCAACUUUCUAUGGAGAAGAAACCCUCAAGGACAUGUAGUGAGAAAAAAAAAAGUUAUUAAAAUGAAAAAGUCUUCAAUCUACAAGAUAAUAACAAAUGCAGAAAUAUCCAAGCACCCCUUAAAUGUUGCAACUUCAAAGCUACUUGGUCAUUGGAAGAACAAAGGCCGCCACUUUCUAUUAUUUUUCAAGAUUCUGAUGCUGGGUAAAGAGAACAUACGAAGUCCUUGAUCUGCUGACUGUCAGCCUGUAGAAGGUUUGUUCUUGCUGCCACCAACAAAGAAACUUUAUUUCAGACAGAACCAAUGUGAAAAAUCAAAGUUAAUGUUAGGACCACCAGUUUCAAAAAUUUUAAAACUACCUGCUUCAGUUGACAACUCGAAGCCAACAGAAGACAGAAUACCAGGGCAGUUAGCAUAAGCUAUGGACAUACGAUGUAAAACAGAACUAUGUACGUCUCUUCCAUCUGCAUUAUAAAUGGAGAUGUUACCAUCCUCAUGUUUCCACUGCCCUUCAAACUGUCCAUUUUCUGCAUCUCUUAUAACUAAUAGAUUUGGAGGAUUUGCAUUAAAAAAUUGCAAUGCAGGUGUUCGCAGUUGCUCCUCACUACAAUAUGAGCGAAAUCACGGACAGCCCUAUUUGCAGCACAUUGCCGCUCAACUGUCAUAGAAAAAGAAAAAAAAAAUUGAAUGAAAUCAACAUAAUGAGCAAUGUCCAAAACACUUUCCAUAGUUUAGUUGCUUAACUUACCAUUUGCAAUUGAGAUUUUAUUAGACUCUUACAAUUUGUGUAUUCAUGUUUGUCUAUUUUGUGUCAAACAUAUAUAAAACACAAAAAUUACCGUCACAAUUUGUGUCCAUGCCAAACACAACCCUUUCUCUUUUUUUUUUUUUGACUAAAUUUACUUUUUUCAUAAAAUUUUAAUCCUGCUUUAUUUUUUUAUAUUUUCUUUUAUGAUUAAAAUUAUUAACUCUACCUUUUAUAUCCAAAAUGUGCUUUAAAACAAAAUAAAUGGUAAAUGCAUGAACACCCCAACGAUAAUACCAAUUCAAACAUAUUUGUUCCGUAUAAAAUAUGAUUCAAGAACAACUAUACCUUCCUGGUCAAUUAAUCCCACUUAUUCUCCUCAGUUCGGCCCUCAUCUUUGUCAUUUCCCUACACUUCGCAUUCAGCUGAUGCUGGAACUUUAAAAGUUUUCUUGGCUUUACAUUUUGCCAUUUACACUGAUUUUUUUUAGGUUUAUCACCUAAAUUAGAAUUAGCACAUAAUUUUUAAAUUUAAAUUCUGGAAAGAAAAUUGAGGGAAAGCCUAAUUCGGUGCCAAGAUAUUUUCCUCCACUACAAAGGCCUAAUAUUGUAUGAAAAGGGCAAUUAACAACAAGGCCUCAAGUAGAGUCGGCAACCGAACCCGUCUUUGGAGGGUUCCGACCCAAUCCGACCUCCUAAGGUUAUUUUUUUUUUAUUAAAAAAAUUGAGUUUUGCGUCAGGUUGGGUUGGUUAUUGCUAAGAAAGAGUCAGGUUCGGGUUUUAGGCAAACCUGACCCCACCCGAUAUUUAUAUAAAAAUUAAUUUUUUAAUUAAUUAUUUAAUUUUUAUUUAUAUAUAUUUAUAUAUUUAUAUAAUUAUAUAUUUAAAUAUUUAUAUUUAAAAAAUAAUAUUUUAUUAAUUUCGAGUCAGAUCGGGUACAAUUUAUACAAAUGUUGAGUCGGAUCGGGGUCGGGUAUGAAAAAAAUAAAAAAAUUUUCGGGUCAGGUCGAGUUCGGGGCAUGCAAAAACUCUCCUCAACCCAACUCGUUGCCAACCUUAGCCUUGAGUCAUCUAUGAAUCAUUAAUUCUUUUGAAUUUCCUUUAUUUCUCUCACUUCUCUUUUACGAUUUGCAAAAGGUUUUGUUGGGGGCCUGGAAUACAAAACUUACGAUCCAAAGUAGAGGUAAUUAUUCUCAAUUUGGGCUUUGAAUAGGGUUCACUUCACUUAGAACUUGAAUAUGUAGAAAGUUUGUCUUUUUCUUCACUCCAAGAAAAAACUUAGAGAUAUAAAUUUUCUUUUCUAUUUUCUAAAAUUUAAAGCAUGUAUUGGAUUUUCUAAGAUAAAUUGAAGUUGACAAAAUAUUUCGAUGAACUUGACUACUGAAUUUGUUAAAUUUUGUUAAGAUUUAGCCAACAUAUUUAGUUCACCCUAAACAUUUAGUACAUGAUAAUUAUUUGUAUCUCCUAUUCAAAAAAUUAUAUUUGAAUUCUCCUUUUAUCGAUUAAAAAAUUGAAGAAAAUAAAACAAAAUGAUAUAUGUGAUAUUGGAUAACACAAUGAAAAAUGUUAUAUUUUUUUUAUCAUAUAAAUAUCAUAUUGUCCGCUUCAAAAUUCGUACUCCAAGACUUUUUAAUAAUUUUUUUUACACUCUUUGAUAUAUACUUGUAAUUUUAUCUUAAUGGUUUAGGUCAAUAUUUUUUUGUAAUUUUUUAUAAUUUUUUAUAUAUAAUAUUAUAUUACAAAUAAAGAUUAUAACCAUUUUCAAUAUGUAUCAAAUAGUACAUCCAUAUAAAAAAUUAAUAUAAAAAUCAAUCAAGCAAAAUCAACAUAAAACUUGUGUGAAUCUAAAAGUCGUAGGAUUUGAACUCUUCCUUACUUUUGGGACAAAGCUUGUUAGCAUGCAGCUUCUUAUAUUUAGUUGUCUUUAGAAUUGAACAUGUUUAGGAAUCAAAUUAGGUCAAAUCUAAUUGAUUUUUUGAAAAAAAACAGUUUAUCUAAGUCUCCUUCAUCUAUCAUGGAAUUUUAAUUUUUCAUUAUAAUGAAAGUGUAAACAUUUUUAAUUCAAUGCAAAUAUUUAGUAUAAGAGUAAAUACUUAGAACUAGUCUGCGCUAUAUUUUUUUAUCCUUUACGUUUUAGUUUAGUGGUUAAAGAGAUUUUAUGAUAAUAUAAAAAAUUCUAGUUUCGAGUCAAAUUUUUUUUUUAUAAGAGCUAUACCUUUUUCUGAUUAAAAAAAAAGAAUACUUUGAAAUUUUUAUUUCAAAAAUAAAAUACUUUUACUUUUAUUUUCCAAAGUAAAAUACUCUUUGUCUUGUAAGCACUUGAUCAUCAUCACAUCAACUAUUGACUUCUCUCUACCUCUUGUUGUCUUUUUAUACUUUCAUUGUCUUUUCUUUUCUCAAUUUUUCCCUUCAUAAUCAUUUUGAUUUGAAACUACCAUUAAGAAAAGCAUGAUAUUUCAACUCAUCUCAAGUUAAUUGAAUUAACCAUAAAAAUAAACUAAUUUUAAAAAAAAAUCUAUGGCUCUUUUUUGUUUAAUGAAAGGUAUAAGUAUAACCCUUAAAAAAUUAAAAAAAUCUUUGUAAACCAAUUCAUAGUUCAUUUAUAGGCAACAACAUAAACAAUUAUUCAAGCUUUUUAGAAAUUAUCUUAUCCUCGUUGUUGUUCAAGACUUUUUCCUGCCAACCAAUUAGCCACAGAUUCUUUUGUCUAGAUAUAUGCUUAUGUUGCCAAGUCUAUCAAAAAGAUUUUAUACGGCUCUCACCAUUGGAGCCAAGGGAUGAUAGGUGACCUUUUGCUUUAUUAGUAUGAAGGAGUUUAAAGAGUCGGAUUCAAUUUCAAGUCGAUUGAUUCCUAAUUUUUUGGGUAAUUCUAGAUAGCCCCCUAACUAUGAUAGGUGAAUAGAACAAUCAUCAAGAGAGCCAAGAAAUCCAGCUACUAGAUUUACAUUUUAAUUCUCAUUCCUUUAAUGAUCCAAUGGCUCUGACAUUUUUAUUAUAUUAUUUUUGUCCUAGGUCCCAAUUGCCAUAAACUUUAAGCUUAAACAAUCUUAUUUAUGGUUUUCUCCAAUUUCAUAGAAUUUCUCUUUUUUUUUUUAUUUCUAUAAUAUUUAUUGAGAUAUGAAUAUAUUAAUUAUCUCUUUACUUUUUUAAUUUAUUGUUUUCUAUAUGAAAUUGUAUGGAUUUUUUGUGAUACAUGAAACCUCAAGUCAACAUCUAUUUUUGUAACGCCCUUAAUCCCAUAUUAGAAUAAUGUGUGGAUAAAAAUUGAUAUAUAAGUUAAGACUUAAACCCAAACUUGUGAGGCACCUUUUGUGAGACAAAACCAUGAGACCUUCGGGUGAAAGCAGACAAUACCUCGCAAGUUUGGUGUGGGUCUCCACAAAUAAUAUAAGAGCGAUCACUAGUCAACAGGAAUUAAAUGCUGCAUCAUGAGUCACUAAGUGUUACACAGUGAAGCUGUAUGAGUACUAACUAUUACACGGUGGGAAGCUACCUCUAAAAUCUCAGCGUUCGAUGUGAUCUUGGUCAUAUUGUUAAACUCGGCUUGAUAGAGACGUCAAGUUUUAAAAGUAAGAAAAUUAUAACGUCCAUAAUCCAACAUUGAAAGUAUGUGUGGAUUUGACUUGAUAUAUAAAUUGAGACUUAAUCUCAAAUCUGUGAGGCAUCUUUUGUGAAACAAAAUUGUGAGACCUUCGGAUCAAAGCUGAUAAUACCUCACAAGUUAGGUACGAGAUUUUACAAAUGGUAUCACAGCGGUCACCAGUUGACAUGAAUUAAGUACUACAUUAUGGAAGUCACUAAGUACUACAUUAUGGAAGUCACUAAGUGCUACAUCAAAUAUACUGAUAGUAUUUUAAAAAAAAAUUUCACCUAGAAAUUUCUUAGAUAUCACUACUUGGAUUACCUUAAAAUCUCAUCAUUAGAUUUUCAUUUUUAUUCUAGAUUUUUUUACACUUAUUAUUAUUUUUAUUAUUUACUUUAAAGAUUUAAAAUUUAAGUAUGCAUAAAUAAACAAAUAAAUAACUUAACAAAAAUAUAUAAAAAUUAAAUUAAAAAAAAGCAAAUAUCCAAAAAAAUUGGUCAAAGCUAGUCAACGAUUCAGUAGUGGUUCACUAUUGGUUCGGACCGUUCGACCAUUCUCAAAUGGUCCAUAAGCAGUUCAGGCGCGGUUCAAAAAUAGUUCAAAUGGUUCACGCCUAUUCAAGAAUGAUCUGAUUAGACCGGUUCAAGGCUGUUGAUAGGAGUGAGAACUGGCUUAGGUUCACGUGUGGGUCGCUUAUGAUUUUUUUUUUCUAUAUAAGCCAAAGUUUUUUUUUAACUUUUUUUUUAACUUUUCUAAAAAAAGAACCUUUACGUUUUCAAAAAGAACCAAAUGACCGAUAACUACACUACCUAGAUUCCAAUGUUGUUUUAUAGCAUCGUCUGCUACUGGCUACUAAUCACCAGCUUAGGUUAGCUCCAAACAAUACAAAAAAAUUUCCUUUUAUGUCUUCUACCUAUUUCCUACCUUAGUUUAGCCUAGAACGACCCCAAAAGCUCUAGAUCUAGGUCGAAAUCCCUCGACCUUAAAACCCAAAAUGCCUUUAUUCUACUGCUUCAAAUGCCCCUUCCUUUUAGUAUGUUCUCCACCUAGCUUUGGCCUAUCUCUUCUCGAAAGAUCUCAGCCCAAAGCCUUCUCAAAUCAAAACCUUUUUUUUUGUAUUUUUUAUGUUAUUUUCAGGCACUGUGGUUGCUGCCCUCAAAGAAGAUUGUGAUAUUCUCUUUUUUUAUGUGAUUUGUGGAUUUUUUGUGGUUAGGCCAAAAUUUUUUUAAUGGUUUUUUAUUGGUUUUCUGGUGGGUAUGUUCGAUUGAAGAGAUUUGGUUUUUAGGAAGGUCACGACUUGGUAGGUUUUUGCUUAUUGGUGGGUAGUUUUAGCUUGGGGCAAUGGUGUUUCUUGGGUUGGCUUCAGGUGGUUGGUCGGUUGUAGGGGUAGUUGGUCAUGGUAAUGGGUUUUCGUGGGAGAAGUAUGGUUGUUUUAUCAUUUUCUUCCUUCUUUGUUCUUCCUUCUUUUUUUUUUCUUUUUAUCAUAUUCUUCAUGCUUACAUAAUUUAUACAUAAUUCAUCAAAAGGUACUCUAGUUCAAUAUGCCAUACGAAAAAGGUUUAUAUGAUGAGAAUCAUGUUGAAAAGGUCUUUAGAUAGUUCAUAUCAUCCCACAACGAAAGAAAUAGUUAUGGUGUAAGCCAUGUUGUCCUCAAGGUAAUGAAUGGUCUUGUUCUUUCGGUUAAUGUGCCCUAAGACAUUGAACACUAAUAACUUAGGAAAGGAAUUGAAACAUUAUGUGUUUAUGGCCAAUUGAUGAGAUUCCAGUGAGUGGUUUUAUUGUUAAAAAGUAAGCAUAAUCUUGACAAAUAUCAAAUUACCAACAUCAAAUCUAAAAGAAAAAAAAAUUCAUGUUUGCCAAAUUUUCAAGAAAUCUAAAAAGCCUUUUUCGAAGUAAUUGUUUUAUUGAUCACCGCCUAAGAAAAAUUAUCCCCUUUUAUAUGUCAUGGUAUGAUCAAGUGAAGAUGGGAUUGGAACUUAUGCCCUUUUAAAACAUGAUAGUGCUGGUAAAAGGUAUUUUCUAGGGCAAGUUUAUUCCAAAUAAUGAUCAAUAGUUUUUCGAAACCUAUCAUGAUUUGAAAAUCAUUUUUUUAAUUUUUCACUUAUCCUUUUUUCUUGAUUUGAAAAGUAUACUAUGUGGGUUUUAUUUUCAAAUAGUUGCUUGAAAAAAAUAAAUAAAAACAAAAAUAAAAACUAUAAAAUACUUAUUAAAAAAUCCAACAAUAUUGAUUCCACGAACAGAUACAACCUAGCAAUAUCAUGUGCAUGCCAUGCAUGUGUACCAAAUAAAAUUUCAAAAGCUUAAAAUUUACUCUUUUUUAAUCAUCUAUGACCUAAAAUUCCUUUUCAUAUCUUAACUCCUCAAAUUUUGUAAUUGGACUUGAGACAAAGUAAGUCUCUAUUGUUCUAUAAGCUCCAGAGUCAAAAUGCCACCAUUGAUAAGAUUUUUAAUCUUUUCUUUCAACUAUCUGUAUUUUUUAAUUGAAUGGUCGAUUGCCCCCAUGUGAAAAUCGCAUUUGCUAUUUGGAUCAUAUUUUUUUGUUGAUGACUUUUGGUUUAUUUUCAAAGGCACAAGAGUGACGUAUCGAUUUUCUACUAGUAAAGGCAAAAGAUUAAAAAUCGGGAUAAGGAGUUUCUCUUAACUAAUUUUGGGUCUUUCUUGGCUUAUUCUUGGUUAGGUAAUAGAUCCAUAUAGAAGGGUUGGAUCAUGAGCAAUUUUUUGAGGUUGGAAGUUUGCUUGAAACUUUGAUUGGCAUGGGUAGGGAUUUGACAAGGCAUUAUUUAUGGCAUGAUAGUAGGGUGGUAGACUGGAUGAGGAUAAUGUAGGGCAAAACUUCUAUCUUAUUGCCCUUCAUGGGUUAUAGUUUGUACAUCUUUUUCUUUCUAAGAUGCCCUAUCUUUCUUUGCUUAUCUUUCAUUGAGCUUUUCAUUCUUGAUCGCAUUCUUUAUUAUUUUUCUAGAAAUUACUAUAUCUGUAAAUCUUUUCUUGGCAUUCUCAAUCAUGUUGACAUAAUAAAGUGCUUGAAAAGUGUUAACAAACAAGAAUGUGAUCUCUUUCUCUGUGAGAAUCAUCUAAACUUGGGUGGCUGUAUCUUUCCACUUUUGAGCAUACUUUUUAAAGCUUUUAGUAGCUUUUUUCUUCAUAUUUUGUAAUGACAGAUGAUCUGGACCCAAUCUAUAAUAUGCUUGUAUUGUGCGAUAAAUGCCUUAACUAACUUUUUUCAUGAGCUAAUGUGACUUCUAUCUAAUUGAACAUACCAUUUUAUGACAGAUCCCGUGAGGCUAUCUUGGAAGACAUGGACCAAUAGUUUAUCAUUAUAGGCAUGAGCAGCCAUCUUUUGGUAGUACAUAAUGACAUAGGUCACAAAGCAUUCAAUCCCAUCAUACUUUUUAAAUUCAAGAACUAUGAACUUUGAAGGAAUUAUCAUGUCUAGCUCCAAUCAUAAUUCAACUGUAUUCAUUGAUCCAUAAAUAUCCAUCCCCUUAAUAACCCAUAACGUUUCUUCUAUCAAAUUCAUCUUAUACUGAGACUGAGGCUCCUCUUUUUCUUUUGAAAUAUUUGUUUUGAGCUUUUCUGGUUCUCUAAGAUCCUGUAAUUGGAAUCCACCAAUGAAGGGUUUGGACUAUGAUUGCACUAUUCAGAAAGUUUGGGCUUGAUAUGAGGUGCAACCUAGUAGAUAUAAGAGGUUGUCAUUAUCAUUUUAUUGUAGGUGUCCCUUUUAGGUAGCUUCUUCCCUUUGCCAAUUUUCCUCAUUAUUUUCCUCAUCUUGUUAGGCAGUUAUUUUAUUUCAUCUUGUACUUCUCUAUCUCAUCCAUUCUAGUGGCCCAUUCUUCUUGCAUAAUCUUAGCUCAAAUAUUGCACAAAUAGUGGAUAAGCUAAUUUGAAACCUUGGAUAGUUGAGCUAUCUCGGACCUUUUAUUACCACGAUUUCAAAAUUAGGCUUUUGUUUCAUUUAUUUACUUAUGCCAUGACAAAAAAAAUAGUUUUUUUUUUUUAAUUUUUCAUGACCUAAAAAAAAGGGAGAACUUAAAACUCUUUUUUUUACAAGAUCCUUUUAAUGUGUAAACUUUUUUAAAAAAUGCUAUUUAAAAAUGUACAAUUGAUGCAUGAUAUGCAUGGAUGCAACAAUAAAUUUAUGCAUGAAAGUGAAAGGUGAAGCAAGAUAAAUUUUCAUAUAUGCAUGAUCCUAAAUAUAGUAUCUAGAAAUAAUGAGUUUUCGUAUAUAUAUGAUCCAAAAACAAAAUCUUAGUAAUUUAGAAUUCUCUUAAUUUCUUUCAAUGAACCACCCCUCUAUGUCAAGAAUUUUUUUGAAACUUUUUUUUAUUUUUUAUUUUAGACAAACAAAUGAUAAAAAUAAUUCUACCCAUUUUUUGGACUAUAAUACUAUUUUUUUUAAUUUAGAGAAAAGAUCUUAAAAAAAUUCUUUUUUAGAAAAAGAAAACUUAUCCUUUUGUUUUUUUUAGGAAAGAAAAGAAAAAAACAUUUUUUACAACUUUUUUUAAGUGCAAAACAUUUUAAAAAAAAACCCAUGAAAGAUAUAAAAAUUUAGACAUACAUACACUAAUUUAAAUUAAACAAAAAAAUAAAAGGUUUUUUUUUUGUGAAAUUUUUGUUUAAAUUUUGGUAGUAAUAUAUAACCAUUUUAUUAUUGUAAAAAAUAAAUAUGUUUCUUCACACGUAAUAAUUCGAGUAUUUUCUAUAAAAAGUUUAACAUAGCUCUACCCUCGACUAGGCUUUUAAGGGUCACUGUAUGCUAGGUUAAAAUUUAUACAACUAAAGGUUUCUAAAUUAUUUCUUACAUUAUCGUCCAUUAUAAACUAGUAAGGCACCAUAAUCUUCACCCAUGACAGGCCAAAAACUGAAAAGUUUCAAUUUAAUGAAAGUAUUUUACUUGCAUUACGAAGGUUAUCACCUCACGAGAGUAUAGGUACUUUACUUCCUUCUAUAAGGGUAGAGCCUGGGUAUAGAGCUUAUGCAUGCACUGCAAUAUGCUGUUGUGUGUGCAAAUGCCCCCUAAUUUGCUAAGGAUAAUAUAUACAGAGAAAUAAAAUAAAAAAAUAGUACAAUUAAAAUGCAAUGCUAAUGAUUCUUUUAAUUGAUUUAUUAUUUUUUUAUUAUUUGAUUUUUUUAUUUAAAAGGAAACAAAAUCAAUAUCAAGGAAAUUAGAGUUAAACAUCGAUUAAGACUAUUUACAUCAAAAUUGAGAAUAACAUGCAAUUAAUUUUGUCCUGACUCUAAAAAAAAUGCAUCUCUAUUGAAGUUGCCAAGCUGUCGUAAUGAUUUUGGGAAUGCUUAGAUGAAUUUAAAAAUAAAUAGUCACCACCAAUCUUUUUUGGCUAUGUACGAUUGAUCACCUAUUAAGACUUAUCUUUUUAAUAAAAUCUUAAAAAUAAAUUUAAAAUUUAUUAAAAAGAUAAUUUUAUGGUCUGCAAAAUAGUUUGAGCUCAAGAGUCGAUUACAUGUGGGAAAAGAUUAGCACCUUCACAGCAUCUGUUUAAAAUGAUACCAAUUAAUUAUAUGUUAUCCUUUAAUUCUAACAAAAAUGGUUUUAAUUUUGGAAUUUAAAAGUCAUUUCCUUUAUUUCCUUUAUUUAUCACAAUUUGGCUUUUUUUGUUAUUAUCUUUAUUAAUAUUCAAUUUUUAUUUAGAAAAAUAAAUUAAAACCUUGUUAUUGAAAAAAUUCUGAAGAUGCUCUUUGGUAACAUUUGAAAAAAAUUUUCUCAUCCAAAGAUUCCUUAACUAUCGCUACACGGAAUACCUUUAAAUCUCAUCCUAAAAGGCUUACAUUUAUUCUUCAAAAAUUAAAUGACAUGCAUGUAAUACAAAUGAUUAAAUAUUAGCUUGCUUGUUUUAUUUAUCCAUUUUUUAAAAAAAGUUAUUUAUUGAUUAUUUAUUAUAUUUUUUAGAUUUUUUAAAAAGAAAAGAAAAAUUUUUAUUGUAUUGAAAAUUUUUUAUAAAUACUCUAACACGUUGGUUGUAUUUUAAAAAAACUUCUCACCUAAAAAUUUCUUAGAUAUUACUACUCGGAUUACCUUAGAAUCUUAUCAUCAAAGGAUUUUUAUUUUUAUUCUAGAUUUUUUUACACUUAUUAUUUACUUUAAAGAUUUAAAAAUUAAGUAUGCAUAAAUAAACAAAUAAAUAACUUAACGAAAAUAUAUAAAAAAUUAAAUUUAAAAAAGUAAGAAAAUACCUAAAAGGAUGAUCAAAGCCAGUUUUGUAGCGAUUCACUAUUGGUUUGGACGAUUCAGUCAGUUCAGAAAUAGUCUGCAAAUGAUUCAGGCAAGUCCAGGCAAUCCAAACAAGGUUCAAAAACGGUUCAAAUGGUUCACAUUGAUUUAAGAGUGGUCUGACUAGACCGGUACAAAGCUACUGAAAGGAGUGGAAACUAGUCGGACAGGCAGACCCUGGGUUGGGUUGGGUCCACGCACAGGUCACUAAUGGCUUUUUUUUUAUAUAAGCCAAUGUUUUUUUUUUUACUUCAUUUUAAGUUUUUUCAAAAAAAAUCCUUCUAGUUCUUAGAAAAGAACUAAAUGGUCGGCAACCAAACUACCCAGAGUUUGGUGCUGACCCGUCUUGCCAUCUCUCAUUGAUCACCAGUCAUCGACACCAGUUAGCUUAAAAAAAAAACACCUAAAAUUCCUUUUGAUGUCCUUUACUUAUUUCUUACCUUAGCUUAGCCUAAAACAACCCCAAAAGCUCUAGAUCUAGGCUGAAAGCCCUUGGUCUUAAAACCCAAAAAGCCUUGUUCUGCCACUUCAAAUGCCUUUUUCUUCUAGUAUAUUCCCCACUUAACUUCAACCUAUCUCUCUCUAAAGAUUCGAGCCCAAAGCCCCUUCAAAUUGAAAAUUUCUUUUUUUUUUGUAUUUUUCUAUGUUGUUUCCAAGCGCUGUGGUUCCUCCCCUUAAGAAAAAAUGUGAUUUUUUUCUUUUUUGUCUAUGUGAUUUAUGAUUUUUUAGUAGUUAGGUCAAAAUUUUUUUAAUUUUUUUCAAUUUUUUUGAAUAAUUUGUUAUUGGCUUUUGUAUGGGUAUGUUUGAUCAGGGAGAUUUAGUUUUUAUGAGGGUCAUGGCAAUGUGGGUUUUUGCUUGCUGGUGGACAGCUUUAGCUUGAAGGCAAUGGUGUUUUUUGGGGUGGCUAAUGGUGGUUGGUUGGCUUAUGGGGAUAGUGGUCACAACUCAUGGGUAAAGUGUGGUUGUUUUAUUGGAAACAGGUAAAGGUCCUGUUCUAGUAAAGGCUAAUGGUGUCAUAGGCAGUGGGUUUAGGGCUAGUUUUUUUUAGUAGUGGUGAGCUAAGCUCACAGUGGUAGUGGGAGAUAGAUGGUGAUGGUAUUUGUGGGUUGAUGGAAGUAGGGAUUUUUCCUUUGGCCAAGUGUUCUCGAUUUAAAAUUGGCCUCCUUUCUAAUGAUUUAUGGCUAGGUUUUUAUUAUACUGUUAAAUCAUUAGAAGGACUAGGGGAAAGCAUGAAUUAUUAGGCAUUAAGGUGGAUUGGUGGCAACUGGAAUUCAGCUACCAAAGGUGUCGGUUGAGGCUGGGAAACAUAGGUUAAUGUGGUGCUAGGGUGGAGCUGGUGACUAGAUAGAAUAAAUGAGCUCAUCAAGGUUAGAGAAGGUGCAGGGUAAGGCUUUAGGGUGGCUCAACCUAAUGGCACCAAGUAAGGCACCAAGCUGUAGUUUUCUUCUUUUUUUUUUUUUAGGUUAAUUUUUAAUUGAAAAUAAAAGGUUUUGAAUCGGGCUUUUUUAACUUGGGUAAUGGGCCUUUAAGCUUAAAUGGCCUACUCUAAGUUUUCAGGCCCGAAUGAUCCACGUAAUAGGCCCAUAUGAUCAAAUUCAAUAAUGACUUGAACAACUUAAAAUGAACACAAAUAAAACAUACAAUUACGAUUAACCCUAACAAAAUUAGGUGUCUAUAGAGGCAUUAUAGUAAUUUUCAUGAGAAUUAUUUUAAUAUAUGUUAUUUAAGGUUUAAUAAGUAAUUUAAUAGGAUAUUAUAAUAAUUUCAAAAAAAUUUUCACAUGUCAAAUUUUAGCCAAUUAUAUUAGGAGGGUAUUUUGUAAUUAUUAUAGUAGGAUAUUAUAGUAAUUUUAACUAAUUAUAAAAAAAGAAAUAUUUUUGUAAUUAUAGUAAAAAAGCACAAUAGUAAAUUUGGAUACGUAUUGAUAUUAUAUCAAAUAAACAAAAGGUUAUUAUAAUAAUUAUCAAGGAGAUUGUUUUAACAUAUGUUAUUAAUUUUAAAACAAAAUGUCAUAUGUCAACUUCCUAUUAAGCAUUCAUAUGGGCAUUUCCUUGAUUAUGAUAGGUGAGAUAUUAUAGUAAUUUUAAUCAAUUAUAAGAUAAAGGUAUUUCUGUAAUUAUGGUAAAAGGUAUUAUAAUAAUUUUGACCAAUAAUAAAAAAGGUAUUUUCGUAGUUUAAUAAUAAGAUAAGGGGUAUUUUUAUAAUUCAAUAAUAAGUGAAGAGGUAUUUCCAUAAUUAUAAUAUAUGGUAUUAUAGUAAAUAGUUAUAAAAGAAUGAAUAUUUUCAUAAUUAUUAAAUAAAAGCAUCAUAGUUAAUUUAUGAGAAAGAAUAUUUUUGUAAUUAUGAUAUAAAAGUAUUAUAAUAAAUAAUUAUAAAAGAAAGGAUAUUUUCAUAAUUAUCAUAUGAAGGUAAAAUAGUCAAUUUAGACAUAUCAAUUUCUUAUCAAAUAAUAGGAAGGAUAAUUUGUUAAUUUUCUUAAGAUUUCUUUUAUAUAUGUAUGUUUGUAUAUAUUUGUGUAUAGCUGUCAAUUAGUUUAAAUUAACAGGUUGAAAGAAGUAAUCAUUCUCUCUAUUGUGACUGUUAAAGGUAAUGUUAGGUCCAAAGGGUAUUUUGGUUAUUUUUUCUAAUUAGAGAUUGUCAGUAGAUAACUAGGGGCAUUUUUUAUUUUUGGGUUGAUUUGACAUGUGAAUCUAACUUACAAUGUCAAUGCCACAUCAACUCGGCCACAUCAUCGCUCACCUCUUAAACCCUUCACAUUUUGCCUUUAAAUAAGACUCCCUACGUACUAUCCAAGCAUAUGACUUUUCUUUUAUUUUUGCUUUAUUUUCCUCCCAUUCCAACCUUUCUUAUUCUGACUUCUAACUUAAGCGUGGGAGUGCAAACACAAAAAAUACUAUUUACUUUUGCUUUUAGCCGUUUACUUUUUUAUAAUUUUAGGGUUUUGUCCUUCAACUCAAAAUUCAACACAAAUAUUUGGUGUGUCAGGUAGAAGCAAAAAUGCAUCUUUUAGUUAAGCAAAACAAUAUGUUGCCUAAAAAGAAACCCUUUGAGGAAUGAGAGCCAACCGUCCUAACUAGGAUCGAAACCUCAUAACAGCCAACCUAUGGAUUGACUUGCGUGGGUACAAGCAAGGCCAACUAUGAAAUAAUUUGAGGCCUUGAUCGAACAUAUCCAAGCCUUAAAAUAGAUGCUCCAAAGCAUAACACUAUCCCAAACCUCAAAAGUACUUAAUCUGGUCACCCUUGGUAAACAACCAAGCUAUGAGAAAGUUGAAGCUUUUUAAGCCUCUAAGGAGGAGAAACAUAUCAUUCCAACUACCCAUCACCACCACCCUAAUCAUAACUCUACCCAUGCCACCACCCAAAAAUCCAAACAACCUUUAACUCCAAUGAAACAAAGAUCUGGAAGCCAGGAUGCAAGCUAUGGAGAAGGAAUAGAAAGAAAAAGCAAUAGCUUUUGAAAACAUGCAAAAAUCUUGGAAACCUUACCUUUUACUAAAGAAAUCGAUCGAACCAUGCUUCAAAAUGCCAACUUUGGAAACCUAUUAUGGUACCUUUGAUCCUUUUGAUCAUUUAGAGCUUUAUUAAACUAAUAUGAUGAUAACAGGUAUAGAUAAAACUAUCAUGUGCAAAAGUCUAGCCACGACCUUUAAAAGAUUAGCUUAGUCCUGGUCUUGGUAUUAUAGUAUGAAAUCGAAGUCCAUUAUCACCUUUAAAGAGCUCAACCAUUUUUUUUGGCCAAGAUUUGUAAGCAGCUGAAGAACUAAAAAAACCAUUCUAAGCUUGAUAUUGAUCCAUCAAGGUAGAAAUGAGUAUAUAAAAGACUAUGUUACGUGUUUUAAUGUGAAAGCUUUACAAGUGAAAGAUCUAUAGCAGACAACUGUACUAGCUGCCAUCACUAACGGACUCAACGAUAGAGAAGACUACCUAAAGCUCACACAAUCCCUCAAACUGCCAAAGACAUUGCUGACGUGCUAUUUGUCAUGGAAAAAUACAUAAAUGCUAAAAUUACAAUAAAAAAUUGAGUAGAGAAAGACACAUCUCUCAUUCGUGGUGGACGAGAUGAGAGAAGCUCAUCUCUUUUCCUCAAUUGGAGAAAAGGCAAGGAAGUUUAUAAUCGUCAUUGAGAGAAAGACAAAAAUGGUACAUUAGGGCCUAAAGCUUGAGCCGAUAAUGAAGCUACAUUGUACAAAAUAUUUUCAAAGAGAGGAUUUUGAUGUAAAUUAAAAAGGACCCUGAGCUUAGAUGGCCCAAGUUGUUGAGGCAAAACACCCAUUGUGAUCAUAACAAAAUAAGUGAGUUUUAUAGAGAUUUCAGCCACAACACUGAAGAUUAGUUAACCUGAAGAAUGAAAUAGAAAGUCUUAUCAAAAGAGGUCGGCUAGGAAAGUUCAUGGUUUGAUGAAAAAAAAGUCAAGAUAGGCCAGACUACAGAAUAAGGAAUCAUAGAAAAGAGCUAGUGAGGAAUAAAAAAGAUAGACUAGAUGGAAAUUGAGGUAGUGAAAAUCAGAGAAACGAGCAAGAAGAAAAAGGUUGAGCUAUAGGCAAUAAGCCCAUUACAUGCAUAAUCACUAUAAUUAUUGGAGGAAGUUUUACUUUGGCUAAAAAAAAUUUAAUUAGGGAAUGAUCAUUGCCAUAAGGUCCUUAGCCAAGAAAGAAAAAAGCUAGAAAAAUGAAUCGAUCUUUUUCACGUCAAAAGACGUGGAAGGAAUCAAAUUUUCACAUGAUGACGUUAUCAUAAUCAUGGCUGUUAUAUAUAAUCAUGCAGUAACAAAUAUUCUAUUUGGCAAUGGGAGCUUGACUGAUGUUUAUUAUUACAUAACAAUACUAAGAAUGAGAAUCAAAGAAGAGAUGUUAAAACCAUUUACUACCAUACUACUUGGCUUAAAAAAUGAACCGAUAUCAAUAAAAAGACUAAUCAAGCCACCUAUCACACUUGGUACCAAGUCGAAAAAACAUCACAUAGGUCAUAAAGCUCAUAGUAAUAGACGUGCCUUCAACUUUCAAUAUGAUCUUAGGCUGACCUAGUCAGUCUAUUACGUGGCUAAUUGGCUCAACUUCUCAUUUAAAGAUCAAGUUUUUGACAUUGAAUGAAGUUAAAGAGGUAAGAGGAAACUAGUCCACGGCAUAAUAAUACUAUGUCAUAAUGAUAAAAGGUAAGACUAGGAAACAGACUAACAGUUCAACCAAUGAGGAAAAGUUAAAAAAAACAAAGAUGACUGACAUAAAGAUUAAGGAAGUGAAAAAAGCAAAACGAAACAACCUUAGUUAAAAGCAGCACGAAAUUGACAAAAAAAAAAUGUGUUUUUAAGCCGUUCUGAGCUCUUAAGCUCUAUACUUGUACAAGUCAUAAACUUUUGCAAUUUUUGAAUAGAAUUACAGAAGUUGAGCUCUUAAGCCUGCAUAAACACUUGUCAAUAGAAUCGAGUUUUCAAGCUAGCCAUAAGAAAAUUUGAAAUACAAAUCUUCGUUUUGAUUCAGUUAUACUUUUUUAUUAUAUGCCAUCCUACUAACAACAAAAUACUAUCAAUUAGGAUUUGUCUUUUUUACAAGAAACAAUCUCGACCUAAUUAAACAAAAAGAAAUAAUUGACCAGAAGCCUAAGGUUGAUGACAAAAAACCAGAACCAAUAGAGGACAUCAUCUCUAUACCAUUCUUAGAGAAUAAUCCUUAAAAAUGUACGCUAAUUUAGGUCAAGCUUAACCAUAAGAAACAUCUAAUUUAGCUAUUAAAAAAUAAUACCGACCUGUUUGCAUGGACAUCAUCAGAUAUGCUAAGGAUUGAUCUCAAGGAAAUGGUUCAUAGGUUACACAUUGACCCAAACAUGAAGCUAGUUUAGCAAAAGAAUAAGAUCUUUGCUCCAAAUAGGCAAAAGGUUAUUUAAAUUAAUAUUUAAAUUCAACUGAUAAUAUAAUAAAUUCAACUCACCACAUUAAAAAUAUGACUAUAUCCAACCCUCACUUAUGGUUUAUUUGGAUGAGCGGUGAGAUUGAUUUCGAUGAGAUUAAAAAUAAUGAAAAAAGUGAGAUUAGAUAUUGUAGCGGUAAGAAUGGAUACUGUAAUGAUGAGAUUAAAAUUUGUGAUGGAAUAUAUAUUUGGAUGCAAACGCAACGAUAGUGAUGAAGUGAAAUGUAGUAAAAAGAAAAAAUAAUCAUUAAAGACAUUAAAUAGAAACUUGUAUAAUAAAAUUUUUAAUAUAUUUUUACAUUUAUGAAUUAAUUUUUAUAAUAAAUAAUAAAUUUAUUAAAAAUUAAUAAUAAUGUUUUACAAUUAAAAAAUUUUUAGCUUUUUAUUUUAUUAAUUAAUUUAUUAAUUAUAUAAAAGAUUUAUUAAAUAAUUAUAAUGAUAUUAUUUGAAAAUAUUUAAAUAAAAAACUAGAAUAACCAAUAAAACAAAUAAAUAAUAAAAAAGAUAAAAACAAAGCAUACAAUUGAUAUGGAUAUUCUCAUCUCUGCACAUAAAUCUUAAGGGUAAAAAAGAAAAAAAAAAAAGAAGCAUGGGUAAUAAAGGAAAGAAUGUGGCGAUGAAAGUGAAAUGUUUUCACUGAACCCUGAAGCUCCAAUUAGUUUUUAAACCUCCAAUGCAAUUGAAAAGCAUGAAACGCAUUGAAUUGUGCUUUUCAAACGCUUCAUCAAUCUAGUGAAAUGCUUUAAUGGAUCUCAAAAAAGCUUCAGUUGAAUCCAAAUGAAUGCUUAGUCAGGUCAGCCAGUCAGUUGAUGUUGAGCAGCCCUAAACUAAGCCGAAAAAGAAAAACCUAACCCCAGUCUGGUGUACUAGGCAUUGGUCACAUGGUCAAGUUUCCAGAGUUUACAAGGAUUUUUUUUUUCAUCAAUCAAAACUAGCAAAUGCAAAUUUAUGAGUCCAAACCAAUGUAUGAUAUUAGCUCUCUAUUAAUAAACCUCUUAACUAUACAUGAGUUAAUAAGUAGCUAUAGUUUAUUUUGACAGUUUUCAUGAAUAAUGACAAUCUUUUUAUUUCUUACUGUAGAUACUACAGCAGAUUGAUAUUUGUUUACUUCCUGUCUCGGACUUUGAACUAAGCUGUCUUGACUUGCCAGUGGUAUUGGUGUAAGUUUAUUUUGGUUUGGAAUAGCUUAUCCUUUUUGAAUAUUAUCUAGAUUAAUUAACUUUUCAUCUUUAGGAUUAAAAGACUGAGUAGAAACUGUUCUAGAUUUAUUCUACAUUUGUCAUCUUUUUGAUAUUGAAACAGAAGAUGCUAAAGAUGAUCCAUGUCUUUCAUUUCUAAUAUUUUUUGUAAUAGUGCUAGUACUUCAGGUUUUACUACCAUUUCAAAGUCAUUGGCGGCAACAUAGAAUCUUUUAACAAAAAUUCUUUGUCCAUCUGUUUGGGUAGAAAUUCUGAGAUACGAUGAAUGAAUAGUUUGAGUCAAUAGAAUUUUGGCAUAAUUAAUCAUGGAUAUUCUUGUUUGUAAGUGAUAUCUUAAUGAAUUUGAGUAUUUCUGUAUUACUUGGUUUAGUAGUUCAAAAUUUUCAAUUCCAUCCAUUGCUAGUUCCAAGGGAGGACCAGACAUAAGUUUUUCAACUUCCCAUAUCUGGUAAGGUUGGAAGAAUUUUUCUUAGUAUGUUCCAAGGAGAUUAUGGUAUGUUCUAAAGAGAUUAUGGAUAGAAAAAUGAAUAUAACAAAACAGUUUUUGAUUUAUUCCACAUCUGUCAUCCUUCUUGAUAUUGAAACAGAAGAUGUUGAGGACGAUCAAUGUCUUUCAUUUUUUAUUUUUUGUAGUAGUGCCACUGCUUCAGGUUCUACUACCAUUUCAAAAUCAUUGACGGCAACAUAGAAUCUUUCGACAAAAAUUCUUCGUCCAUCUAUUUGGGCAGAAAUUUUGAGAUAUGAUGAACGACUAACUUGAGUCAAAAGAACUUUGGCAUAAUUCAUCAUGGAUAUUCCUGUUUGGAAGUGAUAUCUUGAUGAAUUUGAGUAUUUUCUAAAUUACUUGGUUUAGUAGUUCAGAAAUUUUCAAUUCCAUCCAUUAUUGGUUCCAAGGGAGGACCAGACAUAAGUUUCUCAACUUCCCAAAUCUAGUAAGGUUAGAAGAAUUUUUUAUUUCUUGAAUAGAAUAUGGUUUUCUUCAAAGAAAUCUACGUCUUGCUAUUUUAGCAGAUAUGAAGAACAAAGAUUUUUGAAAACCAAUUCAUCAAAAAGCUACUUUUUUUUAGCUUGUUUAACUAAGAAUUCAGCUAAUUUAGUCAUCUUUUUUCUAAAAUUCGAUUUGUUUUGAGAGAGAUGGGAUUUUCAAAUAUUGUUGAACAUAUUGUAUAUGUCAACAGGAAGACCAGGAUUGUAGAAAUUUUUUAUUUCUACAUUUGUCAUUUUUGUAUCUUUCAACAAUUUUUUUAUUGAUUGUACAAUUUUUGAAUAAGAAAUAAGGGUCUAUUGGUUUGGAUCCUAAGAAAAUGGUGAAAGAUUUUAAGGAUUUGUAGUACUGGUUGUAUUACAGUUUUUGUGGAAAGAUAAAAUAGGGCAUUUAAGGAAUCUAAUGCGGUAAAUAUCCUCUUUGAGGGUUAAUAAAAGGUGUAUAUCCCUGGUUAAGAUAUGAUUUAGUAUUUGUAGAGGAAAAGGAAGAAGAGGAAACUUUUUUAGUUUGCCUUUUUUGUAUUGUUCUCUAUCCUUCUUGCUGCUGUAGAGGUUUUUUAACUCUAUCCCUCUGGCCUGCUAAGAUAAUCUACAAGAAAAUUUUAUCACCAUUAAUAAAUUCUAAAAAGUAUAUUGACAUAAAAAAUUAUACCACCUAAUCCAUCUUGGAUUAGUUUCUAUUUUUCUAUUUUUAAGAAAUCUCGAACAUAUUGGUUAUCAGUUCUGAUUGUAAAAUGUUCAAGUGCAAGAUAAAUAUGAAAUUUAAAAUUAGUAUUUUUAAUGGCUAAUAAUUCUUUUUCAAAUAUAAUAUAUUUUGAUUUCGUUCUGUUUGAACUUGUUAGAAUUAUAACCAUAAAUAAGUUUAUUGUUUUGAACUUUUGCUUUUAAAACACAUCCCUAGUGUUCAUUUAAAGCAUCUGUUUCCAAGAUUAGAUAAUCACCUUGUUUAGGUAAAUAUACUUUUGAAAUAGUAGCAAGUUCUAAUUUAUUUGUUUGAUAAUACCAGAAUCUUGGUCUAUCCAAGAAAAUUCAAUAUCUUUUAUCAAUUUUUCUUGUAGAAUUUUCUCCUUUUUAGAGAAAUUUUUGAAGAAUUGUUUUCCAUAGUUAAAAGGACUAAGGAAUUGUUGCAAAUGUUUUAUAUUUUCUAGUUAUUCUGGAAAAUCUUUAAUUUUUGAAAAUAAUAUGAUCUUGAAGAGUAAAACCAUAUGAUGAGAGAUUUAAUCCUAAAAAUCCUAUUUUAAUUUUUUCUAACUCAAUCUUUUUUGAACUGAGUAUAAUACCAUGUUUGACAAACUCUUAAACAAUAAUAUUAAGAUGUUUUUUAUGCUCAAUUAGAUUUUCAGAAAAAAACUAAAAUAUCAUCAAUAUAUACACAAUAAAAUUUUUUAUGUUUUGCAAAAAUUUUGUCCAUUCACCUCGAAAGAUUUGAAAGGCAUUACAUAAUUUGAAUGACAUAAUAGUCCAUUGUAAUGGCUUGUUGGUGCACAAAAAGUAGUCAAUGAUUUUGACUCUUUGGUAAGCAUUAUUUGCCAAAAACUAAAAUUACAGUUAAAUUUACUAAAAUAUUUANNNNNNNNNNNNNNNNNNNNNNNNNNNNNNNNNNNNNNNNNNNNNNNNNNNNNNNNNNNNNNNNNNNNNNNNNNNNNNNNNNNNNNNNNNNNNNNNNNNNNNNNNNNNNNNNNNNNNNNNNNNNNNNNNNNNNNNNNNNNNNNNNNNNNNNNNNNNNNNNNNNNNNNNNNNNNNNNNNNNNNNNNNNNNNNNNNNNNNNNNNNNNNNNNNNNNNNNNNNNNNNNNNNNNNNNNNNNNNNNNNNNNNNNNNNNNNNNNNNNNNNNNNNNNNNNNNNNNNNNNNNNNNNNNNNNNNNNNNNNNNNNNNNNNNNNNNNNNNNNNNNNNNNNNNNNNNNNNNNNNNNNNNNNNNNNNNNNNNNNNNNNNNNNNNNNNNNNNNNNNNNNNNNNNNNNNNNNNNNNNNNNNNNNNNNNNNNNNNNNNNNNNNNNNNNNNNNNNNNNNNNNNNNNNNNNNNNNNNNNNNNNNNNNNNNNNNNNNNNNNNNNNNNNNNNNNNNNNNNNNNNNNNNNNNNNNNNNNNNNNNNNNNNNNNNNNNNNNNNNNNNNNNNNNNNNNNNNNNNNNNNNNNNNNNNNNNNNNNNNNNNNNNNNNNNNNNNNNNNNNNNNNNNNNNNNNNNNNNNNNNNNNNNNNNNNNNNNNNNNNNNNNNNNNNNNNNNNNNNNNNNNNNNNNNNNNNNNNNNNNNNNNNNNNNNNNNNNNNNNNNNNNNNNNNNNNNNNNNNNNNNNNNNNNNNNNNNNNNNNNNNNNNNNNNNNNNNNNNNNNNNNNNNNNNNNNNNNNNNNNNNNNNNNNNNNNNNNNNNNNNNNNNNNNNNNNNNNNNNNNNNNNNNNNNNNNNNNNNNNNNNNNNNNNNNNNNNNNNNNNNNNNNNNNNNNNNNNNNNNNNNNNNNNNNNNNNNNNNNNNNNNNNNNNNNNNNNNNNNNNNNNNNNNNNNNNNNNNNNNNNNNNNNNNNNNNNNNNNNNNNNNNNNNNNNNNNNNNNNNNNNNNNNNNNNNNNNNNNNNAGAUUAGCACUUCCACGUCGCUCAUUUAAAACGAUAUCAAUUAAUUAUAUGUUAUUAUUUAAUUUUAACAAAAAUGAUCUAAUUUCCUUGAUUUCUUUUAUUUAUCACAAUUUGGCUUUUUUUGUUAUUAUCUUUUAUUAAUAUUCAAUUUUUAUUUAGAAAAAUUAACUAGAACCUUAUUAUCGAAAAAAAUUCUUAAAAUGCUUCAAUAUAUUUAUAACAUUAAAAAAAAAAAUUUUCAUCUAAAGAUUUCUUAAGCAUCACUACUCGAAAUACCUUUAAAUCUUAUCUUAGGAAUCUCGUAUUUAUUUGCCAAAAAUUAAAUGAAAUGCAUGUAAUGUAAAUGAUAAAAUAUUAGUGUACAUGUUUUAUUUAUCUAUUUUUUAAAAAAAUUGUUUAUUGAUUAUUUAUUAUAUUUUUUUUAAGAAUUUUUUAAAAGAAAAGGAAAAUUUUUAUUGUAUUAAAAUUUUUUUAUAAAUACUCAAAUAUAUUGAUAGUAUUUAAAAAAAAAUUUCACCUAGAAAUUUUUAGAUAUCACUACUUGGAUUACCUUAAAAUCUCAUCAUUAGAUUUUCAUUUUUAUUCUAGAUUUUUUUACACUUAUUAUUAUUUUUAUUAUUUACUUUAAAGAUUUAAAAUUUAAGUAUGCAUAAAUAAACAAAUAAAUAACUUAACAAAAAUAUAUAAAAAAUUAAAUUAAAAAAAAAGCAAAUAUCCAAAAAUGUUGGUCAAAGUUAGUCAACGAUUCAGUAGUGGUUCACUAUUGGUUCGGACCGUUCGACCAUUGACAAAUGGUCCAUAAGCAGUUCAGGUGCGGUUCAAAAUAGUUCAAAUGGUUCACGUCUAUUCAAGAGUGGUCUGAUUGAAUCGAUUCAAGGCUGUUGAUAGGAGUGAGAACUGGCUUAGGUCCACGUGUGGGUCGCUUAUGGUUUUUUUUUUUUUCUAUAUAAGCCAAAGUUUUUUUUUAACUUUAUUUUUAACUUUUCUAAAAAAAGAACCUUUAGGUUUUCAAAAAGAACCAAAUAACUGGUAACCACACUAUCUAGAUUCCAAUGUUGUUCUACAGCAUCGUCUGCUGCUGGCUGCUAGUCACCAGCUUAGGUUAGCUCCAAACAAUACCAAAAAAUUUUCUUUGAUGUCCUCUACCUAUUUCUUACCUUAGUUUAGCCUAGAACGGCCCCAAAAGCUCUAGAUCUAGAUCGAAAUCCCUCGACCUUAAAACCCAAAAUGCCUCUGUUCUGUUGCUUCAAAUGCCCCUUCCUUUUAGUAUGUUCUCCACCUAGCUUUGGCCUAUCUCUUAUCGAAAGAUCUGAGCCCAAAGCCUUCUCAAAUCAAAAGCUUUUUUUUGGUAUUUUUUAUGUUAUUUUCAGGCACUGUGGUUGCUCCCCUCAAAGAAGAUUGUGAUAUUCUCUUUUUUUUAUGUGAUUUAUGGAUUUUUUGUGGUUAGGCCAAAUUUUUUUUAAUUUUUUAAUGGUUUUUUAUUGGUUUUCUAGUGGGUAUGUUCGAUCGAAGAGAUUUGGUUUUUAGAAAAGUCACGGCAUGGUGGGUUUUUUCUUAUUGGUGGGUAAUUUUAGCUUGGGGCAAUGGUGUUUCUUGGGUUGGCUUCAGGUGGUUGGUCGGCUUGUGGUGUUGGUUGGUCAUGGUAAUGGGUUUUUGUGGGUGAAGUAUGGUUGUUUUAUUGAAAACAAGUAGAGGUCUUACUCUAGAAGAGGCUAAUGGUGUUGUAGGCAGUGGGUUUAGGGUUGAUUUUUUAAGGUGGUGAUGAGUUAGGCUCACGGUGGUAGUGGGAGAUAUAUGGUGAUAGUGUCUGUGGGUUGAUAGAGGUAGGGAUUUUUCCUUUGGUCGAGUGUUCUCAUUCAAAAUUGGCCUCUUUUUUGAUGAUUUGUGGCUAGGGUUUUAUUAUGUUGUAAGAUCGUUAGAAGGACUGAGGGAGAGAAUAGACUAUUGGGUAUAAGGGUGGAUAGGUGGUAGUUGAAAUUCAGCUACGAAAUGUGGUAAUUGAGGCUAGGAAACAUAGGGUAGGGUGGUGCUAGGGUAGAGCUGGUGACUGGAUAGAAUAGAUGGGCUUGUCAGGGUUAGGGGAAGUGCAGGGUAGGGCUCUACGGUGGCUUGGCUUUAUGGUGCCGUGUAAGGCACUAAGUUGUAGUUUCUUUCUUUUCAUUUUUUUUGGGUUAAUUUUUAAUUGAAAAUAAAAGGUUUCGAGUUGGGAUUUUUCAACUUGGGUAGUGGGCCUUUAAGCCUAAAUGUCUUACUCCAAGCUUUUAGGCCUGAAUGACCCACGUAACAGACCCGUAUGGUCAAGUCCAAUCACAACUUGAAUAGCUUAAAGUGGACUCAAAUUGGACAUAAAAUCGUAAUUAAUCUAGACAAAAUUAGGUGUCUACAGUUGUCCAUAUUUGUAUAUUACUAAAAAUCAAGAAUAAGGCAAAGACAUUGACAACAACUUUGUUCAGGCCCAUUGACCUUAAACUUUUUUUUUUUUGAAAUCUUGAUUUCUUCUUCUUCUUAUUCUUUUUUUUAUUUUUUUAUUUUUGUUUUUCUUGAAAAGCUCAUCUUAUUAGCAACUUCAAAGUUUUUGAAAAUAAAUUAAAACUAAAAGUUUCUCUUAAUAAAGGCUCCAUAAUUUUAAAAAUAGAUUGUAAUAACUUCGAGAUUAUUCUCAAGGGCCUUACAAAUCUUAAAAUUGAGAUAAAUUGUACUCGAAAGACUUACAAAUCUUACUCGAAGAUCUUAAAAAAUCUCGAUACUUAUGAAUGCUCCUCUCAUUAAAGGCUCUAUAACUUUAAAAUUUUAAAGUUAACUCUACAACUUUAACUCUAUAACUUUAACUCUAUAAAAGUUUAAAAAAUCUUUAUACUUAUAAAUGCUCAUCUCAUUAACUCUAUAACUCGAGGGACUUACAAAUCUUGACUUUAAAUAAAUUCAGUUCGAAAGACUUAUGAAUCUUGAUUAAAGGACUUAGAGACUAUGCCCGGAGGUCUCAUAAAUCUCGACACUUAAAUGCUCAUCUAAACAGAGGCUCCACAACUUUUAAAAUUUAAAAUAUUAUGCUUGAAAGACUUACAAAUCAUGACAUUAAAUAGAUUCAGCUCGAAAGACUUACGAAUUUUGUUCAGAGGAUUUGGAGACUAUGCUCGGAGGUAUUAUAAAUCUCAACACUUAAAUGCUCUUCUAAACAGAAGCUUUAUAACUUUACAAUUCUCAGCUCAAAGUGCUCAUUUAAACAAAAGUUCAAUAACUUUAAAAUUUUAAAUUUUCUGCCCAGAGGACUUAUGAAUCUUUCUCAUCUUUGCCUGUAGAUCUUGGGGAUUUUGCUGGCAAAACUUAAAAAUCGUUCUUAUUUUCAAUUGAAGGUUUUUAAAUUUUCUCAUCUUAAAUAUCUAAAAAAUCUCAUCAUUUUUUAUCUGAAAUUUUUUUUUUCAAAUCUAUCAAUCAUUUCAAUAAUUCUUUCUUUAAAUUUCAUUUUUGUUUUUUCAAUCCUUUUUUCAAAAUUUUUUUCACAAACAUUCAGAAAGACGUCAUUGUUUCAGAAACUUGCAAAUCGAUAACUACAAUGAUUAAUCACAAUGAUGCAAAUUCAAAUCUACAAAAUGUUUACUUCAAUGAAGUGAAUGCACAUGACCUUACCAAGAUAUGAAUGCAAAUACACUCUACAAAAGAUGUAAAUAAAUUUUACGCAAAUGCUCACUAAAUGAUGCAAAUGCAUGAACAAAAGAUUAUGCAAAUGCUUGUCUAAUAAUGCAAACACAUAUAUCCUAAAAAUGUUUUUUUUUCAUGAUGUAAAAUGCAAAUGCUUAAAAAAAAACUUCUUUAUAGAAUUCUUUUCAACUCCAAAUCAUUCAAUCAUUCCUUUUCCCACAUCAAAUCAUCCUCUAACUUAUUUCUAUAAGAUUUUCCUUUCCCUUCCAUCGUAUCUUUCUUUCCAUUCCUUCAUUUUCACUUCACAUUUUCAAACCUAACCAUGCCACAUUCAUGUGAUCAAUGCCAAUUUAUUUGUAUCAAAAAUUCAAAAAAUUCCUAUGUUCUUGUUAUUUAAUCAAUCAAAAACAUAUACCAGAAACAAAUGUGUCUCAUUUCAUGUUUUCUUGCCUAAAUAUCAUAUGCAUUUAUUCACCCUAAAGUUGAUUUUUCCCUUCUUUUUUUUUUAAAAAUAAAAAUCAUUUCAAAAGAUUGGUUUUUCAAUGAAACAAUAUUUUAUUUUGUAAAUCAAAACUCACAUUGCAUUUACAAGAUUCUUGCCAAAUGUAAUUUUUCUUUUACACCAAAAUUGAUUUCUCUACUCUUUACAAAAAUGCCUAACAAAUAGCUUCAAAAUUGACAAGCAAAAUUACCCCACAUAACUAAAUCUCAUGAUCAAAGAAAACCAAAAACAUGACUUUCAAAUCUCUCGAGAAUUGGUGUUCACUAUUAUGAACGAAAGAGUGAUCUUUUCCGAAUAAAUUGAACAAUCUAUCAUAUCAAGGUUUUGGUUCAUUAAGGAAUGCCUUAUAACUUGAUAAAAAAUAAACAAUCUUUCAUCUAGACUCACAAAUUAAACAUGAAUUUUCUAAAAAGCAUGAAUUCUUUGAAAACCAAACAUGUGUGACAUUUUCUUUAGUAUCCAAAUAUGGCAUUUUAAUUAAUGUUAAGACUAGUUGCGAAGGGUUAAGAUUUUGAAGGGUUAUUUCGGAAUAGAAGAAUAACGCUCAAAUUUUCAAAACUCAUCUCUUUAAUGGUUUUCAAACUUUCAAAGCAUCCACAUUCUUGAACCUUUCAAAAGCACGAUUUACUUUAUACCACUUUUUUCUUAUUUCGCUAGACACAAAGAUUGGCUUCAAAGUCUUCAAAUUUGCUCUACACUUUUUUUUUUAGAAUUUUCAACCUAGAGCUACAUCAUUUUUCUCUCUUUUUUUGAUUGUUUCAUCAUGCACUUAAUAGUCCAAAUUUUAUCCAAGAUGGGUUGAUAGUUCAAAUGGUUGGACUGUGAAAAAAAGCAAAAGACUUACAAGUUGUAUAGUAAUCCCACAAGGAAAAGCUCUUCAGUUUAAGCAUUUAUACUUAAUCAAAAUGGACUUUUUAAAGCACGUAAUGUAGGUCAAAGUUUGGGAUUUUCAAUGAAAAUAAUAUAUAGGCCCAAAAUAAGUGUUUAAAUAUUAUCAAACAAAUAAUUACUUCAGGAUGCUUAUCUUUUCAUUUUCCUAUUUUUGCCACUUCAACAUUUUUUUCCUUUUUUAUUUUUCUUUUCCUCUUUCACCUUUGUUUCCCUUUUUCUUUUUUCUUUAAAUAGAUUUCAAACUUUUAGGAAACUUCUUAUGGAACCUUUUCUCUCCAAAUGGAGAGUUUUUUCAUGGAUUUCAGCAUACUUAACUUUUGAAUGCACCCCUCUUUUGCCCUUUAAUAUGGAAGAUGGUUCUCGGUUAAAGUUUAUUUACAAUCAAUUCAUUAGGCUCAAAAGGAUAGCAUAGGAUUAAUUUUCUUAUUUGUGAAACGAUAAUGAAAAAUUGCCAUUUGUCAUUUCAAGCACAAUAACUUAAACUAAAAAGUAAUUCCUUUUAAAAGAAGUUUUUUUUUUAAUUUUCUUUUUUUUAAGAAUUUUUUUAGUUUCCUUGACUUUUGAGUUCUUUGGUUUUUCUCGGUUUCUUUCAAAGAUUUGUGCUUUCUUUUUAGACUUUUAAAGUUUUUGUUUAAAUUUAUUUGAGCAUCUUGAGUGCAUGAUGUAACAAUCAUAUUUGUUCUUCUUCUUUUUUUUUUCUUUUUAUCAUUUUCUUCAUGCUUACAUAAUUUAUACAUAAUUCAUCAAAAGGUACUCUAGUUCAAUAUGCCAUACGAAAAAGGUUUAUAUGAUGAGAAUCAUGUUGAAAAGGUCUUUAGAUUGUUCAUAUCAUCCCACAACGAAAGAAAUAGUUAUGGUGUAAGCCAUGUUGUCCUCAAGGUAAUGAAUGGUCUUGUUCUUUCGGUUAAUGUGCCCUAAGACAUUGAACACUAAUAACUUAGGAAAGGAAUUGAAACAUUAUGUGUUUAUGGCCAAUUGAUGAGAUUCCAGUGAGUGGUUUUAUUGUUAAAAAGUAAGCAUAAUCUUGACAAAUAUCAAAUUACCAACAUCAAAUCUAAAAAAAAAAAAAUUCAUGUUUGCCAAAUUUUCAAGAAAUCUAAAAAGCCUUUUUCGAAGUAAUUGUUUUAUUGAUCAUCGCCUAAGAAAAAUUAUCCCCUUUUAUAUGUCAUGGUAUGAUCAAGUGAAGAUGGGAUUGAAACUUAUGCCCUUUUAAAACAUGAUAGUGCUGGUAAAAGGUAUUUUUUAGGGCAAGUUUAUUCCAAAUAAUGAUCAAUAGUUUUUCGAAACCUAUCAUGAUUUGAAAAUCAUUUUUUUAAUUUUUCACUUAUCCUUUUUUCUUGAUUUGAAAAGUAUACUAUGUGGGUUUUAUUUUCAAACAGUUGCUUGAAAAAAAUAAAUAAAAACAAAAAUAAAAACUAUAAAACACUUAUUCAAAAAUCCAACAAUAUUGAUUCCACGAACAGAUACAACCUAGCAAUAUCAUGUGCAUGCCAUGCAUGUGUACCAAAUAAAAUUUCAAAAGCUUAAAAUUUACUCUUUUUAAUCAUCUAAGACCUAAAAUUCCUUUUCAUAUCUUAACUCCUCAAAUUUUGUAAUUGGACUUGAGACAAAGUAAGUCUCUAUUGUUCUAUAAGCUCUAGAGUCAAAAUGCCACCAUUGAUAAGAUUUUCAAUCUUUUCUUUCAACUAUCUGUAUUUUUUAAUUGAAUGGUCAAUUACCCCCAUGUGAAAAUCGCAUUUGCUAUUUGGAUCAUAUCUUUUUGUUGAUGACUUUGGGUUUAUUUUCAAAGGCACAAGAGUGACGUAUCGAUUUUCUACUAGUAAAGGCAAAAGAUUAAAAAUAGGGAUAAGAAGUUUCUCUUAACUAAUUUUGGGUCUUUCUUGGCUUAUUCUUGGUUAGGUAAUAGAUCCAUAUAGAAGGGUUGGAUCAUGAGCAAUUUUUUGAGGAUGGAAGUUUGCUUGAAACUUUGACUGACAUGGGUAGGGAUUUGACAAGGCAUUAUUUAUGGCAUGAUAGUAUGGGUGGUAGACUGGAUGAGGAUAAUGUAGAGCAAAACUUCUAUCUUGUUGCCCUUCAUGGGUUACAGUUUGUACAUCUUUUUCUUUCUAAGAUACCCUAUCUUUCUUUGCUUAUCUUUCAUUGAGCUUUUCAUUCUUGAUCGCAUUCUCUAUUAUUUUUCUAGAAAUUACUAUAUCUGUAAAUCUUUUCUUGGCAUUCUCAAUCAUGUUGACAUAAUAAAGUGCUUGAAAAGUGUUAACAAACAAGAAUGUGAUCUCUUUCUCUGUGAGCAUCAUCUAAACUUGGGUGGCUGUAUCUUUUCACUUUUGAGCAUACUUUUUCAAGUUUUUAGUAGCUUUUUUCUUCAUAUUUUGUAAUGACAGAUGAUCUGGACCCAAUCUAUAAUAUGCUUGUAUUGUGCGAUAAAUGCCUUAACUAACUUUUUUCAUGAGCUAAUGUGACUUCUAUCUAAUUGAACAUACCAUUUUAUGACAGAUCCCGUGAGGCUAUCUUGGAAGACAUGGACCAAUAAUUUAUCAUUAUAGGCAUGAGCAGCCAUCUUUUGGUAGUACAUAAUGACAUAGGUCACAAAGCAUUCAGUCCCAUCAUACUUUUUAAAUUCAAGAACUAUGAACUUUGAAGGAAUUAUCAUGUCUAGCUCCAAUCAUAAUUCAACUGUAUUCAUUGAUCCAUAAAUAUCCAUCCCCUUAAUAACCCAUAACGUUUCUUCUAUCAAAUUCAUCUUAUACUGAGACUGAGGCUCCUCUCUUUCUUUUGAAAUAUUUGUUUUGAGCUUUUCUGGUUCUCUAAGAUCCUGUAAUUGGAAUCCUCCAAUGAAGGGUUUGGACUAUGAUUGCACUAUUCGAAAAGUCUGGGCUUGAUAUGAGGUGCAACCUAGUAGAUAUAAGAGGUCGUCAUUAUCAUUUUAUUGUUGGUGUCCCUUUUAGGUAGCUUCUUCCCUUUGCCAAUUUUCCUCAUUAUUUUCAUCAUCAUGUUAAGCAGUUCUUUUAUUUCAUCUUGUACUUCUCUAUCUCAUCCAUUCUAGUGGCCCAUUCUUCUUUCAUAAUCUUAGCUCAAAUAUUGCACAAAAUAGUGGAUAAGCUAAUUUGAAACCUUGGAUAGUUGAGCUAUCUCGGACCUUUUAUUACCACGAUUUCAAAAUUAGGCUUUUGUUUCAUUUAUUUACUUAUGCCAUGACAAAAAAAAUAGUUUUUUUUUUUUAAAUUUUUCAUGACCUAAAAAAAAGGGAGAACUUAAAACUCUUUUUUUUACAAGAUCCUUUUAAUGUGUAAACUUUUUUAAAAAAAGCUAUUUAAAAAUGUACAAUUGAUGCAUGAUAUGCAUGGAUGCAAUAAUAAAUUUAUGCAUGAAAGUGAAAGGUGAAGCAAGAUAAAUUUUCAUAUAUGCAUGAUCCUAAAAAUAGAAUCUAGAAAAAAUGAGUUUUCAUAUAUAUAUGAUCCAAAAACAAAAUCUUAAUAAUUUACAAUUCUCUUAAUUUCUUUCAAUGAACCACCUUUCUAUGUCAAGAAUUUUUUUGAAACUUUUUUUUAAUUUUUUAUUUUGGACAAACAAAUGAUAAAAAUAAUUCUACUCAUUUUUUUUACUAAAUACUAUUUUUUUAAUUUAGAGAAAAGAUCUAAAAAAAUUCUUUUUAGAAAAAGAAAAACUUAUCCUUUUUGUUUUUUUUAGGAAAGAAAGGAAAAAAACAUUUUUUACAACUUUUUUUAAAUGCAAAACAUUUAAAAAAAAACCCAUGAAAGAUAUAAAAAUUUAGACAUACAUACACUAAUUUAAAUUAAACAAAAAAAUAAAAGUUUUUUUUUUUGUGAAAUUUUUGUUUAAAUUUUGGAAGUAAUAUAUAACCAUUUUAUUAUUGUAAAAAAUAAAUAUGUUUCUUCACACGUAAUAAUUCGAGUAUUUUCUAUAAAAAGGUUUAACAUAGCUCUACCCUCGACUAGGCUUUUAAGGGUCAUUGUAUGCUAGGUUAAAAUUUAUACAACUAAAGGUUUCUAAAUUAUUUCUUACAUUAUCGUCCAUUAUAAACUAGUAAGGCACCAUAAUCUUCACCUAUGACAGGUCACAAACUAAAAAGUUUCAAUUUGAAUGAAAGUAUUUUACUUGUUAUUACGAAAAUUAUCACCUCAUGAGAGUAUAUGUACUUUAAUUCCUUCUAUAAGGGCAGAGCCUGGGUAUAGAGCUUAUGCAUGUAGUACAAUAUGCUGUUGUGUGUGCAAAUGCCCCCUAAUUUGCUAAGGAUAAUAUAUACAGAGAAAUAAAAUAAAAAAAUAGUACAAUUAAAAUGCAAUGCAAAUGAUUCUUUUAAUUGAUUUAUUAUUUUUUAUUAUUUGAUUUUUUUAUUUAAAAGGAAACAAAAUCAAUAUCAAGGAAAUUAGAGUUAAACAUCGAUUAAGACUAUUUACGUCAAAAUUGAGAAUAACAUGCAAUUAAUUUUGACCUGACUCUAAAAAAAAUGCAUCUCUAUUAAAGUUACCAAGCUGUCGUAAUGAUUUUGGGAAUGCUUAGAUAAAUUUAAAAAUAAAUAGUCGCCACCAAUCUUUUUUGGCUAUGUGUGAUUGAUCACCUAUUAAAAUUUAUCUUUUUAAUAAAAUCUUAAAAAUAAAUUUAAAAUUUAUUAAAAAGAUAAUUUUAUGGUCUGCAAAAUAGUUUGAGCUAAAGAGUCGAUUACAUGUGAGAAAAAAUUAGCACCUUCAUAGCAUCGUUUAAAAUGAUACCAAUUAAUUAUAUGUUAUCCUUUAAUUCUAACAAAAAUGGUUUUAAUUUUGGAAUUUAAAAGUAAUUUCCUUUAUUUCCUUUAUUUAUCACAAUUUGGCUUUUUUUGUUAUUAUCUUUUAUUAAUAUUCCAUUUUUAUUUAGAAAAAUAAAUUAAAACCUUGUUAUUGAAAAAAUUCUGAAGAUGCUCCUUGGUAGCAUUUGAAAAAAAUUUUCUCAUCUAAAGAUUCCUUAACUAUCGCUACACGAAAUACCUUUAAAUCUCAUCCUAAAAUAUUUAUUCUUCAAAAAUUAAAUGACAUGCAUGCAAUACAAAUGAUUAAAUAUUAGCUUGCAUGUUUUAUUUAUCCAUUUUUUAAAAAAAGUUAUUUAUUGAUUAUUUAUUAUAUUUUUUAGAUUUUUUAAAAAGAAAAGAAAAAUUUUUAUUGUAUUGAAAAUUUUUUAUAAAUACUCUAACACGUUGGUUGUAUUUUAAAAAAACUUCUCACCUAAAAAUUUCUUAGAUAUUACUACUCGGAUUACCUUAGAAUCUUAUCAUCAAAGGAUUUUUAUUUUUAUUCUAGAUUUUUUUACACUUAUUAUUUACUUUAAUGAUUUAAAAAUUAAGUAUGCAUAAAUAAACAAAUAAAUAACUUAACGAAAAUAUAUAAAAAAUUAAAUUUAAAAAAGUAAGAAAAUACCUAAAAGGAUGAUCAAAGCCAGUUUUGUAGCGAUUCACUAUUGGUUUGGACGAUUCAGUCAGUUCAGAAAUAGUCUGCAAAUGAUUCAGGCAAGUCCAGGCAAUCCAAACAAGGUUCAAAAACGGUUCAAAUGGUUCACAUUGAUUUAAGAGUGGUCUGACUAGACCGGUACAAAGCUGCUGAAAGGAGUGGAAACUAGUCGGAUAAGCAGACCCUGAGUUGGGUUGGGUCCACGCACAGGUCACUAAUGGCUUUUUUUUUCUAUAUAAGCUAAUGUUUUUUUUUUACUUCAUUUUAAGCUUUUUUAAAAAAAUCCUUUGAGUUCUUAGAAAAGAACUAAAUGGUCGGCAACUAAACUACCCAGAGUUUGGUGCCGACCCGUCUUGCCAUCUGCCAUCGACCACCAGUCAUCGACGCCAGUUAGCUUAAAAAAAACACCUAAAAUUCCUUUUGAUGUCCUUUACCUAUUUCUUACCUUAGCUUAGCCUAAAACAACCCCAAAAGCUCUAGAUCUAGGCUGAAAGCCCUUGGUCUUAAAACCCAAAAAGCCUUGUUCUGCCACUUCAAAUGCCUUUUUCUUCUAGUAUAUUCCCCACUUAACUUCAGCCUAUCUCUCUCUAAAGAUUCAGCCCAAAGCCCCUUCAAAUUGAAAAUUUCUUUUUUUUUUAUAUUUUUCUAUGUUGUUUCCAAGCGCUGUGGUUCCUCCCCUUAAGGAAAAAUGUGAUUUUUUCUUUUUUGUGUCUAUGUGAUUUAUGAUCUUUUAGUAGUUAGGCCAAAAUUUUUUUAGUUUUUUUCAAUUUUUUUGAAUAAUUUUUUAUUGACUUUUGUAUGGGUAUGUUUAAUCAGGGAGAUUUAGUUUUUAUAAGGGUCAUGGCAAUGUGGGUUUUUGCUUGCUGGUGGACAGCUUUAGCUUGAAGGCAAUGGUGUUUUUUGGGGUGGCUAAUGGUGGUUGGUUGGCUUAUGGGGAUAGUGGUCACAACAAUGGGUUUUCAUGGGUAAAAUGUGGUUGUUUUAUUAGAAACAGGUAAAGGUCUUGCUCUAGUAAAGGCUAAUGGUGUCAUAGGCAGUGGGUUUAAGGCUAGUUUUUUUUAGUAGUGGUGAGCUAAGCUCACAGUGGUAGUGGAAGAUAGAUGGUGAUGGUAUUUGUGGGUUGAUGGAAGUAGGGAUUUUUCCUUUGGCCAAGUGUUCUCGAUUUAAAAUUGGCCCCCUUUCUGAUGAUUUGUGGCUAGGUUUUUAUUAUACUGUUAAUCAUUAGAAGGACUAGGGGAAAGCAUGAAUUAUUAGGCAUUAAGGUGAUUGGUGGCAACUGGAAUUCAGCUACCAAAGGUGUCGGUUGAGGCUGGGAAACAUAGGUUAAUGUGGUGCUAGGGUGGAGCUGGUGACUAGAUAGAAUAAAUGAGCUCAUCAAGGUUAGAGAAGGUGCAGGGUAAGGCUUUAUGGUGGCUCAACCUAAUGGCACCAAGUAAGGCACCAAGCUGUAGUUUCUUUCUUUUUUUUUUUUUUUUAGGUUAAUUUUUAAUUGAAAAUAAAAGGUUUUGAAUCGGGCUUUUUUAACUUGGGUAAUGGGCCUUUAAGCUUAAAUGGCCUACUCUAAGUUUUCAGGCCCGAAUGAUCCACAUAAUAGGCCCAUAUGAUCAAAUUCAAUAAUGACUUGAACAACUUAAAAUGAACACAAAUAAAACAUACAAUUACGAUUAACCCAAACAAAAUUAGGUGUUUAUAGAGGCAUUAUAGUAAUUUUCAUGAGAAUUAUUUUAAUAUAUGUUAUUUAAGGUUUAAUAAGUAAUUUAAUAGGAUAUUAUAAUAAAUUUCAAAAAAAAUUUCACAUGUCAAAUUUUAGCCAAUUAUAUUAGGAGGGUAUUUUGUAAUUAUUAUAGUAGGAUAUUAUAGUAAUUUUAACUAAUUAUAAAAAAAGAAAUAUUUUUGUAAUUAUAGUAAAAAAGCACAAUAGUAAAUUUGGAUACGUAUUGAUAUUAUAUCAAAUAAACAAAAGGUUAUUAUAAUAAUUAUCAAGGAGAUUGUUUUAACAUAUAUUAUUAAUUUUAAAACAAAAUGUCAUAUGUCAACUUCCUAUUAAGCAUUCAUAUGGGCAUUUCCUUGAUUAUGAUAGGUGAGAUAUUAUAGUAAUUUUAAUCAAUUAUAAGAUAAAGGUAUUUCUGUAAUUAUGGUAAAAAGGUAUUAUAAUAAUUUUGACCAAUAAUAAAAAAGGUAUUUUCGUAGUUUAAUAAUAAGAUAAGGGGUAUUUUUAUAAUUCAAUAAUAAGUGAAGAGGUAUUUCCAUAAUUAUAAUAUAUGGUAUUAUAGUAAAUAGUUAUAAAAGAAUGAAUAUUUUCAUAAUUAUUAAAUAAAAGCAUCAUAGUUAAUUUAUGAGAAAGAAUAUUUUUGUAAUUAUGAUAUAAAAGUAUUAUAAUAAAUAAUUAUAAAAGAAAGGAUAUUUUCAUAAUUAUCAUAUGAAGGUAAAAUAGUCAAUUUAGACAUAUCAAUUUCUUAUCAAAUAAUAGGAAGGAUAAUUUGUUAAUUUUCUUAAGAUUUCUUUUAUAUAUGUAUGUUUGUAUAUAUGUGUGUAUAGCUGUCAAUUAGUUUAAAUUAACAGGUUAAAAGAAGCAAUCAUUCUCUCUAUUGUGACUGUUAAAGGUAAUGUUAGGUCCAAAGGGUAUUUUUGUUAUUUUUCCUAAUUAGAGAUUGUCAAUAGAUAACUAGGGGCAUUUUUUAUUUUUGGGUUGAUUUGACAUGUGAAUCUAACUUACAAUGUCAAUGCCACAUCAACUCGGCCACGUCAUCGCUCAUCUCUUAAACCCUUCACAUUUUGCCUUUAAAUAAGACUCCCUACGUACUAUCCAAGCAUAUGACUUUUCUUUUAUUUUUGCUUUAUUUUCCUCUCAUUCCAACCUUUCUUAUUCUGACUUCUAACUUAAGCGUCGGAGUGCAAACACAAAAAAUACUAUUUACUUUUGCUUUUAGCCGUUUACUUUUUUAUAAUUUUAGGGUUUUGUCCUUCAACUCAAAAUUCAACACAAAUAUUUGGUGUGUCAGGUAGAAGCAAAAAUGCAUCUUUUAGUUAAGCAAAACAAUAUGUUGCCUAAAAAGAAAGCCUCUGAGGAAUGAGAGCCAACCGUCCCAACUAGGAUCGAAACCUCAUAACAGCCAACCUAUGGAUUGACUUGCGUGGGUACAAGCAAGGCCAACUAUGAAAUAAUUUGAGGCCUUGAUCGAACAUAUCCAAGCCUUAAAAUAGAUGCUCCAAAGCAUAACACUAUCCCAAACCUCAAAAGUACUUAAUCUGGUCACCCUUGGUAAACAACCAAGCUAUGAGAAAGUUGAAGCUUUUUAAGCCUCUAAGGAGGAGAAACAUAUCAUUCCAACUACCCAUCACCACCACCCUAAUCAUAACUCUACCCAUGCCACCACCCAAAAAUCCAAACAACCUUUAACUCCAAUGAAACAAAGAUCUGGAAGCCAGGAUGCAAGCUAUGGAGAAGGAAUAGAAAGAAAAAGCAAUAGCUUUUGAAAACAUGCAAAAAUCUUGGAAACCUCACCUUUUACUAAAGAAAUCGAUCGAACCAUGCUUCAAAAUGCCAACUUUGGAAACCUAUUAUGGUACCUUUGAUCCUUUUGAUCAUUUAAAGCUUUAUCAAACUAAUAUGAUGAUACAAGGUAUAGAUAAAACUAUCAUGUGCAAAAGUCUAGCCACGACCUUUAAAAGAUUAGCUUAGUCCUGGUCUUGGUAUUAUAGUAUGAAAUCGAGGUCCAUUAUCACCUUUAAGGAGCUCAACCAUUUCUUUUUGCCAAGAUUUGUAAGCAGCUGAAGAACUAAAAAAACCAUUCUAAGCUUGAUAUUGAUCCAUCAAGGUAGAAAUGAGUAUAUAAAAGACUAUGUUACGUGUUUUAAUGUGAAAGCUUUACAAGUGAAAGAUCUAUAGUAGACAACUGUACUGGCUGCCAUCACUAACGGACUCAACGAUAGAGAAAACUACCUAAAGCUCACACAAUCCCUCAAACUACCAAAGACAUUGCUGACGUGCUAUUUGUCAUGGAAAAAUACAUAAAUGCUAAAAUUACAAUAAAAAAUUGAAUAGAGAAAGACACAUCUCUCAUUCGUGGUGGACGAGAUGAGAGAAGCUCAUCUCUUUCCUCAAUUGGAGAAAAGGCAAGGAAGUUUAUAAUCGUCAUUGAGAGAAAGACAAAAAUGGUACAUUAGGGCCUAAAGCUUGAGCCGAUAAUGAAGCUACAUUGUACUAAACAUUUUCAAAGAAAGGAUUCUGAUGUAAAUUAAAAAGGACCCUGAGCUUAGAUGGCCCAAGUUGUUGAGGCAAAACACCCAUUGUGAUCAUAACAAAAUAAGUGAGUUUUAUAGAGAUUUCAGCCACAACACUGAAGAUUAGUUAACCUGAAGAAUGAAAUAGAAAGUCUUAUCAAAAGAGGUCAGCUAGGAAAGUUCAUGGUUUGAUGAAAAAAAAGUCAAGAUAGGCCAGACUACAGAAUAAGGAAUCAUAGAAAAGAGCUAGUGAGGAAUAAAAAAGAUAGACUAGAUGGAAAUUGAGGUAGUGAAAAUCAGAGAAACGAGCAAGAAGAAAAAGGUUGAGCUAUAGGCAAUAAGCCCAUUACAUGCAUAAUCACUAUAAUUAUUGGAGGAAGUUUUACUUUGGCUAAAAAAAAUUUAAUUAGGGAAUGAUCAUUGCCAUAAGGUCCUUAGCCAAGAAAGAAAAGAGCUAGAAAAAUGAAUCGAUCUUUUUCACGUCAAAAGACGUGGAAGGAAUCAAAUUUUCACAUGAUGACGUUAUCAUAAUCAUGGCUGUUAUAUAUAAUCAUGCAGUAACAAAUAUUCUAUUUGGCAAUGGGAGCUUGACUGAUGUUUAUUAUUACAUAACAAUACUAAGAAUGAGAAUCAAAGAAGAGAUGUUAAAACCAUUUACUACCAUACUACCUGGCUUCAGAAAUGAACCGGUAUCAAUAAAAGGACUAAUCAAACCAGGUACCAAGCCGAAAAACAUCACAUAGGUCAUAAAGCUCAUAGUAAUAGACGUGCCUUCAACUUUCAAUAUGAUCUUAGGCUGACCUAGUCAGUCUAUUACGUGGCUAAUUGGCUCAACUUCUCAUUUAAAGAUCAAGUUUUUGACAUUGAAUGGAGUUAAAGAGGUAAGAGGAAACUAGUCCACGGCAUAAUAAUACUAUGUCAUAAUGAUAAAAGGUAAGACUAGGAAACAGACUAACAGUUCAACCAAUGAGGAAAAGUUAAAAAAAACAAAGAUGACUGACAUAAAGAUUAAGGAAGUGAAAAAAGCAAAACGAAACAACCUUAGUUAAAAGCAGCACGAAAUUGACAAAAAAAAAUGUGUUUUUAAGCCGUUCUGAGCUCUUAAGCUCUAUACUUGUACAAGUCAUAAACUUUUGCAAUUUUUGAAUAGAAUUACAGAAGUUGAGCUCUUAAGCCUGCAUAAACACUUGUCAAUAGAAUCGAGUUUUCAAGCUAGCCAUAAGAAAAUUUGAAAUACAAAUCUUCGUUUUGAUUCAGUUAUACUUUUUUAUUAUAUGCCAUCCUACUAACAACAAAAUACUAUCAAUUAGGAUUUGUCUUUUUUACAAGAAACAAUCUCGACCUAAUUAAACAAAAAGAAAUAAUUGACCAGAAACCUAAGGUUGAUGACAAAAAACCAGAACCAAUAGAGGACAUCAUCUCUAUACCAUUCUUAGAGAAUAAUCCUUAAAAAUGUACGCUAAUUUAGGUCAAGCUUAACCAUAAGAAACAUCUAAUUUAGCUAUUAAAAAAUAAUACCGACCUGUUUGCAUGGACAUCAUCAGAUAUGCUAAGGAUUGAUCUCAAGAAAAUGGUUCAUAGGUUACACAUUGACCCAAACAUGAAGCUAGUUUAGCAAAAGAAUAAGAUCUUUGCUCCAAAUAGGCAAAAGGUUAUUUAAAUUAAUAUUUAAAUUCAACUGAUAAUAUAAUAAAUUCAACUCACCACAUUAAAAAUAUGACUAUAUCCAACCCUCACUUAUGGUUUAUUUGGAUGAGCGGUGAGAUUGAUUUCGAUGAGAUUAAAAAUAAUGAAAAAAAGUGAGAUUAGAUAUUGUAACGGUAAGAAUGGAUACUGUAAUGAUGAGAUUAAAAUUUGUGAUGGAAUAUAUAUUUGGAUGCAAACGCAACGAUAGUGAUGAAGUGAAAUGUAGUAAAAAGAAAAAAUAAUCAUUAAAGACAUUAAAUAGAAACUUGUAUAAUAAAAUUUUUAAUAUAUUUUUUACAUUUAUGAAUUAAUUUUUAUAAUAAAUAAUAAAUUUAUUAAAAAUUAAUAAUAAUGUUUUACAAUUAAAAAAUUUUUAGCUUUUUAUUUUAUUAAUUAAUUUAUUAAUUAUAUAAAAGAUUUAUUAAAUAAUUAUAAUGAUAUUAUUUGAAAAUAUUUAAAUAAAAAACUAGAAUAACCAAUACAACAAAUAAAUAAUAAAAAAGAUAAAAACCAAGCAUACAAUUGAUAUGGAUAUUUUCAUCUCUGCACAUAAAUCUUAAGGGUAAAAAAGAAAAAAAAGAAAGAGCAUGGGUAAUAAAGGAAAGAAUGUUGCUAUGAGAGUGAAAUGUUUUCACUGAACCCUGAAGCUCCAAUUAGUUUUUAAACCUCCAAUGCAUUUGAAAAGCAUGAAAUGCAUUGAAUUGUGCUUUUCAAACGCUUUAUCAAUCUAGUGAAAUGCUUUAAUGGAUCUCAAAAGAGCUUCAGUUGAAUCCAAAUGAAUGCUUAGUCAGGUCAGCCAGUCAGCUGAUGUUAAGCAGCCCUAAACUAAGCCGAAAAAGAAAAACCUAACCCCAGUCUGGUGUACUAGGCAUUGGUCACAUGGUCAAGUUUCCAGAGUUUACAAGGAUUUUUUUUUUCAUCAAUCAAAACUAGCAAAUGCAAAUUUAUGAGUCCAAACCAAUGUAUGAUAUUAGCUCUCUAUUUAUAAACCUCUUAACUAUACAUGAGUUAAUAAGUAGCUAUAGUUUAUUUUGACAGUUUUCAUGAAUAAUGACAAUCUUUUAUUUUUGUUACUGUAGAUACUAUAGCAGAUUGAUGUUUGUUUACUUGCUUUCUCGGACUUUGAACCAAGCUGUCUUGACUUGCCAGUGCUAUUGGUGUAAGUUUAUUUUGGUUUGGAAUAGCUUAUCCUUUUUGAAUAUUAUCUAGAUUAAUUAACUUUUCAUCUUUAGGAUUAAAAGACUGAGUAGAAACUGUUCUAGAUUUAUUCUACAUUUGUCAUCCUUUUGAUAUUGAAACAGAAGAUGCUAAAGAUGAUCCAUGUCUUUCAUUUCUAAUAUUUUUUGUAAUAGUGCUAGUACUUCAGGUUUUACUACCAUUUCAAAGUCAUUGGCAGCAGCAUAGAAUCUUUUGACAAAAAUUCUUUGUCCAUCUGUUUGGGUAGAAAUUCUGAGAUACGAUGAAUGAAUAGUUUGAGUCAAAGAAUUUUGGCAUAAUUAAUCAUGGAUAUUCUUGUUUGUAAGUGAUAUCUUGAUGAAUUUGAGUAUUUCUGUAUUACUUGGUUUAGUAGUUCAAAAUUUUCAAUUCCAUCCAUUGCUAGUUCCAAGGGAGGACCAGACAUAAGUUUCUCAACUUCCCAUAUCUGGUAAGGUUGGAAGAAUUUUUCUUAGUAUGUUCCAAGGAGAUUAUGGUAUGUUCCAAAGAGAUUAUGGAUAGAAAAAUGAAUAUAACAAAACAGUUUUUGAUUUAUUCCACAUCUGCGAUCCUUUUUUAUAUUGAAACAGAAGAUGUUGAGGACGAUCAAUGUCUUUCAUUUUUUUUUUUGUAGUAGUGCCACUGCUUCAGGUUCUACUACCAUUUCAAAAUCAUUGACGACAACAUAGAAUCUUUCAACAAAAAUUCUUCGUCCAUCUAUUUGGGCAGAAAUUUUGAGAUAUGAUGAACGACUAACUUGAGUCAAAAGAACUUUGGCAUAAUUCAUCAUGGAUAUUCCUAUUUGGAAGUGAUAUCUUGAUGAAUUUAAGUAUUUUCUAAAUUACUUGGUUUAGUAGUUCAGAAAUUUUCAAUUCCAUCCAUUAUUAGUUCCAAGGGAGGACCAGACAUAAAUUUCUCAACUUCCCAAAUCUAGUAAGGUUAGAAGAAUUUUUUAUUUCUUGAAUAGAAUAUGGUUUUCUUCAAAGAAAUCUACGUCUUUCUAUUUUAACAGAUAUGAAGAACAAAUAUUUUUGAAAACCAAUUCAUCAAAAAGCUACUUUUUUUUUAGCUGGUUUAACUAAGAAUUCAACUAAUUUAGUCAUCUUUUUUCUAAAAUUCUAUUUGUUUUGAGAGAGAUGGGAUUUUCAAAUAUUGUUGAACAUAUUGUAUAUGUCAACAGGAAGACUAGGAUUGUAGAAAGUUUUUAUUUCUACAUUUGUCAUUUUUGUAUCUUUCAACAAUUUUUUUAUUGAUUGUACAAUUUUUGAAUAAGAAAUAAGGGUCUAUUAGUUUGGAUCCUAAGAAAAUGGUGAAAGAUUUUAAGGAUUUGUAGUACUGGUUGUAUUACAGGUUUUUGUGGGAAGAUAAAAUAGGGCAUUUAAGGAAUCUAAUGCGGUAAAUAUCCUCUUUGAGGGUUAAUAAAAGGUGUAUAUCCCUGGUUAAGAUAUGAUUUAGUAUUUGUAGAGGAAAAGAAAGAAGAGGAAACUUUUUUAGUUUGCCUUUUUUGUAUUGUUCUCUAUCCUUCUUGCUGCUGUAGAGGUUUUUUAACUCUAUCCCUCUGGCCUGCUAAGAUAAUCUACAAGAAAAUUUUUAUCACCAUUAAUAAAUUCUAAAAAUAUAUUGACAUAAAAAAUUAUACCACCUAAUCCAUCUUGGAUUAGUUUCUAUUUUUCUAUUUUUAAGAAAUCUCGAACAUAUUGGUUAUCAGUUCUGAUUGUAAAAUGUUCAAGUGCAAGAUAAAUAUGAAAUUUAAAAUUAGUAUUUUUAAUGGCUAAUAAUUCUUUUUCAAAUAUAAUAUAUUUGAUUUCGUUCUGUUUGAACUUGUUAGAAUUAUAACCAUAAAUAAGUUUAUUGUUUUGAACUUUUGCUUUUAAAACACAUCCCUAGUGUUCAUUUAAAGCAUCUGUUUCCAAGAUUAGAUAAUCACCUUGUUUAGGUAAAUAUACUUUUGAAAUAGUAGCAAGUUCUAAUUUUAUUUGUUUGAUAAUACCAGAAUCUUGGUCUAUCCAAGAAAAUUCAAUAUCUUUUAUCAAUUUUUCUUGUAGAAUUUUCUCCUUUUUAGAGAAAUUUUUGAAGAAUUGUUUUCCAUAGUUAAAAGGACUAAGGAAUUGUUGCAAAUGUUUUAUAUUUUCUAGUUAUUCUGGAAAAUCUUUAAUUUUUGAAAUAAUAUGAUCUUGAAGAGUAAAACCAUAUGAUGAGAGAUUUAAUCCUAAAAAUCCUAUUUUAAUUUUUUCUAACUCAAUCUUUUUUGAACUGAGUAUAAUACCAUGUUUGACAAACUCUUAAACAAUAAUAUUAAGAUGUUUUUUAUGCUCAAUUAGAUUUUCAGAAAAAAACUAAAAUAUCAUCAAUAUAUACACAAUAAAAUUUUUUAUGUUUUGCAAAAAUUUUGUCCAUUCACCUCGAAAGAUUUGAAAGGCAUUACAUAAUUUGAAUGACAUAAUAGUCCAUUGGUAAUGGCUUGUUGGUGCACAAAAAGUAGUCAAUGAUUUUGACUCUUUGGUAAGCAUUAUUUGCCAAAAACUAAAAUUACAGUUAAAUUUACUAAAAUAUUUAGCAUUUUUUGCUAAAUUGAUUAAAACAUCUUUUUUAGGAUAAAAUAUCCAUCAAAAACAAAAUUUUGGUUAAGCUUUUUAUAGUUGAUUAUCAUAGGGCUUGACCACGUUUUUGUUUAGAAUGUUUUCUGACAAGAAAUGCAAUACUAAAAUGAGGGCUAUCUGUUUGUUCAAUUAAACCUUUCUUGAAAAGUUUUAAAAUUUGAAUUUCAAACUUAUCUAUAUCCUGUUUGAUAUAAAUCAUAGGUUUAACUCUAAUAAUUUUAGCUAAGUCAUUAAUUUUUAGUUCAAAAAAACGAGAACGUUUUUCUCAAAAUUUCAGUUGAUUUUCACUGAAAUUAUCUUGGAAAAUUUUAUAUAACUAACAUUUUCAUUUAUUUGUUUUAUCUUGGUCUGGUUGGCUUCAAGACAAAAUUCUUUAUUAUCAACUCAAUACCUCACUUGUUGUCAAGUUGGUAUGAAUGUUAGUAAUACUUAUCUUUGAGUUAAUAUCAUAAAUAAACUCUAAUUAUUGUAUUUUUUAAUGUGAUAUCUAAAUUAAAAAAUUUUAAAUAGUUACUUAAAUUUCAUUUUUAUUUAUUAAGUUAUUCCAAUUUUAAAAAUCAUUAAAAUAAGUGUUAAUGUGGCAAUCAACAUUGAUGUGAAUUACAUGUGAUUACUAUAUGAGAAUAAUGCGGAUACCACAUGUCAUAUUUUAAAAAAUAAAAAUACAAAACUUUUUAAAUAAAAUAAUUUAAAAAUAAUAAAAAAAAACUUUUUAUCUUUUAGUUUUUUUUUUUUUUUAAUAUUACAAGAUACAAUCACAUCCCUAUCACGUAAUAAUCAUGUCUCAUCCACAUCACUGUUAACUACAUUAAUGUUUAUUCUAACGAUCUUAGGGAUUAAAAUAAUUUAAUAAAAUUAGAUACCAAUUUAACAUUGUUUUUAUUAAGUAGCACAUUAAAAAAAAAAGGUGUAAUAGCUCACAGCUAUUUAGGGUAUCUUCUCUAAUUCUUUUAUGUCUAUUCCAUCUUUGUUAGUCUCAUACAUGAAAUCCAUACCACAUAUGCAUAAUUGAUGAAUCAUAAAUUAAACAUCACCACAUCAAGCCUUUCUUUUCCUCUGAAGUGUUUUUUUUUUUUCUUCUUUUUGAAGACAGCGAAAGGAUGAACUUUAUUCAUGAUGAAGAAAAGCUGAACAAAUUUGUCUCAAAAUAGUCAAAACAAAAAAUGGCAUAAAAUAUAAACUCUAUACACUGUUAAGUGUAUAGAUCAAAUAUAAACUAAAUUAAAUGACACAUUAGUAUACCAGGACCAUCUCGAAUCAACAUGAAAGCCCAAAAGUGGCCUUUGACAAAGUAAAACCAAAUUAAAUAAAAACAGACUUGGCAUGUUUUUUCUUCUAGAAAAGAAGUGUGCAAAAGAUGAGCCUUGUAAGCUAUCAGCAGUUCCUCCACAUUACCUGGAAACCUUGACAUGAACUCCAAGAAUUCAUUCUCUGUAUAUUCCAAGAUGUAAAGAAAACUCCAAUACAUUUUCAACAACUCCUUCUAACUAGUAAUCUGCAAAACUCAAUCUUGAGGAAUCAAAUGAUCUCCCAAACUGCUCAUCAAAAGAAUUGGCCUAGAAACAGACUUUUAUCAUGUGUUUUCUUCUUCUGAAGAAGAAGAAGUGUGCAAAAGAUGAGCUUUGUAAGCCAUCAACAGUUCUUCCACAUCAUCUGGAAACCUUGAUAUGAACUCCAAGAAUUCAUUCUCUGUAUAUUCCAAGAUGUAAAGAAAACUCCGAUCCGUUUUCAACAACUUCUUGGACUUAACAAUCUGCAAAACUCGGUAUCUAGGAAUCACACGAUCUUUCAAACUACUCAUCAAAAGAAUUGGCCUAGAAGCCAAAACAUUCUUAUCAAACUUUGCCACAUUAAGAAAGAACUCAAUUCCUAACUUCAUUUUCUUCUCAGAGACCCUAAAAACACCUGGGUUCUUCCUAAACAUAACCAGGCAAUGACUGUCUGAAAAACCAAAAGUCUUAAGUAAUUCACAUUUCUUCUUAAAUGUUUGUUCACUCAAGCAACUCAAGGUAUGAAUAGCAUGCACUAACAUCCUCGAAUCAGUCGAAAUCCCCAUAUCUACAACCCUCGUAACGAGAUCCCUUAAUGCCGAUUCUCGCAUCCUAAAAAUCCUAGGUUGUCUCGUUAACAACUUUGAGAGCUGAGACCCAACAAUCCCACAGCUUUCCAAAUACUCAAUGUUUCUCGACAACUUUGAUAUGCCAUCUCUAGCAAUAAAACCAUUGCAUCUACUGAAGACCUUAAACAAGUCUUCAUUAUUAUUCCCUAAAAUUUUCUUGACAAAUUGGAUAGAAGGAAUCAACUUUUUAUCUAAACUACAAGUUAAAAGCGUAGAAUUCCUAGAAAAGAACUUACCCAGAUGGGGUUCCACAAGACCCAGAUCUUGAAAAAGUUUGAUUGUUGGCCUAAGCUUCUUUUCUACAUCAGCAAACAGAAUUUGGGGCUCCAAACGGACAGCAAAGGCUAUUUCGGCAUUGGAAAAGCCAAGACUUUGAAAAAAAUUGGCAACCGAUCGAGCCUUUUGGACGGAUUUGACAUGAGAGUAACGGUUAGAGAUUGAAACAGCUUGGGUUUCAGUGAAAUCCAAGUUUUUUACAAGAUAAUUGAAAAGGGGCGGAUUCGAAACAGAGGUGGAAGAAGAAUAUGAGAGAAUAAAAAUAAAUGAUUUGGGUUUUAACGAAAAAUUGAGAAAAUGGAAGAUGCUUUGAGGGUUUGCAUUAAGGUUUUUGAGGAAUUCUGUGCAGCGGGUUUUAGGGUUUAAAAUUCAAUCUUCAUAAUGCAG